CUUUGCCAUCUAAACUUGGGACCAAGUGGUGACUGGUGACAAUACUUACAGUCAUUAUUUCGGAAUGUCAUGAUUUUUCAUUUAUGUUUCUCGAGUUUGCUUACUAUAUUGAUAAAAGAGCCAUCUUGACCAUGUCAUGGGUGCAAGACUUGACUAUUCUACUUCAGCUAAACAUUUAGGAUCUGUCACUACUUAACAAAGAAAUCAGAGAUGAUGUCCUAAAGAAAUACAUAAUUUCUUAUUCAAUUAUAAGUUCAUGUUGUCAUUAUAUUAACUGUUAAUCGUCUACUAGUCCCACAAAUUGUAUUAAAUUAAUUGAAAAACUUUUCUUUAGCCUAGUGCGUGAUGCACCAAAGCUUUUGUGUUAAAAAGGGAGAGAUUCCAAUUGAGGAGUAAGCGUUAAAUAUAUAUGACAACAUAGUAUUUUACUGUAUAAAGCAGUUAAUUGGAUCUAACUCACAAUCCAACUUCCAUGUUUUAGCCUUCAUCGGUAAGUUAAUUAAACAAUGGCGAUCCUCAAUCAUUGUUUUAUACAUGAAACAUAAAUGUAUAAAAAACAGCUUAGGCAUAAACUGUAAAAGCUCUCUCUAUCCGGGCACAAGAAAAUUAUAGCAAACUUCGCCUAAAUCACAUACCUGUACUACUAAGUACCAGAGAUUUUUUCUUUUUUUUCUUUUUUUCCGAAAACUUGAAAUGAUCUUAAAUAUUUUACCUGUGCCUUGUAAAAAAAACAAAUACAAAAAAUAUACCCUCUACAUGUCCAACUCUCCCGACAAAGUCAAGCAUUUAUAUUUCUUGAUACAAUUUGAAUCACUGUUACUAUUGUUUAUGCAUUUUAUCCAAUCAAAAGGAGACAUAGGAUCUAGCUAGGAAGGACCAAGCAUUUUGACUGCAGAAACUCUUGCUUUUAAGAUCUGAAACCAUCGUUGCCUGGCAACUUACAAAUAAAUCUACACCACCUAAGCUUUCAAGGUUGCCAAGGGUAUGUGUAUUCCUCGAUUGUUUUGCUAACAGAAUCGUACAAGGCUGACCUCUUUAUGUGGCACCCCCACCACCAAUGCACAUACGCGCGCAUGGGAACAUGAUUUAAAGGACGUCCAGCUUUAAAGUUUUUAAUAUCUCAGAGUACAUCCGGCCACCUAAGCAAUGACAUACUCGAGUAUUACAUUAUUCCCUCACUCCAUGAAGUCUAUAUGAACUACGUUGAGCAAACUAUAUAUUUUCGUGCUCCCGUAUUCCACAAUCCCUUCUAGAAUUUCAUUAGAAUAGUCAUGAAAUCUGAUAGCAAAUUGAUGGUUGGUUGAAGACAUAUUUAACUUAUUCAAAUGGUAGGCUCGUGGCACACAAAAUAAAAGAUUCGUUUUAUGCUCGUCUGCUUGAUUGGGUUCCCCUCUUCCUCUUCUGCUUCUUUUUUUCUCUUCGCAAAACCCUCCUUGAAACAACUACUAAAAUAAGGGCACUCACGAACCCAUCUUGUAAAUAACUUCACAUCCAAUAAAAUAAAGGGGGUAACACUACCUCCCAUUUCAUAAAAAAAAUGGGGGAUGGCGCGUGGUCGCCACAAGGCACGUCCAACGUAAGGCAAGAGUAGGUGAGGCCUCUUUAUUCGAAAACGUUAGCAUUAAAAAAAAAAAAACAAAAAAACCCGAAAGUUUCCCGUCAACGUUGACCGAUGAAACCGUGCUUCCUCUAAUAGAAUGGGAAAGUUAGUCCUAGAUUGCAGCUGGUUCUUGCUUAAGGAAAUAAAUAUGCACAUAGUGCAUCUAAACUAAAUCAGGGUAGUACGUACAAUGCCUACCAAAAUAUUCUCAUGGAACGUUUUACUUUUAGUUGAGUGCUUAAAGUUUAUAUUAUUACUAGUCCUAGCUUUCGCAUUAGAAUAGCGCCCAUUUUUUCUGCCAUUUUUAUUAUUAUUAUUUUUGCUCUCUUCCUUCUCCUUUUUUCCUUCAAAGAUGCAUUGUAUGGCAUUACUAUUAUAUAUAUAUAUAUAGAUACUUUAUUCUAGAACAUUCUAGAGCAGGUCGCGGCAUAGGUUGACGCAUCUGAUUGAUGCAUUUAAAAUAAGGGGCGUGUGCCGGAGAGCAGUACUUCUUCAUGUGGGUUUGUACUACGCAAGUGGUACAUUUACGGCAGGAACAUUUACGGCAGUGGCCUCCAAGGUCAUAUCCAAGGACCAAGUUAGAGGAACCUAGGUUCAAGUGGCUCCGAGGAAUAAACAAAUCACUGCCACGUCGUAUGAACAAUCCAAGAUUCCUGCAUUCGAUAUUGUUGAUCGAUGGAAUGAUACAGCUCAAAGAUCAGACUUGUUUGACUAUAAGCGCGAGUCGUUGUUAAGUCUUGAAUGCAAUAUUUAAAGACCAAGCUCAAUGGAUAAUUCUCGUGGCUUCGAAAUCGAAGAAGUUUAGAGACGUGUUCGAGUAUAGGACGGUUCUAUGCUAAAUUAAUUUGCUUGUGGUUUGAUACUUGUGGGCCAUGUAAUUUGAUGGAUGUAGGUUUGGCAACGCCACCAAGCUAGAAUAGAAAUUCUGCUGGCAGCAUAUGCUGCACGGGUCGUAUCAUGAUGCUUCCAAAGUUAUUUUGAGAUGCAUUUCUGGGAGCUUUUUGUCUUUUGAGCAGAAGUUCUAGUAGUUUUUUUUUAUCGGAUGCAAUAGAUUACCACCUAUCUCAAGAAAUUUAAUUAGCACUUCCAGAUAAAGGAAAUGGGAAGGGCAAUGCCAGUAAAAUUCAUUGAUGUGAUACCCGAGUCCAGGUUCAUUGUUGUUCUAAUUGCAAGUUGUUGUUUGAUCCCCUCUUUAUUGACUUUUGAACCCCAUUUCAUUGAUGUGAUAUCCAAGUGUCAAGGCUCUCUUUGAUGUUCUAAUUGCAAGUUGUGUUUGACCGGCUCUUUAUUGACUGGAACCCCAUUUUCCGGAGGUUCUCAAAAGCAGCAAAUGUAGCAAUCUAGGGCCACCCAAAAUAACUAGUUGGAUGGCAUCUUUUUAAAUUUUUUAGUUCUGUAGAAAUACUUAAGGUCUUUCCGACGAAUAACCAAUGUAGAACUAAAUACGCAUUUGCAUGGAUCCUCAUACACUCCCUUAUUUAAGUCCUGAUAUGCUCGUCAGGCUAAGAGUCUAAAUUUAUUUAAAUUUAAUCACAAGCACCAUAAUCGACCCGGUGUCACCUAGUCUACGUGAACCAUAGAUCGGAUCUGCUUCAAUACUAUUUAUAAUAAUCCAGAAUUUUAUCCAAAAAUACUAUCUGAAAGAUAUUUUUUAGAUUCAUGGUUCUAUACAAAUAUCCAAAAUCUUCUGACGAAUAACUGAUAUGGUACUAAACAUACGCCCACACAGGUCUCCAUAGCAAAUAUCAUUUUCUUCGAGAUACCAAAUCAUGUGAUUCAUUUUUAAGAAUCCAUGACCAAUGUUUCUCUAAUGGAGAGCCAAAGUUUGUAGGAUGUUUCUUCGAGACCUCGGCCUCGCCCUCGCAUGCUUAGUUAAAUACAAAGACCUAAGCUUGCCUUAGUCUUAGCAGGUUGAGUUGCAAGUUGUCCAUGGGACUUCCAAUUGUUUCCAUCUAACAAACACAACAGACAUGAUAUCAGGGAACAAUCAAUAAAAAAACAGGCGUGUGCCGGCCAAACUCCACCUGCCCAUGUCGGCACAUCCUUGGGCACGGUAUGUUGUAGAAAAUUUCAACUUGAAACCUAACUUCCCCACGAAGAAUACCAGAACGUGGGCUCAUUGGAAUCAAGCAAAGUUUCAGUGGGAAAUAGUACGUAGGUUGCAAAUCUCUCAAAAAUAGAUUAAUGCAUUAGAGAACUCUUAGUUUACAUUUUAAUUGGAGCCAAGUCGAAGUCAUCCCAUGGGACGCGGAUUAGUUUAAAACCUUUAGCUGAUGAGACUUUUCCUUCAAGUAGUUCAACGGAUGAGUAUAAUCUAAAACUACCUUCCUCGAAUAUAUUUAUACAUUGCGUUUAAUGUACGACCGGCUUCUCUAUUCAAUACUUUUAUAAGGAGUCCCUGCUGAAAAGAAUUUGAUACUAAUCUGAUCAUUUCAAGAUCUAUAGGGAACUACUUUAUUUUGAGAAUGGGCAAUUGACAAUCCAUAGUCAACGAUGCAUUUUUUUAAUUUCCUUGGGCACUGUCGCGGACAAUUUGCACUCGCUGAUUGCAUCAUUCUUGUGAGAUGAGGAUUCAUGGUUCACGAACAAUCCAGAGGGGUUGGGUUGUAUCUUUUAUAUGAAAGAAUGAUUGAUCUUUUUUUGUGAUGACAAUUAUUAGAUCGCAUCUUGCAUGGAUCUCAAAGCACUCUGAUCUCUUCUUUCAUCCGCCUACAUAGAUCACGAAGUGGUUAUUGUACGAUCCAAUGGUUGAUAUCAUGAAAGAAGAUGAAUUAUUCUUUCGCAUGAAAGAUGCAACUCGAACUCUUUGUAGAGGGUCCGUACCAAUUUUGAACUGUUGUUUGGAGCAAGCAGCUGGAAACUAAAUGGAUUGUGAUGUCUUAAUUACUACACUAUAUAAUUUUGUUAAGCUUGGAUCGCUCCAAAAGCUGAGAGGAUCGGAUGUCCUUUUCUUAUUUAUGGAGUCAUGGCGAUCUGUUCAAACAUGUUGUGAAACGACUUGCUUUUGGACCAAACAAUCUCAGCCGCGAGAUAGUCUUUUGGAUGACAGUACGGAGACGUAGCUUAAAAUAAUAGCGCGAAAAGUGAGAACCAACUUUUAUUUUCUCGACAAACUUUCAUUAUCGCUUGUCAUCUGUGACUCUCGGCUUCCUGCCGCUUAGUAAGUUAAGAAUAUAUACCACUCAAAACUUGAAAGCCUGAAAUUAAGAGGGCACGACUUCAAUUUGUGGCUUUAUUUUGAUUUCAUUUACAGCUGUCCAUGCAACAACUAAUAUGGCUAACAAAACUCGAAUCUUGCAACUAAUGCGCAAAGAUUGAUCGAAUACAUGACAGCUAAUAUGGUCAUUGUUGGGGGUAGAGGACUUAGUCCCACAUCGAUUGAAUAGCGGAAAGAAUUGUGCCUUAAAUGGAGGAGCAAAAACUCCUUUCCUCAGGAGGCGCCUUUUGAAGGAUAAAACUAUGAGAGGUAUAUGGGCAUAUGGCACCCCAAAGAGCCGAAGAGGCCCGAGGGUGACCUACCCCCAGAGCGGACAAUAUCUUAUAUGGGGACGCAUCCCCUUUUCUUACUCUAACAGAUGAUGUGGUGAGCGUGGACCCCCCAUAGAUCCCGCACGAAUCCUUUCUACUCGAAAGGCUAGUGUUGGGGGUGGAAGAAGCCAGAACUUAGUUCCACAUCGGUUGAGUAGCGGAAAGGAUUAUACCUUAAAUGAAAGGGCAAAAACUUCUUUCCUCAGGAGGCGCCUUUUAAAGAGCAAAACCUUGAGGGGUAUAUGGCGCCCCAAAGAGCUGAAGAGGCCCGAGGAUGACCUGCCCUAGAGUGGACAAUAUCUCUUGUGGGGAUGCAUCUCCUUUUUCUUCUCUAACAGUCAUAAUGUUGUUCCAUGAAGAGAUGCAUCAAGCUUGAGCUUCCUUUAGGUGAGAUGGGGUUUGAUUGCUAGGUCAUUUGGACUCGAGGCUUCAUACGAGCUCAUCGAAGUUAGCUGCUGGAUCAUGAUGCUAAAAUGAUGUUGGCCUAAUUUUUUUCUUUAUCAUUUUAUUUGGAAUCAACCGAAUUUAUGUUUUGUAACAACUUAAUUAGGAUCUUACCUAAAAAGGCUAGUUAGAAAGUAUCAUUUAGAUUUUUUGGUUCUGCAUAAGUAUUCAAGAUCUAUUAAAUACACAACUAAUGUGGGUCCUUACAUACUCUCUUCGUUUAAACUCUAACAUUCUCUUCUGGUUAGAAAUCUAAAUCCAUUCAAAUCUAAUCAUAAAUAUCACAAAUCCAACCAUAAACAUCAUAAUCAGGCCAUGGUCCGUUUAUAUGGAUUCGUGCUAUCGUGUUUCCUAGUCUCCCAUGAUACCAUUUGUAAUAAUCUAAGAUUUUCCUCAAAAAUGCUAGCCGAAAGAUAUUACUUAAAUUCUUUAGUCCUCUAUAAAUUUCUAAGGUUUUUCUGAUGCUAACUAUGUGGAAUUUAAUAUGUGCCUCCAUGAGUCCUCACAUAUAUACACAUUCACAAACAUAUUUAUGUGAACAUGCACAAGUAUAUGAAUAAAUAAACACAUACCAUCAUACCUACACUAAGACACCCUAACAGAACUGAAGUUCACAAAGCCUGCUGCAUCAUUUGAUGAAAAUUUUCGCCUUCUAAUGCUCACAUUUUACCAUGAAUUGGGGCUUGUCCAAAGUGGUUACUUUCUUUUACUCAGCAAACAAAGAUUUCACGCUUGAUUCUUAGGUGACGCAUCUCCUAAAAUCUGAAUCUGGGUAUGCUUUAAGCCGGGCCCCAUCCCUCGACGGUGACUCCUACCAGAAUGGAAUACUCAACCUCUUACCAAUGCGGUAAGUGGCAGGAGUAAGGCUAUUCUAUGCUAAAAGAAUCGAAGCCCAAUAGACAAAUUAGCGAAAAAAAUUAAAAAGGUAAAAAAGAAAGAAAGGCAUCACAAGGAACAGUUAGAAAAGAUUGUGAUUCAAGAAAAAUAUUCUUUUAAAGUAAAUUCCUUUUGUGUGAAGACUUCUUUGUGGGAGAAAACGAACUUAAUGUUUCCACAUCUCAUUUUCUCUCAUAUUUUUUUUUUCAUUGUUAUUUUUUUCUCGCAAUUCUCGGGCAAUAUCUUUUUUGGUGUUUGGUGUUUAUUUUGGAUCUCGGACCGGCACGAUCAUCCUACUCUAGUUAGCAUGUCAUUUUGCAUCUUCACAGCUAUGCUCAUCAUCUAGGACAAUUGAUUCGUGGCUAAAGUGAAAAGUAAACGUAAAAGAGGAUCAAAGAGGCUCCUAAUACGUGCAAUUAGACCGAACCAGGUACUACAAGGAGGAUAACAAACUGCCGGGCUAAAUAAGUUCUUUUUGGGUCUAUUUCGAAAAUGUAACAAAAUCGAGCUAGAUUUUCUAUAGGCCAUAAAUUACAUAGUCUAUUUAAUUAAACCUAUAUCGGCCCAAUCCCUCUCUAGGCCAAAUCUUAUGGCGCAAAAAAAAAAAAAACUUCCAUAGAUAGUUUUUUAUCUUGCAGUCCAACAAGGCCAUAAAUGAAAUUUAGGACAAAACUAGGAGGAACCUUCAGAAGGAAACGGACCAGGCAGGCUGACAAGUCCAAUUUCUAUAUAAAUUCCAGUCCAAUCCUGCUUGAUUUUUCUCUUAGAUGUGUUAGGACCAUUAAAAUUAGACUAGGAAUGAAGAUAAGAAAGGCCUUGGCCUACGUUGUCCAACUAUGGGCCUACGUUGUCCAACUAUGUGCCUACGUUGUUCAACUAUUUUAUAGGGUCAGCCCAAUGAUCCGUUGCACUGAAGCUUGGCUCAUUUUCAUCCAGAAAUUGAGAUUUCCAAUGUAGACAGAGGUCCGACCAAACAUGGGAUCCACUACAAUUUCAUUGUCCAGACUCAGGCUCCUAAUGCAAAGAUUGAUAUAUAUUAUUGACACUUUUAAUAUCACUUUAAGAUUUUUAAGUGGAAAUAGUUGAUUAACAUGAUAUUAGAGUUCAGAUUUACUGAAGAUCAUGAGUUUGAAUUUUCUUUAUAUUAAUUAACUAUUUAAGCAAUCCAGGUAUUAUUUUGACUCAUUUUUGUUGUUGUAUUUUCAAUAUAAGAAGCUAAUUUACGUGGUGUAGAUCGAGUGUAGAUCGCCGAAGAACUGCCUCUCGUUCCCAAGGAGAUUCGAACCAUAAGUUUAUCUGCGGAGAGCAUGCGAAAAAGUAGGCCAUUUCACCGUGCUAGAAAGGACCAAAUAAUAAUUACUCACCUCAAUGGGCAGCUGGAAAAUUGAUUCUAACUCGAUAUCGUGCUUGCAGGGACCUGGUCUUUGCGUUUCUCUAGUUUAAAGGCCAAGAUAUUAAUGGUGAUGACAGGGUUACAGUGAUAAGUUCCCAUAAGGACUAAAUACUUCAGGCUCUCAGCUUACAAGUUUCGUCAGAGCAUAUGAUUUCCUGCCCAAAACUGGUACUGAAGAUUGGAAAUGGAGCAUCACACUAAUAAAGAGCUAUUAACUUCUAGCAUUUCGUGGCUUUCGAUACAGACCAAAUGAGCAGCAUAUUUCUGCCUUUCUUUUUUAGAGAGAGAGAGAGAGAGAGCGAGCGAGGUAUUGGGGGAAAACAUCCCAUCAAUUUAUUGUAAAGCAACAAAAGUGCAGAGGUACAAAGAAAAUAAAGCGCAAACGAACCCAGCGGUUCUCAAAUGGCAGAUUACAUCAGUCACUUCACUCAAUUCAGAAGAAAAACCUCUGCAGUUUUGCCGGUGCAUGCGCAAUAUCGCACUAUGUACAGGCUAAUGUUUGUUAAAUCGCAUCACCCGGGGCCCGGAUAUGAGUGCAUGGUUCUCAGUCGUUCAGGUUUAAAAAAGUCCUCGAGUGUCACAGCAAGUGAGGCCACCAAACGAACGGUUCUCUAAUCUACAUUUAAUUUGACUUUGAUUGAGGGAAUUUAAAUGUUUCAACCACCACGGGGCAAUGAUGGUGUAGCCAUUUUAGGCUGGCUGGGCUAAUUAUUUCACUAACAUAAUGUAGCAUGGCACGAUGGUUUUAUAAGUAUUGUUUUUUUUUUUACACUUGGGCAAGUCUUGUUCAGUUCAUGAGCUUGGUGGCCAUCCAAAGUUGAGUGCCUUUUUUUUUCUUUUUAAAAUUAUUUAUUGAGAGGUUGUGGAGUGUCCAAAUGGCACGAGCACGAUGCCCAGGCUGUCACAAGUCAAACAAAAUUUGGCUCAAAUUUGGAUCCUGAUCCAAUCCAUUACACAACAUGCAACUUUUUGAUGCUUGUUGGAUUUUCGGAUUUUUCAUUCUGGACAACAAAUCCAAGCUGAUAAAUCAAUUUCAGUCCAAUGUACAAAAAGUUGUUUGAUACAUUUGCUACUUUCGUUCAGCAUUACAACCCAUAAGUUGAAGAUGAACCUAAACUAUAUAAAUCUCAAACUUAUCUGAUUCGAGCUUGCUUGACUACCUUGCUUCCCUUGGAAGCCAUAGGAAUGCAAUUGAAUCGAGUUGACCUAACUUAGAUGCAUAAACAAAAUGACUUGAAACUAUUUUGAAGGAACAUCCCAUGGAGCAACCUAGAACUAAGUAUAAAGUCAGCACUAAAUCCCCGCUAAAAUUGAUCCUAAGUCAACACAAAACUCCAAUUCAUUAAACCUUAAUUGAUUCCGAAUCAAUUAAUUUGGGUGAUAUAUAUCACCAAACCAACCACAUCUAACCAAAAUUACAAACUAAGUGGCGACUUACCUAGACUAUCCUUAAGAGGGCAGGAUGAUGAUCGGUCUAGGACAAAUUAUAUCCUACACUUUAUGUACCAACAUACUCGUGCACCAUGUCAACCAGCUAGCGUGUCUUUUUUCUAUAGAUGAUGAUGAUGAUGAUGAUGAUGAUGAUGAUUGGUAUGGUAUAGGGUAAUGUGGUCCACAUAGCGUAGAUAUAAUUUCUCUCAGCUACCUCAAUUACUCGGAACUUAAAUGAUUGAAGGAUAAAAAAGACAGUUUUCUAGGGUGUGACCGUAUGAGAUAUCUCCAAGUACUUAUUGAGGGUGCAGAGGACGAACCUCACAAGCAAGGAGAAAGAGGAAGUGGACGAGCACAAGGUGCCAACUAGUUAGGAUGCGAAGGCCAAACGGGGAGGCCCCAAGGUUCAGCCUUCUCACGCGCGGAGUUUGAGGUGGUACAAAAGCGGGAGGUCCGGCUGUGGAAGGGCAACACCAACCUUUCAUCCGCGCUUUUCAUGCCGAGACGUGGUCUAGAUUUUUAAACAUGUCGCAGGCUUUCUUUCUAAAACCUUUUCUCCAGACCGCCAAAUGAGUUAAAGCGGCCAAAAGACCCCAGCCUGACGGAUUCCAUUUGUACUCUGAUUUGGUAUUUGAUUAGACUUCUUUCUUUGAUUGCUCAUAGUGGCAACUCCAGCUAAUUUAUUUAAAAUCAUAUGGCAUUUAAAAAUUGUGCCAUUAGGCAAUCACAAAUGCCUGCAAAUCUCACACUUUUACGAUAUUGAAUCUUGAUGUUUAGGUUCAUUAAUAACAAUGGUAGCUUAGUCUCCUUUUCCUUCAAAGAAAAAAAAAUCUUGAUAUUUAGGUGUAACUCGAGCCGAGUUCUCUCAAAUUUGAGUUUGCCGAUAUUGGGACUUCAGUAGGUUGGCGAAUGCGUCCGAACUUGGAUGAGUUUGGGAUGGUAUAUCUCAACCUUAUUUGAGCUUAAGUGGCUCUUUUGCUUGGUGAGAAAACACCAUGUAUUAAUAUAUAUUAUUAUUAUUGACAGAGACAACAAAAAAAAAAAGAAGAAAGAAAGAAAGAGCGAGCUUUGUAUAGCCCUAUGAGAUUCAUGGAUUUUGAUAUUCCUAGUUGUCUAAAGAUCACAUGAUUUAGGUAGUUCCUAUAUCGCAAUACCUAGCAAUUUAAAAUAUGAUAUAAAAAUUAUCUACAUUUCAUGAUAUUACGAGUAGCAUAUAAAAUCAUUUUAAUGAGAUCUCUCAUAUAUUUUCAUUGAUUGAAACAGUCCAUUUGGAUUGAUAGAAGAAUAAUUUGUUAGUAUAUUAACAUAGACGGCACAAAAGUCUAGAGACUGAAAAUAUGAAAUAAAUAAAUAAAUAAAUAUAUAAAAGCUAAAGAAAAAAAAGUUUAUGUGCAAAAAUUGUUUAGUACACUUGAAACGGUUGCGAAAGUAUUUUCCUAAGAGCAAACAUCUAAAUUUAACCAACUCGAGUUAUUGUUUCUGUUGGAUUGUCCCUCUUAUGUGGGAGAAUAGCCCAACAAAUGUAGGCUAAGUUAAUUAUUUUUUAGACCAUUCUAUUUAGAAUAAUUUUUAGCCCAAAGUGAGGUUCAUUAGGACAAUUUUUAUGUUGAGAAGGCAGGGGCAUGAGGUCGUCUUCAUUAAAAAAAAGAGGAAAGAGGGGGAGAAUGAGCAGAAUUGGUAGCAUAGUUUUGAUCAAACAACGAUUGGAAGGCGAUCCGUAGUCCGAUUGAGCUGAAAUUUUGACAGAGGCUUAUAACAAGUGGUUUUUCAAUAUGUACGAUGUGAUUGCCAUUUGCAGUCUUCUAGCACAAUCACAUUAUGUAGAAAUGUGAUUGUUGUUCAUAUGAAAUCUUCUCAAUUUUUCUUUCUUAUUGUUGAUGUUUGCCAAGAAUAUUGUUCUUGAGAUUAUGUGGUGAUAUAUGUCUCUAGUUUUAGCUAUAGAGAACAGAUUGUAAUGUCCAUUAUUGGUUGAUAGUAGAAGUUCUUGGGUGGACUACGAUCCUGAUACUCUCCACAUUGGGGAGGUUUUCCACGUAAAAAUUCGAUGUUACUUUUGUGUUUCUGAUAAUUUGAUCAGUUAAGUAUUUGUGAAUGCCUUGAUAUAUAUAUAUAUAUUAGGUGGAUUGGCUCUAGUUGUUUGUUUCCUAAUAGGUUUAUAUAAGGUGGGAGAGUUGCUGAUUCUAUUGUAUUUUAAUUAUCUUAUUUGUUGUUACCUCUCAAUCCUAACAAUUUCAUCCAAUAAUUCAACCAAAUUUUGAGUUGCAUCAUUAAGCUUACUAGCUAGAUUUAUUGAUAACUCAAAGUUAACAGUCUAAUACCAACUCAACUAGGAGUCUGACCAAUCUAUUCUGUCCGUGCCCCUAAAGUCAGAUUGCCCCAAUCCUGCAACAGUGACUUCAGAUGUAAAAUGCUACUCUGUUGCUUGUUUACUUUAAACUUGUGGAGGUAAAAUGCACGUAGAUUCGUAUGUUUGAACAACCAGAUGCAAUUAUUCCCAUUUCUAUGCGAACUCUAAAUUGACCCUUCGGCUAAGGGAAGAGCAAGCCUCGGCAUAAUGCCAUUAUCGACCGUCAAACAUUAUUCUACGGUAACUUCAAAAAGCAAAACAACGUUCUCGGCUUCUUCUUCCUUUUUUUUUUUUUAGUCGCAACGUUCCCGGCUUCUUUGAAGUGCAAUACGCGUAACCUCGGCGCUCGGAACUGGGACCCCAAGCUAAUGGCACGGACGUAAAUGUGCUCUCAAAUCAGGGGUAAAUGGUUCACCAACCCCUCUCUUAAGCCGCCUCCUACUGGGAAAUGUAGCACUCCAACUUUCCACUCUCUUCGGCACCACGUGGCCUCAACCUUAUGUAGGAGAAAACCCCUCUAUCUCCGGCGAUGUAGCCGGACUCCGGCGAGACCAGGAGAGUUUUCCGGCGAUGUCAGCGGCGGGGGGGAGGAGGAGGAGGAGAAGGGUCCUUUGCUUGGCGGUCCUUUACGUUGUCUGGGUGCUAUGCUUCCCCUGCCGAGCAGGGGCAAUUCCGAUGUUUCCUCCAAACUCCGGGGCAACGCCACGUGAUAAGACCCCCCUCGUCGGCCGGAGGGUGGCUCCCCCCCACUGGAGCUCGCCGGCCGGCGACGGCGAACGGUUGGACGACAGUAAGCGAAGAGUCCCAAGCUGCCCCGAUCCCCUCCACAACCGGUAAAAGAAAUAAUGUUAUAACUAUUGGUACAAUUAUUUUUCGGGGCAUAUCGACAUGUAUCCUUCUCCUCUAUUUUGUUUGUGUACAGCUGGAGGAAGAGAGGCUCUGUAUUGAUGGAAUCUCCUAUUUUUAUUUUAACUGUUGUCAAUAAUUUGUGUUAAAAUGGUGGAGGUGUAAUCAACUAAGCUGAGAUUCUUGGUCGCAAUGAUUUACGAUACAGAGCCAUGGUCAAGUGCUAUAGCCAUGGAAACAAGGAAAAAAUUUGCAGUCUAGUUGUGUUCUUAUGUUCAUUUAUAGAUUUUAAUUUCUACUUUGUAGAAAUAAGGGCUCCAUUAUGUAUAAAGGUAUUAGCGUUCUAUUGAGAAAUUAGACAUAUGGAUUUCUGUUUAUUUCCAGUUUUAAAAUUUUUUAUGGUAUCGGCUGUUGCGGUGCGGUGACAUGAGAUAAUUUCAAAAUUGGCAAGUGCAAAAUCGGUAGUGAAAGGUAAGUACUUGUGCGCCAUUUCUUCUUUCAGUUGAUACUCUUCGCAUUUCCUUUCAGUUGUUGUGUGUAGUCCAAAAAUCAAAUCAGUCUGUCUCAGAGAUGGGAGGAGGCGCCUGUCAGCUGCCGUAUCCUUCCCAAUAAACGAGUCCUUAAUUAUUUAAUUAUAUAUAUAUAUAUAUGUAUGUAUGUAUGUAUGUAUGUAUGUGUGUGUGUGUGAAGUACAUACAAGAAUAAUAAAUCUUAUGUACUUUGGCAGGGAGGAGUUUGGCCAUGCGCCCUUAAAGAGAUUUAAAAGCUAAAUUUGGACUAGAAGAGUCGGGGAUUGUUCUAAAUUCCAUGCUGUUCUACUAUUGCUUGCAUUAUUAAUAUAUGUAUUGGUCUGUGAAUUAGCCGCUUAUAGACGUCAUGGCCAUGUCGCACGAGGUAUUUCUCACCUACACAAGUGACUUUUCAUCUUUGAUCUCUGUGGUUUCACAAAGGUAUCUUCAAUCACAUCCUAGAGAUCGAGCGAUCAACGGUCCAUCAACUUGAUAGUUGUAGUAUUUCCUAUACACAUGAAUUUUCACUCAUAUGCAAGUGUAUAUUUUGGCACCAUUGAUGUUGGAAUGCAAGCUUAUAUAUGACUCUUUUUCCCUUUUUUUUUGUUGAAAGCUUCUUGUAUAUACUCUAAUUACUUGACAUUAUUUUUACAAUUUUUUCUUGGCUUUGUAUGCUCUUCGUCGAUCUUUGCUUGUGAUAAAUUUAAACAUAAAAUGGAUUUAUGGUACUUUCUGCGGUAUGCUAUAAUCUCAUAUCUGUUUGCAGUGGUUCGAGUCAUUGAUGGCUGGAUGCCAUUCAAUGAUGCACCUACCCCUAUCCGAGUAAAUUAGCAUAGCGAAGUAAUUGAUUUUGGUAAAAAAAGUGUUACAUAAUGACAGUGCAACUCCACUGUUGCUUUCCUUUUAGCAUGAAUUGCUAUUUGGGUAGCUUCCAAAUGAAACAGAAAAAGACAACCAGUAUAUCCCUGCCAUGUGGUCUUUUCGUUUGAGUAUGCUUCUUCUGUCCUGACAAAUGUGGCUUAUAGACGGCAGACUACAAAUUCCUAUACUCCUCUCUAAAUAAAUUCCUAUACUCCUCCCUAAAUUCUUCUAAUUCUUUUUUACUUUAUCCUCCUCCUCCUCCUCCUCCUUCUUUUUUAACAACGGCAGCUCACACAUGAUGGAUGUAGAUGCGAUCAACAAAGUCAGUAAAUAAAAUGUCAUAUAAAGGCUCUGGCACGGAUCCACUGUCCAACCAGACAAACCCACGAGAGUGAUGGGCUGUAAAGGAAGCAACCCAGUCAGCAACCUUUUUUAUUUCCUUGUAGACGUAUGAGGCCCGGUAGAAGUGGCACUUCCCCAGCAAUAUACGAAUCUCAUUGAUUAGCGGUCGGUUCUCAGCUGUGCAUCCCGAUCCCAGAUCUACUCAACCAUCGUGACCGAUUCCCCCUUAAGGAUAAUGUGGUCCGCGCCCAGUGUCCGCCUCGCAUAGCAGAUACCCUCCCAGGCUACUCUAAGCUCAGCACAUGCCACUGACGAGUCAAAAGUCCGCCGAUCUCCCGUCUCAACUAGUCUGACGUCGUGGUCUCGGAUGGUGAAACCCACACCACUGCAUCUCCCGUCAUUAGACACACUGCCAUCGAAAUUUAUCUUGAAGAAACUAGAAGGUGGGGACUCCUAGAAGACAAAGACUGUCGUGGUAGCUAUCUAGCCAGUAUUGGUAGGCCAGUUAGGCAACUUGAGUCCCUCUCUUCUUAGACUCAGAGCUCUGUAUCGAGGCCUCCAGAAAACGUAGGAGAUCCUCAACAGACGACCACCUCUGCCACUGGUCUAGCUAGGCCGAAGCAUAGUGCUAAACCUGGUUGGCCCAUGGGCAUCCGAUAAGGACGUGGUAAAUGGACUUCUCCACCUCUGGACAGGUCACACAAGCUAUCAGAAUUCUCAUUCCCCAUUUUUCCAACACAGCUCUGGUGGGCAGGCACCUCCAGGCCACCUUAUAGAGAAACAAGGCAUUUUGUAGGUGGAUGCGUAUCCUCUAGAUCUAAUUGCUCUCAAUUUAUUAAGUUGCAGGCCCUCGGAUUAGCCUUGAGAGAUUUCGAACUUUCACCACUGGCAAUGCGGUCAUGCUCCACACCCUUCUAUCUGCUGUCGCUCUCUUCAUGACCGGCAUGGUUAGAAUCUGCUCGGCUAGCUACUCUUCGAACACUGUCAGAUUCUUCUAAUUCUCCAAGACCUGGUUAAGAUGUUGUUUUCUUGAGCAUAACGGUGACAUGCCCUCUUCAUAUUUCAUUGAAAAAUGAAGUGAGAGUUAAGGUGGCAUUCAAACCCAAAAUUCCGGUACCAUCACUGGAAAUCUUAAUCAAUAAAGUAAUCUAGUACUCAUCUUUAUAAGAAACUUAAUUCUUGGUUACGCAGCUGAUAUCUCUUUUAGCUUCACCCAUAAAAUUUACUGGGUUACUGUAAUCGGGUCCGCAUUGUCCAUUGAUACGGGAAGUACGGCGAGGCUGUGACAAGAUGAGGGCGAUUAAUCAUGGUAUCCCUGGUGCAUCGUCUUCUGUGACAUUUAGACAGUGCAUGGAGUGGACAGAGUGCUGGCACGAAGGAAGUUGCGACGUAGGAGAGGUCAGAGGAACGGCGUUGCACCGUCGCCUAGCUGUUUGGACAUGGAAUCUCACAGGCCUCUCAACCACUUCUCACCACCUUCUCCAUCGCACUAAAUGCGAUCAGUAAUUAUCAUCACCAUAAAAGCCUCUUCACACUGCUCAACGCACAUCUCUUCACAUUUCUUCAAUCCUUCCUAAAUGUCCUAGCCUAGCCAAGAGGGAGUCGGAGACGCAAGAGGUUGGUGAGGAAAGUCUCGGUCUCAGCCUUUUUUGGUAUUGUCGGAAUUUCUUAGGGCUCAGUUUGAUUCGUGGGAAAAAUAGGAAAAAAAAUAUGAUCAAUGAAAAAGUAAUAAGAUGCCUCUUAUUUGAUUAGAGUUUUCGAAGAAGAAAAACGUAAAAAUUGUAUUUCCAUGAAAAUAUGAUUCCCACAUUUUAUGAAAAAGUUUUUCCAUUAGAAACAUGUGAAAGUUACUUUCUCAUGAGGCAGAAAUCACUCCAUUUUUAUUUUUUUCAAAAAAAUUCUUCAGCAUUAAAAAAGCAUUAAAGAGGCAUUAAAUACCUAAUUUUUAUUAAGAGCAUAAUAGAAAUUAUACAUAACUUUCCCAGCAAAGUGAAUAGUCAACCAAAUAUAAGCACUUUGUAAAUUUGCCACUUUUCCAUGGUCAACCAAACAUACCAAAAGUAUUUUCUUAGGCAUUCUCUUCCCUAGGAAUCUUUCCCAGUAAUAAUAUUCUUUGGAGGAAAAAUGAUUUCCGCGAAUCAAACAAGCCCUUAGCAUAUGUUAUGCAUUUGAGUUUUUUACCUAAUGGGAUAUGAUUACCCUUGUUUGUUAGCAGAAAAUUCAUGUGAAAUUUUGCUUCUCUAGAAUAUUUUCUUGGAUGCAGUCAUUUGACCUUAAUUUGACUAAAGUCCAUGAAAAGCCUCCCGUCGCUCGCUCGCUCUCUGUGUGUGUGUGUGUGUGUGUGUGUGUGUGUAAAUCAGAGGAAGGAAAAAGAAAACAAAACAAAAAGCAAAGUAUGAAGAGCGAGAGCCUGUAAAAGUAGGGGGACGAUUCUGUACCGAAUUAGUCCUAUACACUAUUUUAAACUAGUCCUUCAGAGAUGUGUCGAUUGGUCCCAUCCGGCUCUCCCCUCUCGCCGGCGGCGGCGACGACCGCCCCAUUGCCCAACGAGUGUGUUCUCUCUGGAAAUUUUCCAUGGGCGCGAAUCCUAAAGUCACAAGACCAACGCUCUAGGAAACACACUGCGUUUUCCAAAAAAAAAAGCCUACAUAUAACGGCUUCAUGCAGACGAGCGCAUAAAAAUAGAGACAUUGAGGUUAUGGGAUCCGUCGUGCACACAGGAUUAUUAUUAUGCGGAAGCCAAUCGCCAUAGAAACAGGAGGACACGUGGUACGUAGAAUAGUCCGUGCGCUUAGAAAUAUUAUGCGAUUUUUUCGUACAUAACAAAUAUGCGAAAAAUGUCCUCGCAUAAAACUCUUGUGCGGUUGUAAAGGCGCAUAGAUAAAAGUAUGCAGACUUGGUGCACUAGGGGUCAAUCUCGCAUAACUUUUUUCGUGUGGACUUACUUCCGCACAGAAAAUAUAAGGAACAACAGGUGCUCGGAUUCCAUUCGCGCAUAACACUUUUAUGCGAAAGAAAAAAAUCCUGCAUAGAUAAAUAUGCGGACGUAGGAUAUUUGAUUCUAUUGAGCGCAUAAUAUUUCUAUGUGGAGAGUAGAUUCGCACAGUAAGCAUACGCGGACGUCCGCAGCAUAUGAGAGGCAUUUCCCCCGUCCCAGCGCCGGCAGCGCCUGUGUCUAUUCGACUGCGCCCCCGACACCGUCCCUCAACUCCAGCGGUGACCGCCGACGAUCUCAGUGCCUGAAUCUUCUCAUAUGUCGUUUGAUGGAGCGGCGACGCCGGCAAUCAGCGUCGGCUUCGGUGGUGGGAGAUGGAGGGAAAGACAGAAGGAAGAGCUUUUCUACCAUUAGAUGCCCUCGCUGCUCAUGUUUCGCUUUAUUUGUCCGUACCAUUGCCUUCGCCGCUCGCAUUUCUGCUAUUGGAUAUUUGGAUGCCCCACGGCCUUGUCUCGAUUGCUCACAUUUCUGCCAAUGGAUUUGUCUUGAUCUAAAAGCUGAUGUCAGGUGAUGCUCCAUCCAAGAACCAUCCAAAUAUCAUCAACCUCCGUUAGUGUCGCCUGCCUCGGUUGAAAGUAAUCAUCAAUUAAAGUCCGAUGAAUCAAACACUCACCUUCUGAUAAAAAAUUUUAAGAAAUAUACGAUGAAAAUGCCACCAUUUACGUUUCGAACCCAGAACUCCCCUAAAUGAAAGCACUAAAAGGAGAGUUUUGAUGUACACCAAAAAAAAGGAGAGUUUUGAUCAAUUGAACCAAACCUUGCUAGCAAAAGCCAUCCAAAACGACUGUCGUGCACCAGAGGUGGCCAUGUUUCACAAAUCUCAAUGCAAGAUUGAAGGGUGGUGCGACAUUGGACCAAGAAAUGGUCUGUUGGGCACAAGACUCUAGCUUCCUUUCUUCUUUCUUUCUUUCUUUCUUUUUUCCACUUUUUUGAGGGAGACUGGGAGGGAGACCUAUUUGUACCAUAACUACCUGAGUUCAGAGUUCUGGUGAUGCGUCGCUCGGGAACCUAAGCAAAGCAGCAUGACCACUUAGACAAGCCCCAAUUCGUAUUUCCUUUUAUUUCUUAUUUUAACUAAUUAAUGGAGAUUUCAGUAGAGCAAGUUUUAGGGGAAAAAAACCACCUUCUAAUUCUAUGUGAAUUAUGCAUCAAAGGCCUCAUACAUGAAAGAGUGGUUAUGUUAGUGCCAUUGUUUCAUCAGCGGCGCACAAUAGAGAAAUUCAUAUGCCCCUUAUUUUGGAGAAAAUAUACCCUGCACUCUGUGAACCACAUCAGUGGUGCGCCAUAGAAACAGAUCGAGACAAGAUGUGCAGGGCGGCUGGCAUGUAAUAUAUGGAGCCCACAAAAACUAGGACGUCUGAUUGGUGCGGUGCACCGCCACAUGGUGCAGGAAUAUAAUUUCUCCUCCUUUUUCGGCUCCUCAAGACACGAGCGUGACACCGCCGCAAACAUCGUUCAGAGUACAGCGCAACUCUGACCUAUGGUCAUGGCAUGUAGACGUUGAGCCGGGAGAACACUGGUAGUGUACGGGGAAGAACACCUGAUCUUAAAUUCUAAUUGAGUAGACCAAGACUUCGUUUACAAAAGUUCUUUACUUCCAAGGCAUAAUAAUAAUGCUGCAAUGCUGAGCAAAUGUUGAUAAUGCGGAGAAGGAGAACAAACCACGUAGUAAGUUAAUAUUUUGGUGUCGUUGGAAUCUUUGGAAUUUGGAUGCCUGGCCAUGCUUGUGGGUUUCAUUUCUCACCCAUCAUCAACACUGUGGCUUGGGAGUCUUCAUAUUCUAAGCUUCAAGGAGGAUUUUGGCACAAGAAUUCCUUGUAGGGGCUUCAACAAGUGCUUGAUACGGGUACUUUUCCAUCUUAUCUGAAAAAUUAUUGGCGAUGCAUCGGCUAUUGUUCCUUAGUAAAUGAGCGAGAUGUAUCGCAUAUGGAAAAUAAGAACACUAGGAAUGGUAUUAUAUACUAGAAGGCUGCCUGCAAGGAAAAUGAGAAGUCAGAUGAUCCAAGCUCGCUAUUAGUUUCUGGCUAUAUUGGCCAUUUAGUUGAAUUCAAAGCAUCAAGGUAAUCAAACCACCGAUUAAUGAUAUAUUAUUAUAUGGUUUUUUGUACUAGCACGAAUGUAUGAUUCAAUGAGGAGGUUGGUUUUGUAUAGAGAUGAUCUAUUUUGCAUUGUGAUAAUAUCAAAAUCUGAGCUUGUCCCAGUAAUCACCUCUCCAGUCACCGGAUGCUAUACGAACCCACACAAAUGAAAUCCAAGUCCCUACUUUGCUGAAUCAAUAUAUACCAAAAAGUUCACAAAUAAAUAACAAUAAAGAGCACUAAUUAGCCAAUUCUUCAAAUGCUGAUAUAUAAUGCACAGGUUUUGCUGGGUCUGCAACGGAUCUAACAAGGACAAGCAACCAGUAACGGCUUUCUUUGGAUGAUUCUUCUUAUGAGAUGCUAGAAAGUCAAACAGAACAAUAAGGUCAGUUAAGAGCAAAAUAAAAAGUUGGACAUUUUAACACAUGGAAUUUGUUCUACAAUAUAAAUAUGCAACCAGAUCUUAUGCAAUUCUUCUAGAAGUUUUGACCAAAAAAUAUGAAAUAAUGACAUGUUAAAACAUGUUGAGACAUUUCUAUUUGACUUUAAAAUUUCAAUUUUUAGUCCAUUAUUAUUACAUAGUUAACAAUCAAGUGCUUGUUAAUGAUUUAUAUUUUUGUGGCAUGUACUCAAUAUUUAUACAUUUCUCAGUAUAAAUUGUUUAACUUAGAUAAUAACAUCUAAAACCUGACGACUACCAAGACCUGAUCCUCGCCUGAACCCGAUACACAUAUGUUACCCAAACCCAGACCCAAUUCAUCAAUGGUGGAACAUAAAUUAAAACCCAACAUCUCCAUGUGUAUAGGUCUAGGUUUAGUAAAACCCGGACCGGAUUCCAUGCUCAUAUCCACAACCAAGAAUUUCUGCUGACGGAUGAUGGGUAUGAUCCCUACCUUUUCCUCACAAAGGAUAAGGUUGCCUCCUUAACUGCAGCAACCCACAAUAGGUACCAUCCGAUAUUACUUUUGCUCUCUUAGACCAACAGCAAGAGAUCCCUGAGACAGUAACAAUGCCUUCCCAUUGCAUUCUCAGUUUAGGCCAAAGACCCUCAUCAUUAGGUCUUCUGGCUCUGGUUCGGAACUACUCACUAUAUCUCAAUUGACUCUCAAACCAUCACAAUUACCAACUUUUUAGCGAGUAAUAAUGAGCUAUCAUCACUUAUGGAAAGCAAAACAAACAAAACAAAAGCAGAAAUAUGCGGAUAAGAACACACAGUAGCAACCUUAAGACACUUGAAGCAUCUACAAUUACCAGAAUCAAACUCAGCCUUUUCAAAACCAGUUGCAGGUAACAAGUCAAAUAUCACAUGACGGGAGAUAAGAUGGAGCAUUUGUAUAAACUUCUAGCUAGAACUGUGGAGUUUGAGUUGGUUGCAGUCAAGGAUAACCAGUCAUUCCGACAGUUGAGCUUGCCCUGUUGGUUUUAUGCGCAGCCUGACUUGUAGCUUUGGAAAAGUACAUGUAGUAAUACACAUUGAGUAUCAUGGUGAAGACCACGAAGACAGCUCCAGUAACGAAUACUCCUUUCCUCAGAGACUCACAAGUCCAGUUUGAAGCAUAGAUCAUAUGCCUGUACUUUGUAUGGUAUGCAUUCUUUGUCGCACCAGCUAACAAGCAUGCCUCAGCAAUCAAGAAAGUCAGCCUGCAGUUGGCAAACAAGCACAUUCGCAUAAUGCAUCCCGAAGUAAUUCAAGAUUUAUAAACAGAAUAAUGGAUUUGUGAGAAUUAUGAUCCUAUAUGGAAGAAAGAUCACCAUGAAGAGGCAAAAUAUAUAAUCGACCAGGCUCGACUUCCACCAGGAGCUAAUGGUUGGCCAAAGCACAUACACUUUGUGACACCCAUGAGCAGAGAUUGACUAGAGAAAAGAAACAAGAAAGCACCAACUCCAUAGCCGGUUGCAACAUCCGAAUCGUAAACACAGAAUGUAGCAUUGAGGUUAUCAGUAACUAUGGUACCCUGGCAUGCAAAACAGAGAAUUUAGUAAUGCCCAGAAGCAAAUACAAGGUUAAAUAGCUAAAAGAUAAGGAUGUCAGAAUUUUCUUUAAUCAUAUGGGUUACAUGUCAAUCGGUGUUCAUAGUCAAUCACAGAUUACAAUUUGCAAGAAAUAUUGAUGAAUGAGCUAGGUAGAUCUCCGAGAAGACUCCAAAUAGUUCUGCCCCAGCCCAAGGACAAAAAAGCCAUUAACUAUAUCAAGAUAUGUGACUGGGCUAUUAUUGACUAUUCGAGUUUCACUAAUCAUAGAGACAAACUGGAUCAUAGGAGCGAGAAGGAACCCCAAAAGAAUGUCUAACCCCACAGCUAAGGCCCAACAAACAAAACAAGAAACAUUAGAAGCAUAGAACAGCCAAAAGUGCAGUUUCAAUAAUCUGGUGAGUUGUGGGAACAUAAUUGUUUCCUCGUUUUUUAUUAUUCUUUCAGUGAAUACAAUGCAAGCCGACCGUCAUUGUCACAUGCCUUUAGAAGAUGAACAGAAGCUGUGGCCCGGAACAAUUGACCUUGUGACAUCCACUUUGAGUCCCUUCCCCACUCUUUUAUGAUUUUACCCACUUUCUAACUUUGCUGAUGUCGUAUUCUAUUUAAAUCAAGCUUGCAGCGCACCAAGAUAUUAAGUUCAUCAAUUUAAAGAAUGAAAAAUAUAAAUUAUUGUUUUAUAUGAGUCAUUUCUAGGUACUUCUACAUGAACAAGAAACUUAUCUGAAUUACUCCUGAAUAUUACUAGCAUUCAUUCUUACACUUAAAGAAAACUAUAUUGGCUAAAACAAAGAAAACAUUUUCCAAUAGUUUACCUAAGUACCCAUUUUCCAUUUAUGCAAGAAACUGUAUAGAUUGGGUAAGAAAACAACUUGAUAGCAAUAGUCUAAAUUAAAGGUUCGAUCAAAAAACAUAAACAAAAUUUUCAACAAGACUCACCCAUAGAACCUGAGGUCAGGUAAACUUCAUACUUUAGUGAUCUCUGGGGCCUUCCACAAUUGGGCCCUUGUGCGGUCCUACAGUGAUUGGCCCAUGCAGUGGAGGCCCGACAGCACUUCGGGCCCUUGUAACUCCUGCCUGCAGCACAUCUCCCAACUCCUAGGGCUAACCACCAUGUGGCUCCAUAAAGGCCACAGGGUGGGAGGCCACAGAAUAUGUGCUCUUUGUUCUUAUCCAAGUCCUCGAAAACCAGAAUUGCUGGCACAUCAUUCUUCAAUAUUUUUUCAUCCAAAAUAUUUCUGUUCUUGUUUGCUUCUCCUUUUCCUGAAGUCCUACCAAUCAAUAUGGGAUCAACUUUCUGGAUUUUAUUCCACCAGUGGUUCCUAACCAAAAAAAGGUCCAUUCAAUUGGAAAAACUCUGUAAAUCAUGCCUCCGUCAAAGCCUACUCUAAGACCCACCAACGCCACCUUACACCUACUGGUCCUCCAUAUAAACUUCCCUAUUCAUCAUUUAGAGCACUGAUGAAGUGAUGUAGGAAGAGAAAGAAAAUCAGGCUUAUUAAAGAUGAACAAUUAAGAUGGCAAAAACAAGUGAAAUAGGUUUCAAUAGGCAAGGCUAGGUGUGGAGAUUAGUAAUCUAAGGUUUGCUUAGCCCAAUAUCAGAGUUCUAUGAAGAAUUUCAAGAAUGUUGUCGUCUUUGUUGCAGACCUGAAUUGGGGUGUAGGCCUAAGUACAAAAUACUUAAGAUGAACUAUAUAGGAUCUGCUUGAAUUCAGAGAUUGCAAAAUCACUAGUUUAAAGGAAUUUUAUGGGAUCAUACAAGAUAACAGAUGGAUUAGAAAAAUAUUAGCAGGAAAGGAAGUACAAGAUAACAGUAACAGAGUCAAUAACACCAUAUAAAACACUAGAUUUACCCAAAGGUAUCAUCACUAGACUUGGAAAAUCAGACCAGCCUGGCUAGCAAUUUGACAACAGGGCAAGCCUCGGCAAGGGUAUCUGAGCUAGGAAGUCAAGUCGAACCCGUAUUCUACACCUGCUUAAUUUCCAACCUGGCCCAGACUAAAUAAAUAUUACCUUGGUUUGGCUAGGCCUAGCCUGAAGCACAUAAAAUAAAAGAUGUUACUAAUAUAUUUAUUAAUGUAUACUACAUAAUAAGUAAACAUUAACCUAGUAGCCUUCCCCUUUGCCUCUUCAUCCUCUCCUCCAAGCCCUAAUCCUAAGAAACCAUUAGAACUUCGGAGGAGUGGCUCAUGAACAUUGAUGCUACGACAAGAAUGGGUCUAGCGUUUUGCUUGGUUUGGCUUGCCUGGACCUUUGAUCUAUUCAACAAGGCUAGGCUUGGACUAGGAAAGUUAGGCUUGAGAUUGAGCCCUGCCAAGCUUGAGCUAGCAUGGGGGUUUGGAUGCUUAGCUCAUGCUAGGUUAGAAUUGGCCCAAUAAAUGCUCAUGUAUAUCCAUCACCAUGAUAGAGAAGAAGCAAAGCUCAAAUAUUUAUCACAACUGAAAUUAAUAAUAUAUUAUCAAAAAUAGCCCUUGUAUAGACCCUUGUGGAUCCUCUAUAGCUUUAGGAACACCAAGAAUAAAAGUAAACUUCCUUUCUAGAAAUGAAAUAAGGAAAUACAGAAAAGAAGGAAGAACAACCUACUCUUCACAAUACAAGGCCUCCUAGCAUAACUUUUAAGGGAUUAACCAGCCCUUCAUGAGGAGAUUUAUUAACAUGCAACAACAGAAAAGGAAACAUAUAACAAAAUGAGAGCUUAUCCAAAUUAGGAUCCUCAUAGGCUGUCUUGUGAACUCUACAAACACCUAAAGCAUUCUAAAAUUCAAUCCUAAUAAUUUAACAGUCACCUCUUUCCCAACCUGUAACAGAAAUUAGGCUCAUAGUCACUAAUCCGGCUCAUCUAUGGUGCCCCAAAGCCAAUGCCAAAGAUGGUAAAAAGGAAAACAAAAGGAAAAAGAAUGUAUUUAAAACCCUAGACAUGUAUUGGUGUUAUAAUGAAGAGCUAUUACUUUGAACUCAAAUGGUGCAAGAAAAAAAGAAAAGAAAAGAAAAAAGAAACACACAUACAAAAUAAGUUAGCAUGACAUGCAUUGGAAUUUCACUCAGGAGCAAGAGUUAGAACAUUAACUAGUUUCCAGAAAAUAUAAAGUAAACAAAGGAAAAGUCCUUAUAGUAAUUACCACCCCAACAAUUAAUAAAAACUUACCUAUCUACUAUAUAGGUAAUUAAUGAUGAAAUCUGCCUAGGUAAAAGUCCUUAUAGUAAUUACAAUUCCAACAAUUAAUAAAGAUUAAUCUAUUUAUAUAAGUAUUUAAUGGUGAAAUCGGCCCGGGUAUAGAAAUGAUUAAGGACAAAAGAAAAUAAUACACCAGCAACUCCGUGCUGUUAGAUUGCCCGCAGAGUUGACUGGAAUUUCAGGGCGUGUCACCAACCUCUUGCUCGUUGGUCUUUCGAAUGGUCAUCGAGUUGGUGCUUUUAAUCUACUAAUUAAAAUCCCCCCCAGCAAGGGAGUUUUUUUUUUAAUCGCUUAUCUUGGGAAUCGAACCCGUGCCACUGGCUUUGAUACCACUGUUAGGACCGUAGGCCUUGCCAUCUCACUAAAACCCGCAGGUGAUAGUAAAGGCUUAACCACAGACUUUAAACCGACCAUCCCAAGCGCCCCGCCGGCGUUUGAUUGCGACUUGGCCUACACCGGCCUCCGCCGCGGACGAGCCUUGCUGACUUGGCCCACACCGCGGACGAGGUUUAAUGGAUCAUAGGCUACUUUUAUUCAAACAAGGCCCUAAAAUUCAAGCUUGACCUAAGCUUUGAUCAAGCUUAAUUUAAAUCCAGCUCACUUUGAGGGUAACAAGCUGCAGAAAAUAUGCUUGUUUAACCUCAUAUUGAUACUAAGCUCCAUCAAAUAGGAAAUGUGCCAAAUUUGACCAAUCAAAUAAGCUUGAUUACACCUCUAGACAUCAAUAAUCCGAAGGACACAUUUAACCGGUUAUCUCCAUCAUUUGCCAACUCUGUUUCAAAAAAAAGUCACAUUUUCAGAAUCCUGUUGUGGCAUGUGCUAAAAUUUUCAUAAACAUCCAGCGAUGAAGCGAUUGUGAGAUUCUAGUCCCACAGCAGAUUGAACAUGAGUACACAACGAUGUGUCAAAACCUUCAUGCAAGCACAGAGGGAGCCACAGGGAUGGGGGUCAAUCAAAAGCCAGAAAUAUGAUGCAAUUUGAAGUCCCAAAUCUGGAAUGACUAUUUGCUUCAAGCCAUAGAUGUAGCAUCAGUGUUAUUAGGCACUAAAGAAAAGAAAUUAUAGGAUAAGUUUGCACCAGCAAAAUUUCCUCUUUAAUGUGGUCAAGCAGAAAUACAAGGUAAUGCAAGAACAACAUGUAGCUGAACAAAGCACUUGCAGUCAUAAGUGCAGACACAAUGCACAAGCCAUCGGUAUAAAAUCCAUCUGCUACUAGGGAAACUAGCAGCAAACGUACGAAGUAUUCAUGGACCUCCAGGUAAAUACUUACUGCAUGUAUUUUAUCACACACACAUACACAACCUACCGCUUGUAAAGGAGCAAGGCCAUAUGUAAAAAUAAAAAACAAAACAAAAAUCAAGGAAGCGUCAACAAUCCCAAGAAGUAACUCGAAUUUCCUAGGCACUGCUGGCCGGUUGCAAAGGAUGAACUCAUACACCAAGCUUGCCCAUGAAUUGAGUCAUUACACUUUAAAAUCUUGUAUUUGAACCUUACUUAUUCUGCUCCAAUUUCCCUGGUGUACGUUUUUAAAAAUCCUUGUACAAAAUGCGCUCCCUAGUCCACCCUCCCCCUUUCAAAUCAUCUUUUACGGUUACAAUCAAGGUCACAAUUUCCAUCUUCCAUUCAGCAUUCUGAAAUUCCAAUGCAAAUUCAAACCUUUUACUCUAGCAGAAGUGUUCUGUUACUUACAUUGCAUAUUACCCUAAAAGAUACAGUUUCCAUACAAACUAGACCUAAUCAAAUACCAACUAGUAGACCAAAUAACUUCUAAAUUCAUUGAUUCAAUUAGUAGACCUAAUCGCAAAGACAUCCACAUAAUGGCCAAGAAACAGAGACUAAAAGGCAAAAUCACAAAGAUCUCCAUCCAACAUCAAGUGAGCGACACCCUACUUCACUAUAACCAAGAGGUACAGCGGAUAAUAAGAAGGGCGAAGAGCGCUCACGGUGCUCCUGCGGCGUUCGGCAGCGAUGGCGAAGCCGAAGGCAGUGAGGCUGAGGGCGACCACAAGGAUGUGGACAAGCGUAGAAGCCUUCCCUUCUCCCAUCGCCCUCUUUUCUCACUCGCUCAAAGAAGUAAGAAGGUGUGGGGUGGUGUGAAGUGGAAAGUGCGAAGUAAGAGACGGCCGUGGAAUAAAGGCAGCGCGGCCUCAGCAGCGGCCCCUACUUUUUCAACUCCGUGCUGUUAGAUUGCCCGCAGAGUUGACUGGAAUUUCAGGGCGUGUCACCAACCUCUUGCUCGUUGGUCUUUCGAAUGGUCAUCGCUCUGCAUGUGAUAUCAAUAUGUUAACCUAAAUCAUUAUUUCACUAUAUUGAUGCUUGAUAUUUCUAAUUUGUUAGUCUUUCAUCUCAACCGAGAUCAAGCAACAUGUUUGCUUACAUUUUGAUGUCGUCAAGCAUCAGAUGGUUGGACACGUGAUCCGUGAAGAAUACAAAAUUCAGUGGGGCCAAAGAAACUUUUAGGAUUUUCUCUCGGGCAGGCAAGCGAUCCUUUGGAAGCUACCUCAAACGCAUCCAUGCAACUUGUUCACAUCAGAUCUAGUUCUCACCGACAAAAUUCUGUAGUACCUACAGAGCCGCUUAAGGGAGUGGUCAUGCGCUAGCGGAGAAAGGGCGAGCUCGAAGUGGCACGCACCUCCUUGCUUAGAAAACGAGUGUCAAAGACUCAAGUUCUUGGAUGAUGUUAUCCCUCAAGAUAUUAAAUUUUCUGAAAAAUAAUAUUUCUAAAUUUACGAGUUCAUAUCCCAGAAAUGUUUGGAUACAUCCUCUUCUCUUAUUGGAUGGGACUUCUCUCUUCCAUCUUGAAGAAGAAGCGAUAUCGAAAGAAGAACUGGUAUGGAGGCCAUAAUUUGUAGGGAUAUGCACCGAUUAAUCUGCUCCAGCAAUCGAACUUAAAUGAGAGAGAAAUAUCAAGAUCAUAUAGGAUCUUUCAAGAAGGUUGCUGGUCUCCACGAGGACCAAGUCCAGGCAUUGACCUUGCUACGGUCAUGCUCAGAGAAUGUGAAGAUUGGCAUUCUUAUCGAUUCCUGAUCUCCCAAAGGACAAGACAGAUAUCUAAACAACAGGACUAAUAAUAAGACACGCACUUUAAUUUACAAUAUCUUCAACAAAGCAUCAUACCUGCAAAAAUAAUUGUUCAAUGUGGAUUAAAAAAAACGAAAAAGAAAAAGAAGUUUCAGCACAUACAAAUUCAUCGAAGUGCUAAUAAAAGCUGUCAAAACUUUGUUGGUGUCACCUAUAAAUUUAAUGUCGUCACGCAUUAGGCUUAUGUUUAGGCCUGUGACUCUGUUCAAAAUCUACUUCUGGCAGCUGUUCAAGUUUUUCUCGGAGUGUUUCACCAAUGUCAUGAGCUUGGCACAGAGGCAUAUUCCCAGGCAAGGCAAUGUCCACCUCAACGAAGUAUUGAGAACCGAAAGUAUAUGCUCUAACCGUAGCGAUAUGAUUGAUUCCUGCAUGGCGAUUCCAAAUGAUACCGUCAACUUCGCAAAGAAGUCAGGGGGUGCUGUUUUCCCAAUUAAUGACCAUACAUUCUCCAUGACAGUCCUUGCCCAUGUACUCAUCGUGUAUAAAAAAGCUAUCUGCAACAAAAUCCAGUACGAAUCAGCACACUCAUGGAUGGAGCAUUGCUAGCCGGUCCUGGGCCAAAUAUCGAUAGAUACAUCGACCAACUGAAUUAAUUACGCUGCUUUGUAGCACGUAGUAUCUGUCUUUAUUCGUCCUCUUUGCCCUUUACUAGAAAGCUAAGGAAAGCCGAAGCACUGUAUUCUUUUCCCGUCUUCCAUGGUAGGGGGGGGAAGGGAAAAGGGAAAAGUGAAAAUAGAGAUCGAAGAAGCAGGUAUAUAGAAAAGAGAAGAGAUUGGAGCAUGACAUACCAAGAGUCAUCAUACCAACAUCCACUGUCUCAUCUUCAAUUGUUCUUUUUUUUCAUGAGACAGCAAGACAUUUAUUAGAAAUCGUUUCAUUCAAAGCACCGCAUUUGCCAUCACUGUUAACAUCACUCUUACUCGUAAUAAUUUCAGACCUUGGUCUUAUGUUCUGGCCUAUGAGUGAACUCGAAAUCUAUGUGCACAAAUGCGCGUUCGACUUCCGGUAGCUGCUCAAGCUUUUCCUGGAGUGUUUCCCCGAUGUCAUGCGCCUGGCUCAAAGGCAUAUUACCAGGUAAGACUAUAUCUACUUCGACAAAAUAGUGAGAACCAAAUGUAUAUGCUCGGACUGUGUCAAUAUGCCUGAUUUCUUCAUGGUGAUUCCAAAUGAGGUAUGUCAGCUUUGUUAGAUAAUCUGGUGGUGCAGUUUUCCCAACCAAUGACCAUACAUUCUCGAGUACAGUCUUCGCCCAUGUGCUUAUUGUGUAUAGAGCUAUCUGCAUCACAAGUUAACUAAUUCAUGAACACAUUUGUGCUUGAUAUCAAAAAAAAAAAAGUAUUACUAGUAUUGUUGUUGGCAUUUGCAUGAUAGGACUGGAAAACUUAAAACUGCAUGAAUUUAAUUUUUGCACAGAGCACUUGUACAUAAUUAUGUCUGUGGACGCAUGGAUGUAUGCAGGCAGGCAUAUGUUUAUAAAUUAGAUGCGAUUAAAUGUAAAUAAGUCAUCCUUGCAAAUAAACUUACCAGUAUUGCGCCAACAGGGUCCAUCCACCAAUAGAAUCUAACAGCAAGUAAAGCUGUUGCGAGACCAAUGGAGUUAGUGAUGACAUCAAAGAAAUGAUCUUGUGCAUAAGCUCUGACGAUAUCAUUUUGGAAGGUGCGGCAAUACAGCAUGAGGACGAACUUUACUAUUGUAACUGAAGCCAUAAUGCCAACCAUCCAUUUCUCUUUUUUAUGGUCAAAAGUAGGGUGAGCCUGCAAUGUGUUCAUUUUGGUGUUAGAAAGCAGCAUCUAGGUCGAUAAUUGUUCACACAGAUAAGCUUCUCUAAGAUUGUGCAGCUUUCAAGGUUUGUUAUAUAAAUGGGGAGUUAUAAUGAAAGAUAAGUAAAAUCAAAGAUCAAUUAGCUAUAAUCAGAUUAAAUUUAAAAAAAAUAUAUACAAUUUAUUUUACAAUAUGGAGCAUAUGUCACUUCGUGUCAUACAUUUAGAAGAACAAGGUAACUUUUCUGACCUUGAGAAAAGAUUUAAUGUACGAUUAAGGGUCAUCGUCAUUAAUAAUACCAUACAACAACAACACAAAUUUCAUUAGGCAUAUCAAAUCAAUUACUAUUAGGUUUACUUGAAGAACAUCUACCUGGGUAACGAGUUCUCGACCGGACUCUAACAUCACCUGGAAACCGAGGGUAGCCAUCACAGAAGCAAAAACUAUAAUUCCCUGCAUAGUAAAAAUAAUAAGAUUUAACUUGUUUACAGGAAGAUCACCGCAAAUAACCGAGCAAUUUACAAGUGUAAGUUAAAUCUUUUCUUUUUGUUUCUUUUUUCUUUCAAGAAAAGGGUAGUUGAAGCAACCCAUAUUUCAUUAAGCCAACAAAAGAGAUACAGAGGAAAAAAGAGCAAACAAAAAGCAAAACAAACUAAAGCAGUCAAAAGUUUUGUAAAGGUAUCUGUUCCGCAUCUUCUUAUGCUUCAAGAAUUUAUGCCACUGUGUUUCCUGAAACUCAAUAAGCAGUAGAUCUAAAUUUACCCUUAGCAUAAAAAUUAAUGUAACAGCUUAAAUAUGUUAAUUAUCUGAGCAAUUUGUAUAUGAAAACCCAAUCAAAAUUCAAUGAAGUGGCAUCAAGAUUUUUAUCAAAGAUAUUGAUUGUGAGUUGAAAUGUAUAUUAAUCUGUUCUCACCUACAGAGAUCUCCCCCACUUUCAUUCUUUAGUAAAAAGGUAUCAUCAAGUCAUCGCUUUCCAUGUUACCUACAGAAGUUUGCACUACUGAUAAUUUAAGGAUUUUUUUCCCAUAGUGUAACGUGCUCAAUUAUACGAUGAAGAAUUUGGAAGAUAUGACAUGCUAACCUAAACCUUAUUAAAUAAUUUCAAUUAGCACCGAUAAAUAUUUAUAGAAUUUACAGUUAGAACAUUUAAUUUAUAUUCUAGUUGGUCAAUAUCUACCACCACAGCAUCAUACUGGACCAAAUGUAGGCAGCCCUCCUGCUUCUCUUUAGGGGAAUGCCAUAUUUAGGUGAGGAAUAAGUGUAAAAAGAGCAUAAAGGAUGCAAUGCUUGUAUUGUUAGUGUGGCACAGGGGUUAUGCUGUAGUAAAUUGGGCUAUUGGGUGAUAAGAAGAGAAAAGGCCAUUUGGAGAACCCUGCUAUGUGCUCAGAAUACAAGUGCUAAUAAUGCCCCUCCACCUAACAAGCAGAUGUUCUGGCUUUGAGUCUUGUGAACAGAUGAGUCUCCCACCCUUUCUAUCUCUCAAUUUAAAAAAAGAAAAAAGGAAAGAUGAUCAACUAGCAGCACAUGCAGAAAAACUGAACGUCUGUUUUCAUUUUGACAUAAUGUAGGAUGACAUGAUGUUGGAAACAGGCUUACCACAGGUUGCAUUCGCUUCUUGCCAAUUGGAUAGCUAUACUGAUUAGGUUUCUUCAUUGCGUAUGACGUAAACCAGAGAAUAAACCCUGACAGAAGAUCCAGCAAAGAGUCUAAAGUUGAAGCAAUGACUGCCAAGGAUUUGCUCUCAAUAGAUGCGUAUACUUUUGCAGCAAAGAGGAAUAAAUUGGCAACAUUGGAAGUAUUAAUUGCCAUUCUUUCGCUCUUUUCUAGUUCUCUCAGCUCAUCCUGAAGAUAAAGUAAGAAUCAUCAGUAAGUUCUGUACACAAUGUAUGCAACCAAUGGAUGUCCAUACGAUGAUUUUUUAAAAGGUAACUUCAUUCUCAUAUUAUGCAUAAAAUGCCACCCUAUCCCUUUCUUCCAUAAUCUUAUACAUAUGCAGAAGUUUGGAUGUCACUGCUAAUGAAUGCCAAUUAGCAUCCAUACAUUUGGUAACCAAGCAUCUCAAAAUGAUAUUGGAUGAUAGAACUUUACAAUGUUAUUUAGAUCUUCUUUUUUUUUUUGAAGAACUUUUCUUGUGAGAAAAUUGAAGAACAUUUCUUGAUUUUCUUUUUCUUUAGAACAUUUCUUGAGUACCUUACAAAUAGAAGGAAAACAUAUAACUAAGAAGGGAAAUUAAGAUGAUAGACCUCUGUAGAAGCUCCUGCUUGACAACCUAAUUCAGUGAUGCCUUCCAUUUCAUUGAAUCCCUGUAGAAGCUUUUCUUGCUUCUUGUAGUAUUUCGCAAUUUUACUUUGCUUACCUGAAAAACCAGAAUAUAGAGAAAAAGACAUAACUUUGCAUAUACAAUAAGUAAUGUAAAUAAACUUCAAAAUUAUAACCAUAAAUAAUGACUAAUAGUUCAAAUGUGUCUUCGGAAUGUUUGUCAAUAAUCAUUGCCGGUAUUGAUCCUUGAUUGAGAGAUCAGAGCAUGCCAUAAUAAUUUUUAAAACUUAAGGUACAGAUACUUUACAGUUUUGACUUUAUUAAGGAUAGGUAGAAGAUUAGGUUGACAUGAUAUAAAUUUUACUAUGCAAACAAUAAAUAACAAAGUAGAACCUUCAUACGAUUUUAUGUAUUACUUGAGUAAAAUACAACGACCCUGAAGUGAUCAAGUUAAUGCAUAGGUGUUGCAAGGCUAAUAGAGAUAGAAAUCUAUAUCUGGGAUUUCAAAUCCUGUGCUGGAGUUAACUAACCUGAGAAAACCAUUUCUACUAUGGUUAUAACUUUUAUCCUAAAGUAUAACCAAUAAUACAUAGCCCCAAAAGAUAAUGAACAAUUCCCAUUCCAAUUCCUUGAGAAGUUCGAUGAAAUAAAAGUAUUGGAAAUCAAUAUAGAUAAGAAAUCACAUUGCACUGUAUUGGAAAAUAUGGAAUGUUUUAAAUGAUUUAAACACAACUUGAAGGAGAAAUUUGUAAGGUUGAAUGGCUAUAAGAAAUUGGAUGAGAAAAAUAUAAAAGUUGAAUGAUCGUCAAAUCAAACACAAACAGAACAUGGCCCUAAAUUAUAUAGCCCUACAUUUUUCUCAAAAGAACCAUAUAGUAGUUCAUGAAAUGUAAUGGAGGAUCUCAUACAGUCUGCUUUUCUUUUGUUAGAAAAAUAAAAAAGUCAGGCCUGCAGCAUUUGGUUCUAUCAGCCUAAAUUGGCCACCCAUUGCUUGGACCGAAUAUUUCCGCCUAGUUUAAGCAUGAAUCGCUUGAAUUCUUGAAUCUCUGUUCGAUUUAGUUUAAGUUUGGUAUUUUGAUUUUAAUCAGCAGAAUGCAUUGCUAAUUGUUUAUGCAAAUGGGCAUCUAGAAACAGUCAAGUCAGAUUGAACUGCAAGGCUAUCGAUCUGAUUGUAGAUUUCAUGAUACAUGACCAUCUUUAUCAGAAAUCUUUUGAUCGUGUCUCCACCACUUCCAGACACAGACUUGGCUGCCAACUUGUUCGCUAUUAAGCAAAGACACUCCAUUUUUUCUCUCUUUAAGAGUGGAAAGAGAACCUGUAAGACAAGAAACUGCUACGCUGUCCUGCAGAUUCCCCAACAGUUAAAAACCAAGGACUCUAUGGGCAUUAUUUUACAGGAAAAAAUUAAUUUUGACCUCAACACUUAAUGGAUAGACCUGGAUUGUAGCUUUCAGGAUAAGUUGUGAGGGCAGCAUAGUUUUGUUUUUCAACCAAAAGCCAAACAAAUUUUCCUUUGUUUCUUUUAUGGUGCUGCUGGCCUGUAUAUUGUGUUUGGCUUUUUAAUCAACGCUGUUAAACCUUGAGUAGGGUGUUACAGUAUCUACAGUGCCCGAUAUAAUUACAGAGACUCCAGUAGUAAAUAUCCAAAAACCAACAGUAGUUCAUUUCUCAGGUCUUCCAUUUACUAUAAGCGAAGAGGGCCCGCCCAAAGAAACUCCAGUAAAUUGUAAGUACGUCAAGCGAAAAUUCCCAUCUCAGAGCACGACCAUCAGUGAAGCCACUGCACCAUAGUAUAUGAGCCUAUUGUGUAUAUAUAUAGACCAGACACAGAAAAUCCAACAUUUACGUAUAUGUAUGUCUAUGUAUGUAUGUAUGACACACACACACAGUAUAUAUAUAUAUAUAUAUAUAUGUGUGUGUGUGUGUGUGUGUGUGUGUGUGUGUGUGUGUGUGUGUGUANNNNNNNNNNNNNNNNNNNNNNNNNNNNNNNNNNNNNNNNNNNNNNNNNNNNNNNNNNNNNNNNNNNNNNNNNNNNNNNNNNNNNNNNNNNNNNNNNNNNNNNNNNNNNNNNNNNNNNNNNNNNNNNNNNNNNNNNNNNNNNNNNNNNNNNNNNNNNNNNGGUGUGGGUGUCUUCGUGGGCAUAUAGGAAUGCGUGCGCAUACGAGGUUGUGUGUGGGUCUGGGUGCAGGCGUGCUCGCGCGUGUAAUUUUCUAGGUAUGCAUUUUUUGCAUAAACCGGGACACAAGAAUUGGAUUGUGAUGUAGAUAGGAAAAAAUUAAUACUAUAACUAAAUAUUUAUAUUUAUUUUUUUAUUUAAAAAUAUUAUUUGUUAAGAUUUUUUUAGUCUAUUUUUUCUAAUUAAGGAUAUAAAAAAAUAAUAUUCUGUUAAAUUAUUUAGAUACUUAUAUCUAAAUCUUCAUAAUGAAAAGUUCAACCUUUUACCAACCUUUAUAAAUGGUAUCUAUAAAAUUUCAUAAAUAUUCAAAUGUCCAAUACGUAUCGUAUGUAGCUAAGUAUCUGUCAUGGAUUUUUGGGGCCACACACAGGUGUCACACAAUAUAUAAGUGGGCUUCCUUUGCGCAUGCACUCUAUGAUAGAACGAUAAAACAAAUGCAUCUAGAAAAAAAGAAUUUUUUUUCAUAAAUUUCUAUUUUGUGAAAACAUACUUCCAGAUGCACACGUUUGCCUUCAAAAUCAUCCCAACGAAUCCGAUUAUGCCUCUAUAAACUAAUUGCAUGCAUCAUCAAACAGGACACAAGAAACGGAUUGUGAUACAUAUCUAAAUAUGUGAGUCGGCAAGAGAGAAAAAAUACGAUAGGAUAAAAUUAAUACUACAACUAAAUAUUUAUAUUUAUUUUUUAUUUAAAAAUAUUAUUUGUUAAGAUUUUUUUAAUCUAUUUUUUUCUCGUUCCAAUUACUAACCAAAGAUAUAAAAAAAUAAUAUUCUGUUAAGUUAUUUAGAUACUUGUAUCAUUGGCGCAUUCUCAUAAAGUAAGGUUCAACUUUCUGCCGAUUGAUAGCUAUAAAAUUUCAUAAAUAUUCAAACGUCCCAUGCGUAUCGUACUCCAGCUAACUAAUAUCUGUUAUGGAUUUUUAGGGCCACACACAAGUGUCUCGAUAACACAAUAUAUAAAUGGACUUCCUUUGUGCAGCCGUGCGUGCAUCAACGUGUGGUUUUGAAUGUGUGCGCAUGCAGUCUAUGAUAGAGCGAUAAAACAAAUGCAUCUAGAAAAAGAGAUUUUUUUAUAAAUUUCUAUUUUCUGAAAAAAUACUUCCUGAUGUACAAGUUUGCCUUCAAAAUCGUCCCAACGCAUGAAUCGGAUUAUGCCUCUAUAAACUAAUUGCGUGCAUCAUCAAACUAAUCUUUUACUAGCAAAAUAGUCUCUGUUUCCAUUCAAUCACCUCAUGUCCCCACCGCGUUAUAAGAUUAAUAGCACGAGACGAGUAGGAGAGCGUUGAAGGCGAGGACCGCGAGAGGAGACAUACCAUGGGUCCUACGGAACACUCGUGAGACAAAGGAAGGGUCUUUGGGCCCUUCCGGCAUCUGGAAGUCGCUCAUGUCAAGCCUCCAACUCUGUGACGCCGCCGCCGCCGCCGCCUCCCCUUUCAGCCUCAUCGGCGAAAGCAGCUCCGUCCUGUAGUCCGUCGACUCGCACCGGAGCUCCAUCGCCAUGCCCGACUCCCUUCUCCUCUCCUAGUUAGUACACACAACUCCUUGGAGAAGAAUAAGAAGACAGGAAGCGGAGUGGGUAUUGGUUAGGAGUUUGAUGACGGCACUGCGUGCUUCUUUUGGGAAGCACUUGAGUUUUUUUACUUUUUGCGGAUGGGUGCAGGCCGCGGCGGUGCUUGGCACGCCCUGCUUUAAUUGGUGGGGCGGCGAACUGAGCGUGAUAGAGUUGAUAAGAUCAAAGGCACGCCAAAAGAGUAAUCCGAGAAAGCUGAAACGUCGGUUACCGACUGGGAUCCCCACCCCCUGUUUGGGGUCGAACAGCUUUGGAUUCUGGGUUCGACCAUGUGUCAUCUUUUGAUAGGCUUUGCUGGUGGGUUCAGGUGUUGGAACUAUGGGUCCCACUUGAAGUGGGAAGUUUGCUCUUGGUAACCGUAGAGCGCCACUUCCGCUGAACCCUCCAACUAAUCUGGCCACGUUGCUCCAACCAUACGAAGUCCAACUAACGUGGCCGACCGCUCCAGGUUUUCUAAUUAAAUAUAAAAUAAACCUUUACGAAGAAAAUACAAAAUAAACUUAUAUUUUUAUUUGAAAAACACUACCACAUGGAAAUAAAAACAUAAGAAAUAAGUAUGAAAUCUUUAACUCAGAUUGGAUAGGAAGGAUUGAAAUAUUGAAAACUAGAGUUGCUGUUCCCGGAGAAAUCUAGUAUUUCCUAGACCGUUAGGAUUUAGAUAUUAGAAUAUUUUAGAGAGAUCUCAUUGAAUAUAGUAUUUAGUUGUAAAAAGGAAACUAAAAUCAAAUUUACAUAUCAUUAUUGUUAUAUUAAAAAUUUAUUAAAAUGGAUGAUGUUUCAUUCAUGAAUAAAUUUAAAAAAAGAUUUUUUUUUUUUAGAUGAAACAUCCUUACGUACCUAUGACUAGAUAAUUAUAAUGUUGGUCUCCUCUCUCUUUCUUUUCAAAAGAAAAGGAUAACAAAAAGUAUCUUGGCUCUCACGUGCUGCACCUGUUCACUCGGACGUACAGACUCGGGCUGAAACUUAGUUUCGUGAUUCUCUAGACAUCGCCCGUGGAAAAAAAAGUUAUUAUGGCCGUGAAAGGGUGGUAACUCACCCAAUGGGACAACUGAGUCGGUUUGAUGGAGGGUUCGGAUUGUACUCUCUUGUGCGAAAGAUACUACCUGUACUUUUUGAUAAAGGGAAUUCUGUCAUGCAAUCAAACAUCUGUACAAUGAAUUAGUUCAUGACCUCCGUGGCCUAUCAACUCGACGAGGGCUUAAGGAGACACGCAAAAGUUGAUUCCACUAACAUGACUCAUCUUGUGCAGGUGCUAUGCCUCAUGGAUGCCCACGUCUUAUACCGGACAAAUGUCCCUUCUUUGCGUGCGUCCCUUCCUUGAUCAGGUGAGAGGUACACAUGCCGACAUGCGGCUCUAUUGCAGUCUGAGAUGGGUCUUCCUUUUUAUUUUUCAAUAGGAGACACUUCUAAUACAUAUGUAUGAUGGAGAUCUAACAACCGGAUUGAGGAGCUAAGGAUAUUUGCAACAAUGCUAAUUGUAGCAUAAGUUACAAUCUUUCAUGCACUUUUCAAAAGACUCUUUGAUUGACAAAUUUUACUGAAAAAUUACAAAUUUUAAAAUAAACAAAAUUUAUAAAUAUGAUUGCAUGCUUUUUAUAGUAAAAUCCACUUUGUCAAAAUUGGUAAGUCAUCAAAUCUCAAAAAUAAGUUUUAUUGAAGGUGGUUUCUCCAUUAUGUUUUACAAAACACGUUUCACAGAAAUCAUGCCUUAUAAUCGUUUGUUUAAAAGAAAAACUCAUAAAUAAUCAAAUAGCCCUUCAAGAAUUAUUAGUUAUAAAAGUUUCUAGGAAGCAACUUCUCUCAAUUUUUACUUGAUUCUUGCUAUUACAUUUAACUUUAUAGUGUGGCAUAAAUUCCCCUUUCUGAUGGGCCAAAUAUGGCCGUGGAUAUCAUCUAUUAUGCCCCAUUUGUAAGAGUUUUUGGAGGGCCAAAAAGUACUUUCUGGCCCUCCAGAAGUACUUUUAGAUAAAAUAGAAGUGUUUGGUAAAAAUUUUGAAAAGUUGUUUUAGCUUUUAAAAAAAGCUAAAAUAGCUUUUUAGGAAAAGCUUCAUUUUGGAACUUCUCGAAAAAAAGCACUUUUAGAAAUUGUUGGAAAGCUAUUUUGAGUUAUAAAGCUUUUUAGACCAAAAUACUCAUAAUAAAAUAUAAUAAUUACACAAAAUGUCCCUUUAUAUCUUUAUUAUUGUAUUAUUCUAUAAAUAUUAUAUUAUAUUAUAUUAUAUCAUAAUACAUUAAUAUGUUAUAUUAAAUAAUUUAAUAUUAUGUUAUAUUAUACCACAGUUAUCGAGAGAAUGAAAAAUUAAUUUAUGCUAGUAAUUAUAAUAUUUUAUAUCUUUAUUAUUGUAUUAUGCUAUAAAUAUUAUAUUAUAUUAUAUUAAAUCAUAAUACAUUGAUAUAUUAUGUUAAAUAAUUUAUUAUGCUAUUGUAUACAAUAUUAUAUUACAUUACAUUAAUAUUAUACUAUGUUAUAUAUUUAUGUAUUAAUAUAUAUUAUAUUUUAUUAUGCUCUGUUGUAUAAUACUAUGUAAUGUCCUUUAUUGUCAUUUUGUCAUACCAAAAGUAAUUUUUCAGUUUGUUUAACAAAUACAUGUUAAAGUUUCACAGUACUUUAGAAAUGUAAUUACCAAACAGCAAAAACUUUUUAUAAAUGCUCUACUUCCAAAAGUUCUACUUCUAAAAGCUCUACCACCAACAGCUCUCCAAAACGGGGCCUUAGCAUCCGAGCUGGCUGGAAUAGCUCCUUCAUAUGGAGAGAGAUUUAUUUUUGGGCCCCUGCAGUUGUGGCGAAUAUCAGAUGGUCCAUUGGUAAUGGACAUGCGGUGAAUGUGAUUGCAAAUGCUUGGAUUUCAAAUUUAUCUCUUCUGUAGUAGCCCACCAUGGUUAAUGCUGAGAUGAGCCCGAAUAUGCGAAUAUGUGAAUUGUUUGUUCCUGGAUAGAGGAGAUGGGACACCAACCUUAUCACUCGUCUCUUUGGAGUAAGACUUGUGAAAAAGAUUAUCUAUCUACCAAUCCCUAGGUUCGAUACUGUGCUUGGAUUUGGAAGCUGGGGGUUCACCCGAGGGUGGUAUUGUUCAUUUGAAAAGUGGCAUGGGGUCGCCUUCCAUCCAGAGGAGUCUUGAGUGGUUGAGGGAUGAGAAUUCCCUCGAACUGUAAUGUUUGCCCAGUUAUGGAGUCCAUGGCUAACGUCUUGUUUCAGUGCCCAACGACACUUUAGGCACGGGGACUCAUCCAAACCCCUUUGGUCUUCCUUCAAUUUGGGGCACCAAUUGAGUCCACCCUUUCUAAGCUGAAGGGGUGCAGAAGCAGACCCUACACUAGAGGCUAGGGCAUCAGGAUUGUGUAUUUGGCAUACCACAUCUCGUUUGCCAAGAAUGGCUGAAUCUUUGAGAAUUGUAUUCAGCCACCGAGAGUCACAUUGGAGAGAGAUUUCAUUUAGACUAUUGAAGUCAUUCACUCACCCUCUGUUAGAGAGCCUAUGAUAGUUAGGAAAACUCGGGACUCCACUUUAGCUUGCACAGUGUUCGGGAUGCUUUUUAUCUCCUAGGAGCCUCUACCCCCAAGUUUUUUCAAGGUAAACUUCGAUAGUAAUGAUAGAGAAGGCCUUGACUUUAUUAUCAAAGGCUCGGACUCUCGCUUUAUUAUUGUUCGUGGGAGUCAGAUUCAUGAUGUCACUAUUCCUGGUGCUGAACUGAGGGCAGUUUGAGCGAGCACCAUCUAUGCGAGGCUUCACUUGCGGGCAGACUCCAUACACCUAAAAGAUGACUCAGCUACUUUAAUUGGUUGAGUCCUGGAGUAGGCUGAGAAUAGGGAUCGUUUGCCUCUAUUCUAGGAUAUGUUGCAGUAUGCUAGGGUGCACCUCCUUUCGAGCUACUCAUGUCUACCACGAGGCUAAUAGAGUGGCAGAUUGGAUUGCAUCUUUUGGCUGCGCAUUCUAGUGAGAUGUUGUGGACCAAUCGUGCGAGUAUGCCCAUUUCUCUUUAGGAUAUUUUGAUUUCUAAUUCUAUUGGAUGUAUUCAUAGGAGUUCUAUGUAAAUUGUUCGACUUACCAAAAAAUUAAAAAAACAAGCUAUCUCUUGAGCCAUCAGGUGUCCCCUCUACAAUUUAAGGGAGAGAUCAAAAAUUAGCCCCAUCAAUUUCAAGAGUCACACAUUGACAAGUAGAGCCAUAAAAAUGAUAGGAUAACUAAUUUCAUUCAUUAAGGCUAAUAGCAUGAUUAUGUGACUACAAUGGUUACAAAACAAUACAUGAAGCAUUUUCAUAUUCCUAGCUCUUGCACUUAAGCUCUUGAUUUUUUUUUAUAUAUAUAAAAACAUGGUUAGCAUUGUUAUUAUUUCCUCCCCACGGACAAAUAAUUUGCUAUAAAAGAUCCAUCUCAACCAUAGCUCUUCUUAUUUGUUGUCUCCCUUUUAAUAAAUUGUCAUGGCUGGAAUUGCUUGAACUUGAUGUUGCCAUUUCCAGGGUUGUAGAGGAGUUGUUAACUCCAAACUAAAGAUCAUUAGCUGGCCCAGAUGUCAUGUUUCUUUGAGGUAUGUGGUGACCGAACAACUGAAAGCGGGAUGGUAUUCACUUAUUCAGCUAUACGGCCAUCUGGUACAGGCCGUGGCCUGUGAAAGAAUGGCAUCCAUGGAACGAUUCAAUGAGCUUGCAUACUUUUCCUAAAUGAAAAUUAAGAAAAAAGAAAGGAAAAAGGAGUUGAAAAUUUGAUGAAGUGUAAUUGAUGUAUGUCCCUCGGUUUAACUGUCUUCUUUUGUUUAAUCCUAUCGAUUGAAAGUUUUAUAGGCAGUCCUUGACUUUGAUUCUCUUUGAUACGUAAUCUCUUAUCCUGUUCAUACAAGUGUACAAAGUAGGAACAACUAUGUACAGAAACUAGUAUGCCCAUGCACAGGACAGAUACAUAUAAGGAGUAAAUGUAAGGCUAAACAUAAAAUAGCAAUCAAAUAAAGGACGAGGUGCGAAGUUCCAGUAGAAAAUUGUCGCAACUGCGGAGACAUUGCUCCAACAGUGUCCUCUUCAUCGCCAUUAGAUAUACUUUUAAAUAACAUUCCGGAUCUAUCAAUGUUUUAAUUAUGAUAUAUUUAAACCGGAAAGACUCACUUGUAUGAUACACCCACAUGGUAUGAUAUCCAUGGAGCACAUAAGCUACAUCCAAUCUUGGCCACCAUGUCAUACAGCGAUGAUCAGCAGGCUAGCCACAUCGAGUCCAACAACAUACUGGGGAGGAUCCAAAACGCAAUGGAAAAACAUCUUUAAGACUCGUUUGGUUGACACAAAAAGAAGCAAGGAAAAUGUAAUCAACCGGAAACGAAGAAAAGGCCUCUUGUUUGAUUUGAGCUUUCAAAGCAGAUAAAUGAAAAAGUAUUUGUUUCGUUGGAGUUUUUAAAGAAGAGAGGUGGAAAAGUAACAUUUCUACAUAAAAAGAAAAUCAUGGAGGAUAUGGAAAAACUAUUUUUCUACCAAUUGAGAACUGAGAUGUUUUUUUAAUCCAAAACUGUCUUUAAGCCAUCAAAAUUUAUGAAUAAGACAUAAUAGAUAAUUUAUUAAUUUUUCUAGAAAAGUAGAUGUUUAACCAAACAUAAGCUACUCUAGAAUGCACACUUUUUCACGAUUAACCAAAUAUACUAAAAUCAUUUUCUCGGGUAUCAUAUUCUUAGGAAUCGGAUUCUUAGAAAGAAUAUUCUAAAAAGAAUUUUUUUUUUCUAGAAACCAAACAAGUCUUAGAAUGAACCAUGUUUAACAUGGCUACUGGGAUCUUUUGUUCAUUUGAGUUACAAAAAGGUUCAUGAAAGGAGGUAGAGCCAGGGUCUCUAGUCUACCUGCAACUGCAGUUGUCUCGACUCCCUCGAUACUUCGCCCACUUCUUACUGUGGGGACCACGGCAUGAGCUUCUCCGCUGAUUACUGUGCUCCAUGAAGGGCAAAAUUUGUGGGAGAGUGCUCUCCUUUGAUGCUUUUAGAGAUGCUGCUAGUGUUUAUACUUACAGAUUCGCUGUUUUUUGGGACCUGAUCAUGCUCAUUUCAUCUUUGAGGUCGUAAUAUUUUGUGAUUGAAUCUACGUUAUAUCAAACCCUCCUAUUUUUAUGCACAUUUUCUAGCUAGACAACCACAUGAAGCUCGAAACAGAGGCAACAGUGAACAACCAUUCAAGAAUUCCAAUCCUUGGCCUAAACGGAGAGGGGAAGAAGCCGAUGUGAUAUAGAAACUCUGAAAUUAAGAUUUGGCUUUCAUGAUUCUUUACUAGCUGUGCCAGUAUACCUCUCCAAAUGAACCCAUCAAGCCUAGGUUGCUUCACGCAGGAAGGUGUCCUCCAUCUAACCUCACCAAUUCAUUGGCUCAUAUCAUGUCUAGAAACAAGAGUGAAUGAAGGACUUUGGUCAAUCACUUGGCUACGAUUUUUUUUUUCGCCCACAAAAUGGACCACAAAAUUGAGGCUCUUGGACAUUAGGAUCCGAGGAGGAGCAUCGACGUGACCUAUAAGAAUUUUGAUCCGCUCGACUUCCAGCCAUUAUUAACUGAAGUCUUGGAUGGCCUAAUCCUUGGAUUGGAUGGAUGGAUGGCCAAGAAUAUUCGCUCCAUCACCACCGCAAAAUAUCGCUGGUCUAAAACGGAUUGCCCUGAGCAUUGUGACAAGAAGUUAUGUUCGAUGCCCUUCAUUGGCCAACAAAGAAGAUUCUUAUUGUAGGGAUUUUUAUACACCACAGCUUAAAUAGCCAAGCAUUUGGUGCGACAUUCACAUGUAGAUGUCGAAGGACCAAGCAAUCUGGAUCACGCAGCUAACUCCUUCCAACAGCCAAAAUCCUCUCUCUUCAUGGUAAAUACAAAGUAGCAGGAGAUAUUUACCAAAUUUAAGCUUACCUUUUGUCACACUUUGAGAAGCCAAGCUUCAAGUAACAUCUUGGCUCGAAAAAAGAAUAAAAGGCAAGUAAAGCGACAUCUUUUAUCAAACCAAAGGAGAAAAAAAAAAGCAACUUCAAUUUAAUUUCCUGAAAAAAGCAAACUCUCCAGUACCAGAACGAAAACAAUUACAAGGGUUUAUUAUAUACUAUGAUCAUCCAAACAAAUACUAUACAAUAGAAUCUAAUCUAGCAAGGAAUGGAAAUUUGUUCUUGAUCAUCCAUCAAGUGGUCCCAAUGAAGUCAAGAGAUCGCAAUUUGAUAUCUAUACGCAAAAAUGGUCUAGUUAAUAGGUACUGGAUCUAUUCUUCUUCUCUUUACAAAAAGGAAAAUAAAAGAAAAGAAAAGGUUAAAUACCCUAUUAGAUAUUAGAGAUGAGCUGGCAUUUUAAUAUUCUUCCAAUUUUAUAGCAUUUUUCGUUUUCAAUGAAUUCUAAGUGGGCUCCUUGCUUCUCCUAUUCCCACCAAACGGAGCUCUAAUUUUUUGUAACAUGAGCUCUAAUUCUUUCAAAACGGGCAUGGCAUCGGUUUUUUCAUCGGAGCGGUACCAUAAGUUCCGGUAGUUUAAAAAACCGUGUUGCAACUGUGAUAACCGUAGUCCAGCUGUAGGUUGUCUAUUCAAGUAGCCAAGGCGUAGGAGACAACAGGGCUCAGGGCCAUCACUCGUUCACGUGCAGGGGAUAAGAUGAGCCAGCCCUUGACACGUGGCACGUCAAUAGAGGCGCCCAAUUUGAUAAGAAUGUGAUCCAUUCCCACCCUUCAUGUGUGGUGGUCGAAGUGAAAUGUCACCCCUCUAGAUCCAACGGCCAAGAAAAUCCACGCCAUCCACCUCAUAUGGAGAUCGCCGUUGGAUGAAAAAUAUCAACGGCAGAAGGGAUCUCAGGUUAUAUAUAGGAACGGUGUUGGGGUGUCAAGGCCUCCAUCCUGGUGCAAGGUCUUUUUGUUAGGGUGGGAGGGAAGUUAGGAGAAAAGAGAUCAGGAAAUGGCUUCCUCCAUGAUGGUCUCUUCUGCCGCUACUGCGUCCCGGGCGAACCCAGCCCAAGCAAGCAUGGUUGCACCCUUCACCGGGCUCAAGUCGACUUCUGCCUUCCCAGCCACCAGGAGGGCAAGCAACGGCUUCUCAAAGCUUCCAAGCAACGGAGGCAAGGUUCAGUGCAUGAAGGUAUUGAAGAGAAGAGAAAAAAAGAUGAUGAAAUUAAGCAUAGGACAGAAUCAUUAGCUUAUGUUUCUUCUCUCGUUCUUCUGCAAUAACUAACCAUGCAUGCGUUUUACUUCAUAUAUAGGUCUGGCCGAUUGAGGGUGUGAAGAAGUUCGAGACCCUCUCUUACCUUCCGCCUCUCCCCAUCGAGGCUUUGCUCAAGCAAAUUGAGUACCUUCUCCGCAGUCGUUGGGUCCCUUGCUUGGAGUUCUGCAAAGUAAGUAUCCAAUUUGGCUGAAGGUACCUCUUGAGUCCUUGUUCCAGGUCAAGAAAGAACCAAUCUUCGUAAUGGUAACAGGAAAGAACAUAUUAGCCACCUUUGUCUUAGACCCAACCUGCUGGGGCCCUAAUUCUAUUGAUGGCAUGGCCUGUCUGGACCGAAUCCAGCAUGGAUUCUGCAUAAUUGAAACCUGGAUGGACCAAAAUAGAUGUGAAAUUGAGGCCCAGCCCAUGGGCCCAUCCUGACCAUUAAUGACCCACCCUGAUCCAUCAGGUAAAAGGACUUGAUUGGAGCCUAAAUGUUGGUCCAAAAGCAUAAAUCAAGCUUGAGACUGAUUUCGAAGCGGAGUCUUAAAGAUUGUGAGAUAAUUUUGAGAACACCACAUCAAAUGCCUCCGUUGUGAAUUCAAACAUCUGAGUGAAUGGAUCUGUGUAUGGCGUAGGUUGGCUUCGUGUACCGUGAGAACCACCGAUCCCCUGGAUACUACGACGGGCGCUACUGGACCAUGUGGAAAUUGCCCAUGUUCGGCUGCAACGACGCCACCCAGGUCGCGAAGGAGCUCGAGGAAUGCAAGAAGGAAUACCCGGACGCAUUCAUCCGGAUCAUUGGAUUCGACAACGUUCGUCAAGUUCAGUGCAUCAGCUUCAUCGCCUACAAGCCCCCAAGCUUCUAUACAUGAACUGACCGUGCCAGCUCUCUAGAGUGUCUGUCCCGUUCGACUCGGCUUUGCCUCUUUAAAUUGCUUUCCCUCAUUGUUCGUUUUCUUCUGUAUCCCCUCUCCAACGGAUGCGAAUUGGACUAAGGUCACUGUUAUUUUGGUUGGUGAGGAGCAUCACAGCUCCGGCUAUGUACAUCAUCGUUAUUGUCUACUACUUAUAAACCUAUAUAUGGAUGGGGUGUCUGUCUUCUCUCUCUACGACAUGAAAGAACCCGUUUAGCAUGUCAUUUUGCUCUAUGGGACAUCAUUUUGUGACUCUAAACAUCAGAGCUCAUAACCAAUUUUAUGGCAACUCGGUAGCUAUGAGGCUCCAUGCGGGUGUGUAUUUAGUUUUACAUCGGUUAUUUGAAUUGAAAAACUCAAAAAAUAUUUUCCGACUAGAUCUAUCUCCUGUUACUCUUAACAUCGUUGGAUAAGAAUGUCUCGUUAUCAAUAUGCUUUAAAUAUCAAAAGAUGAGUGUUAAAAGAGUCUCCCUGAAUCCAAAGGAGAGUAUAAAUUGCAACUAUGCACCUAACCAGGCGGCACUCAACUCAGCCAAAUAUUUAACCAACUUUAGCUCCGUGAUGAUUAAUUAUCUUCCCACCCAGAUCUCACUCCGUGAUAUCCUCCGAGACGCUGGUCCGAGCAUGUGAUGAGGCCUUUUGAGGGGGUCCGAGAAGUCAUCAAAAGAGGCUUUCUACCAGCAGAUGCCACCCACCUCCAGAAUCAUAUGCUUUCUUCCAGAACUCCAUCGAAAAAGUCCCGUGACCGGAGCCAAGUUGUCGCAUGCCGAAUAGGAACAACACCAAUGGCCGUCUCAUCUUCCCCGGCGAGGUUCCUGGCCGGCGGGCCGAGCUCCCGCCUGGCAGGUAACGGGACCACCUUGUAAACGAGCUCACGCCAGCCAUGGAACAUUAAAAAUUGUGAACCUGAAAGCACUGGUUGAUGCAACGAUGAUCCAUCAACCUUUGGUCACAUGGCACAUGUAUAAGCAAUCAAGUCAAAAGAUCUUAUUUUUGGUAGCCCAAGAUCGUUCAUGAUUAAUCCUUCAAAAAAAGACCGUUGAUGAUUCGAUCUCUACAAAAGUGCACAGUUAAUCCUUCAAUCUUCGCAGCUCGGUAGAACUAAAUAUGGAUCACAAGACGACCAUCUUAGUAGGAACUUGAUCCUACUUAUUGGUGACAAGUUUCAUCUUGAUUCUCUUUUAGUUUAUAAGGUUUUGAAGAAAAAAAAGAGGAAAAUUGUUACUGCAGUUAUCCAAGUCCAAAUUUAUUAUAAAUGCACCAUCCAAAAACCAAACCAGAAACUUGAUAAACGGAGGGGUAUGAUCACAAGAAGUCCCAAUUCACAUGAUUUUUAGAUGGUUUUUGACUGUUUUAGGAGUAGAUAUAGCACCUAUAAAAUUUCCAUUUGAUGCUACAUAAGCAGUCCAAAGAUUGAAUAUUGAAAAAAAUCAAGCAAAAGCUGGACCUGAAAUAGUUAUUGUGCUGUACUUAUGACUAAUGACCUUAUCGGUAAUGCCAUAUCAGGACCUAAUGUUGUGAUUUUAUAUUGUUUUGGGUACUCCAACUCGGUCCAUUAGUUAAAAAAACUGGUUAUUCUUAUUCUAAUCCCAACAAUUCAUAUAAUUUUAAUCUCUUUUAAAUCUAAAACUUAUGAAGCAUCAGAUGAAGCACGAAAUCUAGGACAGAGGAUUGAGUUUCUUUUUUACCAAAUCCAAAAGAUGAAGUUACUAAGAUAAAAAACAUGAGGUUUGAAAAAUAUCUUGCAAGGAGACAAUACCUACAUUUUCUUCAUUAAGGAGCAAGAAUUUCACAAUCUCACAUAUAGUGACCUUUUGGCGGCACAUGCAAGAAAUCUUUUCUCAUCUGAUAAAUAGUAAACAUUCAGGGAGAGGUCCUUGUAAAGGUAGAAGACAAGCAAUCAUGCUAGAUGUUUAAUUAUUAUUUUGCUUCAUAUUAUAAUGGCACUUAAAAUCUGAAGCUAGCCCGGAUUAUUUGAAAAGUAAGAUAGAAUUGCGUUGNNNNNNNNNNNNNNNNNNNNNNGUCAAAAUCAAGAUUUAACUUGGCUACAGGUUUGAGGCCAAGGUAUCUUUGGUUAUCAACUUGGACCGGACCUAUCAAAACAUGGAAUUUGGUUAAUAUACCUAAUUAUAAGAUUGGAAGUCAUUUUCGGCCACUUUUUUUGAAAACAUCUUUAAUAAAGUAGGUGGCAUAGACCUCCCUUUCCUUCCAAAAAAAAUAAAAUAAAAUUGGAAGUUCUGCCCAUUUCUUUUCCUUCCUCCAGUUGCACUCCAUAGUUUUUUAAAUAACAGUAUUUAUAAUGGUCAUAGAGACUUUUAUAAAAAUUUUGUCCACCUCUCAUUAUAUUAUUCGGUUAAAUAAUAUAAAAAAAUAAUGAUCAUUAUUUUUUAUUAUAACAAACCGCUAUAACACUCAUUAUUUUUUACUUGUAUUUUUCUGAAUAAAAAAUUAUUCAUUUUAUAUUUUAAAAUAUUUUCUUUUUUUCGAAGACAUUGUAUGGUUUAUAUAUAUACACACAUACAUACUUACAUACAUACAUACGCAUAUUAUUAUCUAAUUAAAAGUAAAAAAGAAAUAUAAUGCUCUAUUAUUGUUCAUUACUUCCUUAUGAUAAUAUUAUUAAAACAAUCAUUAUUUUGAUAGUAUUUUAAUAUUACAACAAUAAAAAAAGAAGAAGAGAUAUAUAAUGUUUGCUAUAACUUUUACAACAGCCAAUAACAAUUUCGUAGAGGGCUGCUAUAGGGUAAUGCCGCGUUACAUAAACUAUCACUGCGAUCUCUUUGAUACGUACCAUCACAAUGACCAAUCCCAAUUCCCAACUCAGCUUCAAACUUAGAAUCCAUCUACCAGUCUCACAUACGUUUGAAUAGAAUCGACAAGGACUACGGUUGGUACUUCUCUCAAUCGGUGGCAAAGCUAAAUAAGUAAUUCAUCCAUACUUUAUUCUGAUGGUUUGAAAUUCCAAAAAUAUUUUUCAACACGGGAUCUUGCUAAUUUGAUCCGUCGCUUUCGUGGACUCCACGCACAAAACGACUCUUCCUCCUUGGAUACAUUGAUUCAAUGCAUUCAUCAAGUCACUUCAUUCUCCCACAUGCAUUACUAUUGAUCAUUUUUUAAUCCAAAAAGAAAAGUCUUCUUGGACCGCCGGCCGGUGGAUUCCAGCAAAUCACUUGGAUUUUUCCAUGGGAUUCGCAAUAUACCGCUAGAUCCAAGCCUGAUAGGGACACGACCGCUUCUUUAUGUUUUAAUGGUCUAUCAUUAACCCUCAAAAUGUUAAUCUACUGGAAUCCGCGGCGGAAGGGAUGCGGGGACCAGAAUAUGGACUAUCUUACGUGACUUAUAUUAGGGAGGUAACUGAAGUUUUUCAGGCAAGGGCCACCGGCUUGCAUUAGAGAGGCACCAAGUUGGGAGAGUCAUGCGAAUCAUGCACAUGUAUUGUGACGCUAUAAAGUUAAAGCAGGAUGGUGAUUAUAGGCCUCCAUGCGACUGCCUAGCAUCUUUUGAUUGCUAACAUUUACGGUGCUAAGAUAUGCGGCCUGAAGAUAGAAAUUGCUCAUACAAACGAGUUAGAUAAUUAUAAUCUUAGAUGCAUAAUGGUGCAUCAGAAAAAAUUUUCUCUUAGGGCUCAUUUGGUUGGGGUACAUCAGAUUAUGAGGUAAUCUGAUGAUUCCUAAAAAUUAUUUAUCUGAAAAAGUGAUUGCGGCGGAAAAUAAAUUUUACCACAUCUGGUUGGUAGAAAAUUAAAUUAAUUUGGAAAAUAGCAUUAAAAAAAUAUUACUAUAUUUAAUUAGAGGUAAUCUUAUGAAGAAAUAUUGUUAAUUUUUUAACAAUACUCUUGAAUAAACAAUUUAAGUAAUAAUAUUUUUUUUUUCAAUCCAUUUGUUGGUUAUUUAUGGCCCACUUACAUAAAUAUGGUCAAUAUUAGCUAUUUCGAAUUAUGAAAUAUAUUUAUAUGAGUUAACAAUUUUUUAAAUUAAUAACUAAAGCACAACUACUGCUAAAAACUGUCUCAUUCAUUUCUAUAAGAAGAUAAUGGUAUAUAAAAAAUGGAUCAAUCUUUACCGUUUAAUACCAAAUUUAUAUAAAAAAAGCCAUCAACAAAUAAGAUUUGUCUAUAUCAACAAAAAAACACCUAAUUAGACUGCUACUAACUAGGACUUAUUCCCAUAACACAAAAUUGUAUAUCCCAAAAUCAAGAAAAAAACCACCCUCAACUUCAUAUAUUAUCCCACAUUGCUACAUUUGUUGGUUUUGGCAGGCUGGAAACUUUUGGAAUUUGUUAAUGAAUUCUCUCUAUAGGCAUUUGCUUACAAUGCAUUGGGGGUAAUUAGACUGCUAUUAACUAGGACUUAUUCCCAUAACACAAAAUAUUGCUUACAAAAUUGACCAUAGGCAGCCUUCGCACUUUGCAUAAACUCUUCUCCUGUCAUUUAAACAUCAAACCAUAUUCAUUAAUGACUGCCUUGAUCUGAUCUGUAUUGUUGACCUUCAUCCAAAAAUUUGACCAUAGUCAGCCUUUGCACUUUGCAUAAACUCUUCUCCUGUCAUUUAAACAUCAAACCAUAUUCAUUAAUGGCUGCCUUGAUCUGAUCUGUAUUGUUGACCUUCAUCCCAACCACAUAAUUGGUAUCACUCAUAUUAGUCUCUCUAAAAUCUGGGUAAAUCUGUCCACAAGUGCCAUCAUCAUCACUUAAAUAACAAAUACUAUAUAAGUUAUCUAAAUCCUCAUAGGAAGAGUCAUUCCCAUCAUAAACUACAUUGCUUUGAAGUCCAAAUAAGCAAGGCUUCUUGGCUUUCUCCCUUUGCUUCCCCUUAUCUCUCUCAAUUCUUGGGUCCACAUUUCCUUCAAAUUCCAAAUCAUUAUCUCUGAAGCCAUAGUCACUAUCAUCAAAAUCAGAGUAAGCAUCUUCAAUACCUAAGUCCUUUUGCACUCCAUCAUUAAUGCUUGAAUCUUUGUGCACUCCAUCGUCAAUGCCUGAAUCAUUUUACACUCCAUUAGUGCAUGACUCCUUCUGCACUCCAUCAUCUUUAGGCUCAUGGUCCUCAUCUCCACAACCCAUGUCUGACAUCAAUUGGAAUCUCAUACACAUUCUUCAUCGCAAUAUCUCUAGAUACGUGCUCCAUGUAUAUUUCAAUCUCCUUAUUUAUAGGGAUCUGCUUUACCAUUUCUAUCACAUAUUAAUCGCACCUCAGAGGUCUUAACCCAUCAUCCAAAGUCUUUGUUGGAUCCCUCCAGUAAUAACUCAUAAUCCAUAAAUCCACUGUAUCUUAAUUUCCCUAACAUGUCAUCAAUUUCAAACGUAGAUAUUGCGUCUACAUUACAAUAGUCACAUCAGUCAACUUUUCCAUUAACAUAUGAUUUAUUUGGCACUUAAAAAAAUGACCAUUAUGGUGUAAAACUACUAUAAAAUGGUCAGGAUCAUCUGCCAUACGUAAAACACAUAAAUAGUGUAAUCACAUAACAAAUGGUGAAAAAUGUUUAACAUAAAAAAUAGACCAAUUUUAAAAAGAUAUAAACAAUGUGUUCAACAAAGAAAAAACAGUGGAACAUUUUUUUGUUACAAAAAAGUUUGUUGGACUUUGGGUCUUGGCAUCCAUUUUGUUACCUCAUGAUUUAUGCUUACUAGGUCUCCAUUGUUGUCUAAUCACAACUAAAUAAGAUGGAAUGGGUAAGAUAAAAAUGCAAAUGGAUAUAUUCCUAGAGGUUAAUGUGGUGAGGUUAGGGGAAAGCCUUGUUCCUAUUUACCAAUAGCAUGAGCAGUAGCUACCCACCUUAUAUACACACCAAGAGAUGGACAAAGGAUAGGCAAGAGGAGCUUAGAAGCUUAUGUAUACACUUCCAAUUUUUCGGCGCUCAAUUUUUAAGUCAAUAUUGAUGUUUUAACUUGUGCAUUGCACAAACUAGUGUAGCAGAUUAGCAGAUAAUCAUUGUAGCAGAUAAGGUAAUUUCAUAAUUUCAUGAAGGACUUGAUGAAAGUGACUUUACUGGAUCUAGAACUCAGGUUAAUUAUGACACAUAGAGGAUAGAUAGAGAAUGGACAAGAGUAGCUUAGAAGUUGUUUUUUAUGCUAAAAGUGGCUUUACUUAUCUGUCAUUUCUUAAACUAAAUUGGCAACAAUUCUUGUGGCGAGUCCCCACACACAAACAUAUCCUCACAAACAAAUAUAUCCCUAUACACAAACAUAACAUAUAAAAUCAUAACCAGCUCAUUUUCAGAUAUACAGAUCAAAUAUAAAUAUCUUCAAUAGGGUAAACAUAGCAUGCACCGUAUAUAUCGGUCCUACUUGAAGGAAUCAUCUUCACAGAUAUAGUAACAAUAAAACAAAUAAAAAAAUCCACAUAUAAAUGCAUUCAUAGUAGAUAAAAUUGUGCAAUACAACCUUCUUUUGCAAGCCUCGAUGUAACAAUCCAGGACCUCACCCAAAAUGGCUAGCCGGAAGUUACUAUUUGGGUUCCUUGAUCCUGUAUAAAUACCCAAGAUUUACCCAGCGAAUAACCGAUGUGGGACUAAACACCCGCCCGCAUGGGUCCUCACAUACUCCCCCUGUUAAAGCCUGACGUCCUCGUCAGGCUAAGGGUUCAAAUCCAUUUAAGUCUAAUCACAAACACCACAAUCGGCUCAUAGUUAGCCCCAAUGGAUCCGUGCUGCAGUGUCCCCUAGUCCACAUAGGUUAUGGGCUAGAUCCGCUCUAAUACCAAAUGUCACGCCCCCGCCUACGCGGAGCACGUGAGACACCUAGUGCCCACGUGAGGGCCACAUAAGGGGGGAAUACGGGGCUCCCCUGUCAGAUAUUGUCCGGUUUCGGGGCUUCACGCAAGCGUCCUUCACCCAUUCCCGGUUUUGUUUUCUACCCAAAACGCGUCUGCAGGAUUAGAAGACACCCACCUCAUAUGCCCAUGCUCUAGAACGAAUCUCGACUCCUCACCAGGCAAUCUACAAUGUCCUUCCUUGCUCCUCAAUUAGUAAUGGAACAAUGAAUCUUGGGUUGAAGAGCUAUUUGAUUGGAGGACUUGGAUGAGGAAUCGACGGUUUGAUCUCUUUUCCAUUUGAUUUCUCUUUUUUACUAAUGAAUCCUAAAAUCCUCGGCCUUCUGCCAAACAACCUGCUUGAUGUGGCAAUUUUUUCCUCCCAAUUGUCUUUUUCUACCAUGUCUUAGCCCUACAUCAUAAAAAAACAUGCCACUUGUGCAGUUCUAUUUGAUUAGCAACAGAAUAGUGACAAUAGUGGCUCAAAUAAAUAAUAUUCGUAAUGUCAGGGAUGGAAUUGCGACUUUUGAAAGGUUGAGGUCUGAAAUAAUUUUCAGCCCUAACCUUAGGGACGAAUUUAGUAAUUAAGACCAUAUUUUUUUAUUAAGUUUGCAAUGGAUGUAUAAUAUCUUAUAGGAUUAAUUAGAUUUGAUUUUAAUAUCUCCAAUUUCAUUUGUAUAUGGUAAUGUACAAAUAAUUUGAAAGGUAAUUUGCUUUUUUUUAAAAAAAAUGAGAUUGCACAAUCAAAUAAAUUUUAUUAUUUUCAGCCCUUUCCAUCCAUUUAUAACCUACUUGGAAAUAUAUUCCUUAUCAGAUGAUAGGAUUAUGAAUUCAAAUAACCUACUAAAGCGCUCCAGAGUCUUUGCAAUAAUCAAUGGGCAACUGUUUAUAUGAAUAAAAUAUUCGAUCUCAAAAUAAAUGAAAAGGCUAUUGAAUCCAUUUGGCACGAAAAUUGAGUCUAAAUACUUUUUAUUGACAUGCGUGUUUUCCUUUUAUCUGGUUGAUAUGUUUGAGAGAGACUUAAAGAAGAAUUUAUUUAUCGAAAGGAGGGUAUAUUUCAGAGGUAGAACUAGUUAUGCUAUGUACCUAUGUCAAACAGAAUAACAACUUUUUUUUUUAAUCAAAAAUUUGCAAAAAAAAAAGUUGUAGAGAAACAUGCUUGCCAUGCACAUGAAAGAAGGUUAAUCGUUGGGAUAUCUUAGGAGGCUAGUAGACAACAAUGUUUUGUAUGAAGUGGAGCCCAUAAGAAAUUUUUCAUUAAAAUAUUAAGGAAAAGCCACGCUGCGAUUGGUUGUAAGUGGAGAGCUUUACAUUAUAGAGAUAUUACCAUCCUCCUCCCAAUUCGAAUUCUCUUUUGACAAUGGUAGUUGCACUCCCACUUCUAGAAUAUAGACUUUAUUAUAUUAUCUUUUAUUUGAGAGAAUCAUAAAAUUUGAAAAUUAGUAAAAGAAAGUAUUUAUAGUCCUCUAUGUCAUCAUAAAAGAAUGAAAUUAUUCUAGACAUAUAUAUAGAUUUUAUGCAGUAAGAAAGCUCCGAAUGGUCAAGAUUGAAAUAGUACAUUUUGAGAGGGAAAAAUGAUAAAGCAAUAAGAAUUCUCACAAAUAUUUAGAAAAAAAAUUUGGAUCAACACCUACUCAAAAAAAGUUGCUAUAAAAAAAAAUUUGUGAUAAGACAAUGUAUAAGGCAUGAUUUUCAAUUGCCUUAUAACCCUUGUUAACUUAUAUUUGCUUAUAGAAGAAAUCUAUCCAACUAAAAAGAGGUCAAGAAUUUAAUUUUUUUCUCAAAAUUUACGAACAUUUUGAUAUUAUAUCUGCUUUGGUGACAUUAUUUGAUUAAUUAUGUUAGGUGGCCCUUUGCAGCAUGAGUUGGGAUCACCUUCUUCUGUUUGAAGUUGAAAUAUUUGAUUUCUAUAUUUUUAGUCAUAAAUUUAUAUUGUUGGAUAGCUUGCCAAAUAGAUUGCUCAUGCUUAGCCAUCAAACCUCAUUUAUAAUUAAAUAUUUGAUUUUCUAGCCUAAAAUAGGGAGAACUCAAAUUUGACCGUUAACACCAUUUUUCUUUCCACCUGAAUAAAUGAUGUGGUAAACACAAUAUAUUUUUUCUUAUGUAAUUGAGCAGCAAAAUAUAGUAGUGAGAAAACUAAAACUCCACGUCAGUGAGUCUUAACAAUGGUCACCUCCGAAGUACGAGAUCUGGUCUUUGGAAGCAGAGCCAGGGCCGCAAGGCACGUGCCCGUUAUCUCGUUUGCGUGCUUCGAAACGGUCGUACGCCGGAAAAAAAAAAAAGAACGAGUGGACGGACGGACCGAUCUUUUAGUUUUGGAGGCAGCGAAAGAGUGCGAGCCUCUUCCUCUCCACGGGUAAUUUACCAGCCAUUAAAUAUCAUAUUUUCAUUAAUUUAAACAAAACCGAAUAAUCGCAGAGUGGGUGCCGACCGCGACGGCGCUUUCCACGAGAGACACCAGACACAUGAAAAAAUUAAACAAAUAAAGUAUAAUAAAGUAAUAGAAUUAUUUCUUUCUGUAGAUAUUAAUAUAUUAAUUAAAAGAUAAUUAGUAUUAUUACAGAGGUCUGACCUGGUGUCCUUGUCCGGUUAUUCAAUACUUCCACGCAUUUUCCUCUCACCGGGUUUCUUUCUCUUUUUUUAUUUAUUUUUAAUUCCUUCUAUAUUUUCUCUCUAUAUAACAAUUAUAUAUCUCUUCCCAACCCUUCUCAGCCCAUCCUCGCCGCCGCUCCACCUUCCUUUUCCCUAGUUUUCACCAUCUCUUCCCUCUCUUAGAAGAGAGAGGCAGCUAAGGUACGAUCCCUUUCCUUCUCUCCGUUGUUCCUCGUUUCCCGUCCACACUUAGGUCUCCCUUAUAUUUUUAACGUGUUUUUUUUGGGGGGGAUGGGAUCUUCUGUUCUUAUCGAUGCGAGCCUUUUGAUUUCGUUUCUCGUGCUGUAUGCUGUUAUUUGAAGUGAAGAUACGAAUUUUUGGAGUUUUCUCCAUUUUUUUCCCACCUUCGGAGCCUUCUCCACCGGAUCUAGGGAUUUCGAGCUGUUUUACCUUGAACCGGGUUGGAUUUUCGUCGAAGUUGAAUUUGGUUCUGUCCGAAAAUCAGCUGAAAAUUCGAUCUUUUUGAAUAUCUGAGAUUUCCUGCGUGUAAAAUCUUUAGAGUUUUAAGAUUCUUCGCCCUAUCUGAGCUCAACUCCUCCAGAUCCGCCAAAUCCCUGGUUUUUUCCAGUCGAUCUUGCGUUUUUUAUGAGGGAAAUAGCAAAUAUUGACCGGUUCUAUUGUUCCGCAGGCGUUCUAAGUGCGGAUCUCGAGGGGGUAAUCGAAGAUGAACCACUGCGCGAUGCAGCAGAACGCUUUCGCUGCCUGCGAGGAGAUGCGGGGGGGCUCCUCUUCCGUCGUCGUCGACCGGAGGACCCCUGUCUUCUGUCCCAAGCCCCGGCGCCUUGACCCCCUCUCCGCCGCCGCCGCCGCCGCCGACCCCGUCCGCCCCCGUCCGGUGGCACGCCAGGUAAUUACCUCUGCCCCGUUUCCCCAUCCUCUUAGAAACUUGUUAAUGUCUGUAUCCUUCUCUCUGAUUUCAUCUCCUUUUUUUCGCUUUCCCAACAGUCAUCAGGCCGAUCUCUCGGAUUUCAAAGCCGGCUCGGAGCUUCUCGAUUUAUUUCUAACGAAGGUGAAAUUUUUAAUCCCCCAGUUUUAAAUAUUAAAUUAAAUUUAUUUACUGAAAAAUAUCGGAGAAGCCAAUCUCUUAUAUUACAUUAUAUUAUAUAAUAUAUUAUUAAUCGUUCGAUAUUUUUAUUUUUUUAUGUAAAAAUAAAAAUACUCGAUCAAGAUCUGACGGAUGAGGUGUAGGAUACACCGAAGUGAAUCUGUUUGUCAGGCGUCAGAUCCACCGUUAUGCCUAUCGGAUGGCUCUGAUUGCUGGAUCUGUUUGGUCCUGCAGUGAUACGGGAACAAACGCAAAUAUUACCAUAGCGCGUUUCCUCCCAUCAUGAUUGAUUUCUUUAAUAUCUCUGGAUUAAUUCGUAUUAAAAGAUUUAGAUACAUGCGCAUAAUAAGAAAUUUGGAUCAUGGACUGAUCUCCACCGUCCAUUGUGAUCUUUUACAGGGUGGGGAACAGGUGGCCUCGUCACCCCCGUUCUUCUGCGGCUCCCCGCCAAGCCGGGCGGCAAACCCGGUGGUCCAAGAUGCCCGUUUCGGCGAGGACCGGCCGCCGGCGCCUAUCGCCACCCUCCCGGUCCAAUCCGGCUCGCCGAUGUCGCCGCGGAAAGGCUGUGUCCGUGCCAAAUUUGGCCUGAUGCCGGCCGCCGUGAGAGUCGAGGGUUUUGAUUGCCUCAAUCGCGAUCGCCGGAGCCACAGCAUCACAGCUGUGGCAUAAAAGCCUUGCACAUAUUUAUAACACAAACCCCAAGUGCUCUAUUUCCGUUGGAGCACUUGAGAGACAAAAAAGGGGAAAAGAUUGAGGAAUAUUAACAUCAACAAUCCACAACUACAUUUAGAUGCUAAUCCAAGAGGAGUUAAUCGAGAGUUUAGUUUUGAGAGGGAAUGUGGAAAAGUGGUUUCUUCUCCUACUGUACAUUUGUCCAGCUAUCUAUCUUUUUUCUUUUGUAAUUAAAGUUUUUAUGUGGAUACAGAAUAAGGAGGGAGGGAGGGGGAGGAGAGAGAGAGAGAGAGUGAGGCGGCAAGCCAAUCUUGUGUUUUAUUUUAGUCCCCACAUUGGAUUCUAGUCAUUAUGGCCUUGUUUUUCAUAUCUAAGUUUCGGGUUGGAAUCUGUAUAAAAGAAUGUUAGGAAGUGGAUCGGUCAUUUUGGGUCAUGGCAUGUGUAUGUAUAUAUUUUAAAUAUAAAAGUUUGGAUCUUAUCAUCCGUAAAGGGUCUUAUUUGCCCCUUUCCAUUACUCUCCUUUGCCCUUGACCAUGGCAUGUGGGUGUCGAUAAAGCGGAACGCUUCUAUCUGUGUGCUCGUUUGGCCUGUUGCAGCGAAGUGCUAUGGGAAUCUUACAUGGUUUGUGCAAAAGUUUUGAGAGAUCCCGGAAUUGUUCUACAAAGGCUGCUACAUACGUCCGAUAUGAUGUAAUCAAUAUACGAAGUUGGGGUCAAUUUGAGAGAAAAAAGAAGAAGAGAGUAGGUAAAGAAAUCAGGCAUCAAGUUGGCUCCCGGUUAGAUGGCUGAUGUUGUUGCAAGGGGAAUGCUUGAAAGGUUCCGUAAGGUAUCUGUUCUGUAAAUAAUAUCGUGCGAACGGCUAUAAAAAGGGGGUCUCAGAUGCGCUUGACUGUUGUGAUUUGACACUUGCCGACAAGGCUCUGCGACAGGUGGACAACAUUUGGCGAGCGUCAAACCUUGCCCCUUGGGUGCUUUGAAAGGGCAACCGGCGAGCGACAUUGCUUUUUUCUCUAAAAAUUUUUCCUGUUGGAAGAUACUUGGGAACUCAAUUAUAGGACAUCUUUGGGAGUUGAUCACUGUUAUCAAAAUUUUUUAACCAAUAUGCACAGACCGAGUCCGUAAGUAGAUGGUAUGUCAAUGGAAAAGGAUGAAUCAUGUUAGCUGUUUAUUUCUCGUUUCCUAUUACCAGUGCUUAUAUUUUUUUAGUUGGAAAAAAACGCUUUAAGACCCAAUCGUUGUAUGAACUAAAAAAGAGAAAUAUAAGUGAAAAAGCUUCUAUCCCGACAUGGCAAUUAAGAAUCGACGCUUUAGUUGAAGUUCUGAGGGCCAUCCUCUUUGUGAGAAUUUUUUGCACUGCUGCCGAGAAAAAAGAAAGAUGGAAAUCCAUUCCAAAUGUCAUACAAGAAUCGACGCUUCACUUGAAAUCCUAAUGGUGAUUUCAUGAUCUACGCCACCCCUCCGACAUGGAAUGAGAAUUUUUCUGUAUGGGCACCAUAGCUUUUUAUUUUGGAGAGGUCAUGUGGGCAGUCAGGCGUUGCACUUGCAAAAAUUCAAUGGUGAUUUUGGGAAUAAUGCCAACACCCUCUUAUCGCAUGGAAUGGGCACCUUUUUUCGUUGGCCCCACGGCUUUGCAUUUUGCGAAAGUGUUGUGCAGCUAAUGCAUAAUGUUUGGGAAAUAUCUUUAGAAAUGGUUGCCGGUAGGUUUGCCAUAUUUAAAUGAUGGCAUCAGGUAAAGAUUACUCUACAAUUCAGUGAAAUGUCAUAGUCAAUAUCUUGUUAAUUCUUAUGAUGACAAAUUAUUAAUCUUCUCGGAUUAAUUAUUCUAUCUCGGUUAGUCUUUUUAAUUUUGAGCAACACUCGUAAUAUAAUUUUCCUGCCUUGUUUCCUCGGAGUGAAUUUUCCAAACAAGGUUGUUGUUAUUUGGAGCCUCCUCACACGGCGAGCGUCUAUGAAGUCAGAAAGAAACUGCGAUUCCAAAUUAGUCAAUCUUAAGCUCUCUGUCAUGAUAAAUUAUACUCGAUACCGCGUUCAAAGACUAUGACAUGCACCAUGCCAAUGUGCUUAUCUUUUUUCUAGGGAGCCAAUCACUAAGACAAGAAGGAUUAUUGCGAAGAUUCUGUGCACUAGCAUGAUCAUGCAUUGAGCCGAUCACAUCUGUUGAUACCUAUGAUGGAACACCGAGAUUCAUACUUGAUGAAUGAGGCUCAUGGAAACCAACGGUCAUUAUUGGCUGCAUGCACAGCUAUGUGGUGCAUACAGUGUAGAUAAUAGUUUCUCGGAUACGCGCAUAUGAUGAAUAAUGCCUCUAAAAAGGAGAUGAAGCGGCUGGCAUGAUGUAUGACAACGUGAUGUAGGGUAUAAUGGUAUAAUUUUUCCAUAGUUGCAUGUCCCACAGCAAAAUGGUAGGUGAGAUAUCUGGAGGGAAUUGAGAUGGUGAAGGGAUGCUCAACGCAAAAUUGAACAGGUGGUUGCAUUGAAGUUUCUUGAGUUGACUCAGCUAGUCAAAAGCUUACAUAGUUUUGUCGCUUUCAUCUCUCCUUGUUUUUUUACAUAUUUAGCAUCCAUACUAUACUAUGAUAAGAGGAUGAUAUUACUGUUUUCCGAAAUUUCUAUUGAAGCAAGCGAUGGUACUCAAAGUCAAAAAUACUCACUCUCCUUUUCCUGAAAGAGGUUCAGUUCAUAGAUAGAGCUUAUAUUUUUUUUUUCUACCGAACGCCUUGGACGGUGCAUAAGAGUAUUUCCAUACUUGUGGUGAUUCAUCUCUCUCUCUCUCUCUCUCUCUCUCCGAGUAUGUGUGUGUGCGCGUUCAAUGGUUUCAGGUUGCACGCCAGCUGAAGCCUGCACCGUUUUCUGCAGCAUAUUAUGUCUGGUUUGUCCACAUCCAUGCCCGCCUAGUGGCGCCAUGUCUGCUCUGCAUCAUGACGCAUGCUCGCAUUGUGGACUUGUUCAGCCAUCUUUAUUUUCUUUGGAUGAUUAAUGACUUGUUCAGCUGUCGAAAUGCUGACAGGCCAAACUUUUCAAAAGGCUGAUUUCUCUGCAUCCCAACGAUGUAAUCCCGAUUAUAAAUCAGUCUGCGGCUGUAGCAUUCGGAGAAAGAAUCAACUAGAGCCUAGCCUCUCCCCUGCUGUUAGUUGUGACCGCUAGGACAUCAUCCAACACACGACAUAUGAUGUUUUUAUGAUAUCAUUUCUCCUCAUUAUAUUGGAUUGAUUUGGACAUUUCCAUUUCUUAUCUUCAAAACCAAGCUUUUGAUCAUUGAAGUCUCUUGCAGGAAGGUCCUUUCAUGCGAUGCGAACUAUGCUUACCGUUUCCAAUUCCACAAAACAAAAGGAUAAUUAUUAGUCUUCCAAGAAGCAUACAAAAAAAGGUGACUUUCGUUGAGAGGAUAUUUUGUGUUGGAUUAAUGGCGUCAAAAAUGUACUCGUAAGAAGAUAAGCAUCCAAUCAUUUUUCUAAAACAGUCUUACUACCCGCCAUCAAAGGAACAGGAAAAAUAAUUCCAUAUCUUUCAUGGGCAAAAUAAACCAUCAAUACGGUCGCAUCAGUCUCUUGCUUACCGUCCGCGAGUGCUAUCCAACCAAAGUGCUCGUUUUGUCGGGCGCAGACCCAACUUGCGGAAAAGUCUCGGAUUCGGAUGGGAUUCGCCGAAACCGGGCACCGGCGUGCCUCUCUUUGUGCGAGUCCCGAACCUAUCACUGUAGCUUUCAGCCUUGGGCGCCCCUCCGUGUUCCAACGAAGUUCCAACCCCACACGUCUCGUAUUUAUCUUUUUAUCACCAACUCCCAUCCUCGCAACGACCUGCUUGGCUUUCAACUUUAAGCGAGGCCGCCGCAUGGGAAGGAUGGGUUGAAACGGAAACGACACGACGCAUGUGGUCCAGCCUACAGGCCUCCUCGAUUCCCAUGGCGUAAAUGUCUCAAUCCAAUGCUAUUGUAUCCGGUGAUAAGUUCAAAGUUUACGGCGCAGUAGAAAAUUAGGGGAAUUGGCAUAAGAAGUUUUUGGUGGAUAGUUUUGAUUCCAUCGUUUGGUAAGAUGAUUGGUGAGAUGGAUGGUUAAUCAGGAACCUGGUCGAUUUUAGCUAAUAGUUUAGUUAUGUAAUUUUAGCAAAUUCAAUAUUUAUUUUUCCCUUUGCAAGUGUGAGGAAUCAUCCUCAUUUUUUGGUUAGGCAUUUCUCGGAAUUCACUGUCUAGAAGAGUUAGUUAAAUUUAUGUUACUUAUAGAUCGUAGGUAGUCACUUUGGAGUAUGCAUUAUUACUAGAGGAUUAUUGUCUGUGAAGUGUUUGAUCAUCAACUAUUAUAGCUUAGGAUCCAUUUUCUCAUAAUUAAUUGAUAUUUAUAUGUCACUACAAUAGAUGACGGAAAAGGCUUGAAGACUGACCAUACAUAAGCUGCUUGUGGAGCUUGAAACCAUAGUUUCUUUUAUAACUUGUUUGGAUUGAAAUAGAGAGAAGAGCAAACGAGGUGGGAAAGUCAGAAUCGUUGUUUUGGAUCUACAACAUGGAAGAGAAAUCAAUUUUCUCUGGUUUGGUUAAAAAUUUAUGAUGGAAAGAGAAUUAGAAAAAUUUAAAAUCUCUUAUCUAGGCAGUCUGCGAGGAAAGAAGAGAAGACCGUCAAAGAGAAGUGGUUUCCCUCCGAGCCCCUCGUUCCGGACACUUUUUGGAUACAUAAGGGAUAAUAAAAAAGACAAAAGCGAGAAAGGAAAGGAGUAGGGAUAAAAUCGAAGAAAGACAGAGAACUAAAGGCACGUUUGAUUCGUGGAAAAAGAUGGAAAAAAGGUAUGGUCAACAAAGAAAUAAAGAAAAGCUCUUUUGUUUGGUUAAAGUUUUCAAAAAAAAAAGUAACAUUCUUAUUUGAAUAAGACUUCAAUAUUUUAUCAAUAAAUAAAAUAUGAAAAAAACUACUUUUCCGCCAGUAGAAAAUUGAAGUCCUUUUUUUCCAAAACUACCCUGAGCCAUCAAAAUCCAUUAAAAAGACUUCUUCUUUAUUAAGAGUAUAUUAGGUAUUUCAUGUAAUUUUUUUAAAAGAGUAUAUACUUAACCAUACAUAAGCCACUCUAAAAUCUGCUAAUUUUUCAUAGUCAAUCUAACAUGCUAAAAUCAUUUUCUCACGUAUCAGACUCGUAGGAAUUAAUUUUUCAGAAAAAAAUAUUUCAAUGAGAAAAAAUUUUGCCCGUAACCAAACGAGUCCUAAAGAAAAAACAAAAAAAGAAAGAAAAAUCUUUAAAUCUCUCCAUUCUCGGAGAGAGAGAAACAAGGAAUUUAGAGAGAACUAUCUUCUCUUUUAUCUUUACUCCCUUUUGUCUUGAUUUGCUAUCCAAAGGAUGGAUUUUCAAUUUUUCUACUUUUUUCUUUUUAUAUUUUAACAAAAGUGAGAAAAUAGUUUUUUGGAUCCCAGCUAUAUGAUUAGCCACAUAAGCAGCCAUCCAAUCAGCUACAUUAUUAGCUUUUCUAUAGAUAUGUGAUACUUCAAAAGAGAAUAAUGUACACAUCAUUUGCUAGCAAUCCUAUAGGAGGAGAUGAGGUAUGGCUACAAAAGAUGGUAAAUUUGGGAGCCAUAUGAUAACAGCCGAAGAGUCUCCCUGUGAACAAGAGGCCCACAAUAUCUAAGUAGCAAAAGUCAAUCCCACCCAUAUGGUACGCAGUUUUAUUGGAGGAACUAUAAUAUUAAAGAUUUUAACACCACCAACAGCUAAUAGAGCACCACUAGCAUUCCUAAUAACAAAUGUUGCUUCAUCAAAAGCACCUCUCUCCUAAUACGUCACUUUCAUUUAGCUGAACUUUUUAAGUAGAGGCUCGCGAACAUAGCCUUGAAAAAUUUGCCUAGGAAAUGCUUUGAGGUGGGACCCGCUUGCUUCCAAGCUAUGGUCUCAACUGACUAGGUUACAGUUUGAUCCUGGCGCCCAAACCCUAAGGUACUUAGGUAGGACUGUUGAUGGCCUGGAAUUCACAAAAAUCCUAUAUUUCAAGGGAGCCAAUUUGAAGGUUACGGGUCAGAUUUUAAUAUCAUCGCCAUCUGAUCUUGAUGGUCGGCAAAGCCUAAGAUCAACCAUAUACGAGUUUGAUCAGUGUAAAUCACAGGAUUCCAUCAAACACAUAGGCAAGCCAAACGGGUUGUAGGCUCAAGGAACGUAUCUCGUGCACCAACCAUCAAAAUUUGCAAGAAAAUCCACUAUUUUUUUAAUUUCUAAUGAAUAAUACAUUUUAUCAAGAAAAACUUUGUUUUAUUAUUGGAACAUUACAAUCGUAACCCACAUGACAACUAUAAAAGCAUAUAUUUAUAUACAACGAUGCUUACUACAUGUCUGCAGUUACUGUGCAUAGCACAUGAUGAACAAAUAAAGUUCAAAGGUUUGUCCCACUUUGCAAUACGCAAAUCAACAAAUGUGACAUGUACUUGUAAAAAUAAAAAUAAAGUAGAUUUUUACUGCAAAAUUUCUUUUUCUUUUGGUUUACCGAAGGGUGGAGACCGUGCUAAAGAGAGUGGACAAACAAACAGUUCAUUAACAUUAGAAGAAGAUUCUUUUCUACGCACUUUUGAUGCUUGUCAUGUUGCCAUUCAAGAUGUAAUCAGAUGUAACAAAUUAUAUUUUAAAUGUAGCAGAAAUGUCUCGCAUAAUGUACAGAGACCAAUCAAUUCACCUUCUUCGUUACCCUCGCAGCUUUGUAUAAAAGACAUCCUCCCAGUAUCACUCAUUUCAGGUUCGGUGAGACUUUGGAUGGAGAAUUUAAUUUUCUUUAGAGAAAUCUAUUCAUCUUUGUUCCUCUUUAAUGUCAUUCAUAAAGGGAAGAAGCUACUUAAAAACAAAGUGCUUUGUCGUGCCCCAUUCAUAAGUAUGGGCUGCUAUUGAAGAGGAAAGGGAUGGGAAACAGGGGAGGGGGGAGGAGCCAACUCAAAAGAGCAACCAAAAGCAAACUUCUACCCUAUCUUUUUGUCAUCAGUCCUGUAGUGGAGCUUUUAGAAAAGGUUUAGCAAAGAAUCAGGACAUUGAGGGGGGAAAAGAAUAGGAAAUUGAACAAUGAUAUGAUAAUUUUUGUUCCUUUAACACCAGUUUUCUUUGAGGAAAACUAUUUUUACCUUUACCAUUUUCUCGAGACUAAGGUAGAGAUAAUCCCUUAUUUUGCUUGUUUACAAGUUAGUUUUUUAUCUAAACAAUUCUUAUUUUAGAUAAGAGCCAACACUUAAAAAUUUGAUGUACACUGUAUGAUAUAUCUAUAUAUCAACCUACAUUAUGAAUUGACUAAUGUUAGCUAAUCUACAUCUCCCAGAAUAUUUAGCCUACUGUGCAUCGUAUCAAGUGUUGUGUUGUUAAGAUUUGAAUUAUAACUUCAGACAAACUAAACAUAUGAUAUUAAAUAUUAAUAUAAACAAUCUGAGCAGAUAAGUACAUCAACUGGGUAUUUCAAGAGCUCCAGUAACAUACAAGAUCAACUCUAAACUGGCAUCAAAACACUGAAAGUUAGGUCUGGCAGUGCAUCACAUAGUAUAAUCUUUUAUUUUUGUAGGCCACAGGUGAGCCCUCCUUUUUUUCUCUUUUCUCUGGGGGUGGGGUGCAGGUAAGAGGAUGGGGGGACCUUUUAACAAACAUCUCACAUGCCAUGAGUACUGUAGCAUGCACUGCAUAGCCAAUACAGGUGAUAUUAAUACAAUUUCUUUGACAAGAUAAGUACUUAAAUAGGGAUUUGAGAUGCACGAUAACAAAUAAAAAGCAAUGUUAAACUAACAUCCAGGCAAUCCAGUAAGACUGAGAAAUGAGGGCUGGCAUUAAGAAUCGCCCUCUAAUUACAGGGUCCCCUAGGGCGACUCAGGCAACAAUUCACAUUCUCUUGCCCCCAAUUCAUAUUCUCUUCUUCAUCUUUUUUCUUUCUGUUUUUUUGAGCAAUUCUUCUUUUUCUUUUGUCAUCUGGUUUAAUGUUAGUUUAGCAUUUUUUGCCAUCCAUAUGCUGCUCAAGUUACUAGGCACAAGUACAUGGAGGUAAGGGUGUCACCAAGAGAGGCCCUCACAUUUCUUGAAGCAAGAGGACCAACUACUUGAUGUCUUGGUGUAAGAACCCCAACACAGUGGCACCCCACGCUUCUUCAAAUAUCAAUCUGAACCUUUUAACUGUGCCAGAAUAGAAAUCAAGUAGUAGAACAGUACUUGCAAUGGGACUUGAUAAUCGAGUAACAUGCAAGCAUGCAUGAGAAAAUUUAGCACAGCUUCAUUGGCUACAUUACCAAAACAUCAUAUGGAAACCCUAUGACAUAAACUUCCCAAUUUCAUGAUCGGAUUAAUUUGCUUUUCGGUGUCUGACUUAAUAUUGAUUCACACACACAUAUUGACAUACUAUUUGUUUUCAUGUCAUUUCAUUUGAUCUCCUGCUAUUUUUUGGCCACCAAUAACAAAAUGGCAUGGAAGGAAACAACAUAUAUAUAUAUAUAUAGAACAGAAAACAGAGUUUCUCUUCGGUCUUUACUCACCUUGCUAACCUAAUCUCUAGAUUUCAAGUAGAAGAACUUAGCGUAAAACAAGCAUUUCUCAUCUAAAUUACAUAAUAAUUAGGAAAACAAACUGAAUUGCACGAGAAAAAGGGAAAAGAAAGAUAGGUGAAAUACCGCUUGAAAUUUGGGUCGCGGAGCUGCCGGACCCUUAGGCAGGCGCAGGGGCGCAGCGCGGGGCGGUAGACUCACCGCGUGGGCUCGAGACCACGAGAGCUUCCGGCUCCGGCUCCGCGUUGAGAUCGAGGCACCGCGGGGUCGCGUGUUCCGUCACCCUCUCCGCCGACGCCUCCUCCGCCUCUAAGCGACCCUUUCCACCGUCAUCGUUGCCGGCGCCGGGCCCCGCAAAGUCCUCCCGCGCGAACGCCGGGCUCCACCGCCCGGCGCCCCGCUUGGAUCCAUCCGCCACCUCCCUAGGCCGGCCGGCCCCGCCGCCAUCCAUGUCGACGGCUAAGCACCGCGACGCGUCGCGCAUACGGCGGAGGAUCGCGAAAAAUUCCUCCACCUCCUCGUCCGUCACCGCCUGAUCGGCCUCAGCGCCCCGGGAUCUCGUCCGGCGGUCGUCACCGACACCGUCGUCCGCCCGCUUCCGCUUCCCGGACUCCAUCUCACGGACGCCUGACGACGUCUUCGUUGCGGUGCCGCUGGAAAGGGGUGGUCUGAACUAUGAAGUGGUUGGCGUCCCUUCGCGUCUUUCACACACACCCUUUCUUUGGAGGAGGUGAAAGGAGGGCAUUGAAAUUUUUCCCUAGUCCAAUGAUUCCAAUCUAUCGAAGGAAUAUAGAAACAUAAAAAAAGAGAAAGGAAGCACCUCAUGCACCCCAAGUGGGUUGGUGAUGGGAUAAAUGGCUGACGUAAGAAGAGCAAAAUGUCAUAACAUGGCGAUUUUAUUAAAAUAAAAAAAAUCCAUGCUUCGAAUCUAAUAUGACGUUGCAAAAUGGGCCAGAUACGACUGGAUCAUACGUAAUGCCAACCAGAUCCAAUUUCAUGCCAUUAUUUUAGAUCCGGAUGUAACCUAUUAUUUAAUUGAGUUUCUAGAAAAAAUUCUAGACCGGACAAUCAUUCAAUUCGACAUAUGACUUGAAUCCAACCAAAUAUAUUUUACUCGGGCUGGACCAGACUGAGUAAGAUUUUCUGUUCAAGUUAAACAUUGAGCUGUUCGAUCGUAGCUAAACUAUAAUAAUUGAUAAUUAAUAUAACAUUAUUUAAAAGUAAAAAAAAAGCCAAGCGAAACUCCAAGUCUUGUUAAAAACAAUUUUAAUUUCAUUCAAAUAUUUUAUUAUUCUUAAUUUAACAGACUAAAUUUUUUAAUAAUAUAUAUAUAUAUAUAUAUAGCAAACCAUGAAAGCAUUUCAAAUAAGAAUUUACCAAAAUAAAUAAAAAAAUAUGAAUGUUUAAUGUUGUAUUUAUUAAUGAUUAAAUGUUUUAUUUUAUCACAAUCCUUUGGUGGUAUGAUUGGUUUGUGUGCGGGGUUUGUUCUCGCAAGGUUGUGAGUUCGAGUCCUUCUUCCCGGACUGUGCAAGCCUUGCACGAACGUAAAAGCAAGUGCUUUUACGACCGUGCAAAAGGGGGGUGUGUUCUUGAGGGAUGCGAACUCGCGUCCACGCGAAGAAUUGCGCCCCACAGGCAUAAGUUCCAUAGAGGUCUAUAAAUAGACGACCUCUACAGAUUAGAAUUUUAAUUUUUAGACAAAAAACAAAGGAUUCCUAAUUUCUUUUCUUUCUCUACUCUCUCUUCCUCCAGUUAAAAUAUUUCUUUCCAAAUUGUUUAAAGGGCUUGCUGCAUAUUGAUUCUGGGUUCGAAGCCUUCUUUGAUCCGUGCAAAUCAUCGAGGCAGAAGGAACGAGAGGCUGUUGUAUCUCAGGAGUAGAACGUCAUCCAAGCCUAGUGCACUAUAAGGCGGCGAAAUCUACUUCAAGAAAAGUGACCAACAUACCACGCCUCAGCAUCUCGAGUUUCAUUUUUCUACUUUUUUUUUAAGCCUAUUACUGUCUAUUAUUUAUUGAAGUAGAAUAGUUUAGUUUUAUUUCUUCUUCAAAUUUAUUAUCAACAAUCUUGAAGUAGAUUUUUCCUACGUAUAAUAGGCUAGUAAUUAGAGUUAUCCUAAGGGCCAAUGCAAGUGACCCGGUUCCUCCGAAAAGUUUAAUGGAACUAAUUUUAAGCGUUGGAGAAGGAAAAUGGAAAUCUUCUUAACCACGCUUGGAUUAUUUUUCAUAAUUUUUGACUCUCCUUCAAAUGAGGAUGAGAAUGAACCGGCUAGGACUUGUAAUUUAGAGGAAUUUAAGAAGAAAGACUACCUGUGUAGGGGUAGAAUUUUGUCCUAUCUUUCUGAUCUCCGUUUUGAUGUCUAUUGCACUCUGAAAACCUCUAAAGAGAUUUGGGAUGAUCUUAAUAAAAAAUAUGGUAUCCAAGAUGCCGGAAUGGACAAGUAUACUGUUAGUCAAUUCCUGUCUUAUAAGAUGGUAGACACCAAGCCCAUAGUUGACCAAGCUCAUGAGCUAACAAUGAUUUAUCAUGAAUUAGGCUUAAGGGGAAUGGGUAUAACUGAGAGCCUUCAAGUUGCUUGUACCAUUGACAAGCUUCCACCUUCUUGGAAAGAUUUUGGGUUGUCCCUAAAACAUAAGACCGAGGAAAUGAGCAUGAAAACUCUACUAUCUGCCAUUAGGAUCCAAGAGCAACAUCUUGAGAAAGACAAUGAGAAAAUCAUGAACCCUGAGUUUCUAACUAAGGUGAACUUUGUAGAAGGCCAGAAUAAAACCUAUAGGUUCAAAAACUCCAAAUUUGAAAAGGGUGGACCUAAGAACAAAGGAAAAUCCAUAAAGCCAAAAUACCAUAUCAAUAAAAAUGAUCGGAGGCCGAUUUGCUACAAUUGUGAAAAAUCCAGUCAUAUAGCACGAGUAUGCCGGAUGAAGAAGAAGAAGUAUCAAAACUAUGAACAUGCACCUCCUCAACCUGCCAAUCCACAAACCAACAUGGUGUUAUCCAGUACUGGUCCUACUAAUACUGAUGAUCGAUAUGUAACUUUAAGUCCAGAGUUAAAUUUGGCAAUUCAUUCUACCGAUUGGUUAGUGGAUACAGGUGCAAAUAUUCAUAUCUGUACUGAUCGUAUCCUUUUUACUAUUUAUCAGGUCUGGAGCGGCCUAACAGUGACUAUGGGGAGUUCUACCUCGGCACGAGUACUUGAAACUGGGAAAGUACUUCUAAGACUUANNNNNNNNNNNNNNNNNNNNUGGAUACAGGUGCAAAUAUUCAUAUCUGUACUGAUCGUAUCCUUUUUACUAUUUAUCAGGUCUGGAGCGGCCUAACAGUGACUAUGGGGAGUUCUACCUCGGCACGAGUACUUGAAACUGGAAAAGUACUUCUAAGACUUACAUCUGGGAAUGUGCUUUCUCUAUUUAAUGUGUACCAUGUGCCUGAAGGAUGGAGGAAUCUGAUCAGUGGAUCUCUUCUGAUAAGGAGUGGCUAUUCUUUGUUAUUUCAAUCUAAGAAAGUGAUUAUAACAAAGAAUGGAACAUUUGUAGGCAAAGGCUAUAAGUGUGAUAGCUUAUAUGUAAUUAAUAAAAUGAAUGAUGUACCUUUGGAUAUUCUUCUUAUAGCAAUAAUAAAGUUAUUCUUUCAAUAUGUUCUUUAUUUUUUUGGCAUGCUAGAUUAGGACAUCUGAAUAAUAAUACUAUUAAAAGAAUGAUUAGUUCUGGUUUAUUGCCUAAUGUUUCAUUAGAUGAAAAAGAAAAGUAUCUAAUUUGUGUUCAGUCUAAGCAACCUAGAAAACCAUUUAAAAUGGAAAUAGAAAUUCCACCUUAUUAGAAUUAAUUCGUUCAGAUGUAUGUGAACUAAAUGGAACUUUGACUAAGGGGGGAAGAAGGUAUUUCAUAACCUUCAUAGAUGAUUAUUCUAAGUAUUGUCAAGUUUAUUUGAUGAAAACUAAAGAUGAAGUAAUUGAUAUAUUUAAGUUUUAUAAAUCUUUAGUAGAAAAUCAACUUGACAAGAGAAUAAAGAUUUUUAGGUCAGAUAGAGGAGGAGAAUACACCUCUAAUGACUUGAAUGAAUUCUGUAGAGUUAAUGGAAUUCUACAUGAAGUAACACCUCCCUAUUCACCUCAGUCUAAUGGAGUGGCUGAAAGGAAAAAUAGACUUUGCAAGAUAUGGUAAGAUCUUUGCUUCCCAACUCAGGUUUACCUGAGGUUUGGUAGAGGGAAGCAGUGCUUACAGCAUGUUUCCUGCUUAAUAGGGUUCCAUUUAAAAGUUUUAAUGAAUCUCCUUAUGAACUUUGGAAAGGAAGAAAACCUAACCUAAACUUUCUAAAAGUUUGGGGUUGUUUGGCUAAGGUUAAUAUUCCUUUAAUUAAGAAAAGAAAAUUAGGACCUAAUACUUUUGAUGCUAUAUUUCUUGGUUAUCUCUUAAUAGUGUUACUUAUAGAUUCUUAGUCAUUAGUUCUGACAUUAAUCACAUAGAUAAGAACACGAUAAUUGAAUCUAAAGAUGCUUCUUUCUUUGAAGACAUUUUCUUUUAAGGAUAAAAUAGAAAAGCAUAUAAUAGAUAGAUCUAAUAAUGAAUCUUGUAAUUCACCUUCUAAUGAAAAUGAAAAUGAACUUAUUGAUGUUAAUGAACUUGGUAGAAGCAAAAGAAUUUGAAAAAAGAAAGAUUUUGGAUCUGAUUUCUAUACCUUUAUGGUUGAAGAUGAUCCUAAAACAUAUAAAGAUGCUAUGAACUCAUUAGAUUCUAUAUUUUGGAAGGAAGCUAUUAAUAGUGAAAUAAAUUCACUUAUGACUAAUGAAACAUGGUUUCUAACUGAUUUACCAUCUGGUAGUAAGGCUAUAGGUUGUAAAUGGAUCUUUAAGAAGAAAUUAAGACCUGAUGGUUCAAUUGAAAAAUAUAAAGCAAGAUUAGUUGCUAAGGGCUUUACUCAAAAAGAAGGUAUUGACUACUUUGAUAGGUAUUCUCCUGUGACUAGGAUAACCACUAUCCGUACUUUAAUUGCACUCGCUUCAAUCCAUAAUUUGAUAAUCCAUCAUAUGGAUGUCAAGACUGUCUUCCUCAAUGGUAGUUUAGAGGAAGAGAUUUAUAUGGAUCGGCCAGAGGGAUAUGUGGCUCAGGGAUAGGAAAGAAAAGUUUGUAGGUUAGUCAAAUCCCUUUAUGAUUUAAAACAAGCUCCUAAGCAAUGGCGUAGAACAUUUGAUAAAAUAAUUGUUUCUUAUGGCUUUAAAGUAAAUAAAUCCGAUAAAUGCUUAUAUUCUAAGUUAGAAAAUGAUUCAUGUGUUAUCUUGUAUUUAUAUGUUGAUGAUAUCUUAAUAUUUGGUACUGAUAUGAAUAUUGUAACUGAUAUCAAGAAUUUUUUAUCUAAUAAUUUUGAUAUGAAAGAUUUAGGUCAGACAGAGGUAAUGCUUGGUAAUAGGAUUACCAGAAUACCUAAUGGCAUAAUCUUUGAUCAAUCACAAUAUAUUGAGAAAAUUUUGAAAAAAUUUGAUAAGUACAACUGUAAACCAGUGAGUACACCUUAUGAGCAUGGUUUGUACUUGAAGUGCAACAAAGGUGAUCCAGUGGCCAAAGAAAAAUAUGCUCAGAUUAUUGGGACACUGAUGUAUAUUGCAAAUACAAAUAGACCUAACAUUUCCUAUGCUAUAGGAAAGCUCAGUAGGUUUAAUAGUUGUCCUAGUCUUAGUCACUGGGAAGCACUGGACAGAGUACUUAGAUACUUGAGAGGUACCAUGUCUUAUGGUUUACAUUACUCAAGAUUUUCCGAUGUACUUGAAGGAUACAGUAAUGCUAGUUGGAUCACUGAUUCAGUGAACCGAAAAGAACUAGUGGAUACAUAUUCAUGUUGGGUGGUGCAGCUGUUGCUUGGAGAUCAUCCAAACAAACUGUGAUCACCAGAUCCACUAUGAAGGCUGAGAUUAUUGCCUUAGAUUCUGAAUCUCAAAAAAUAGAAUGGUUUAAGAAUCUUAUGUCAGAAAUUCCUAUUAUGAAAAGCCUAUGCCUGCUAUCUCUUUGUUAUGUGACAAUGAAGCUGCAAUUAAUACUUGUAGAAAUAUUGAAUAUAACAAGAGAAACAGAAGACACAUUAGUGUGAGACAUAAGACAAUUAGAUACCUAAUUAAAAAUGGUAUCGUGACUUUGGAAUUUGUUAGAUCUGAAGAUAACCUAGCAGAUCCUUUGACUAAAGGACUAGCUAGAAGCAAAGUUAUAGAAACAUCAAGGGGGAUGGGACUGAAACCCAUAAGGAAUUAUUGACAAUGGCAACCCAACCUAUUCUAACUGGAGAUCCCAAGAUGAAAGGUUCAACGGAAAAAAAAACAAGUUGUUUAAUGAUUAGUUAGCACUAUUAUUAAAAUGACUUUAUGUCAUUUGGUCUCUCCCUAUGAUGUGAGUGCUAAACACAUCAGAGGUAUACGGAAGAGUUUAAAACUCUGAAUGAGUCCGAGUCUAUGACAAGGUGCUGUGCUGCGAGCACCCUUGGAGGAUUCACCUAUGUGAGUGUAACUAUAUGGCCGCAGUCUAUGAGGAUAAGGGUUUAACCCCUAGAGCGCUCAUGAAAUUGAGAUAUUGAUGCAUGAGGCCGAAAAGCACCACCUAUGAUGAACCUAGUAUUUGCAUUUGUCAUGGGUGAAGUAUAUGAAAAUCUGAACCAAAGGAUUUGGUUCAAAGCUUUUUGACUACCACUAUUCCUUUCAGAUGAAAGUAUACUUUCACUAGGUAAAGGUUCAAAGCCGCCAGCUACCUUUAUUGAAGUUGCAACAUGAAAAGCCCGGUAUGACUAUUUUUAUAAAAUUUUGAAAAUAUUUUAAUCAGGUGGAGGAUUGUUGUAUUUAUUAAUGAUUAAAUGUUUUAUUUUAUCACAAUCCUUUGGUGGUACGAUUAGUUUGUGUGUGGUUUGUUCUCACAAGGUUGUGAGUUCGAGUCCUUCUUCCCGGACAGUGCAAGCCUUGCACGAACGUAAAAGCAAGUGCUUUUACGACCGUGCAAAAGGGGGGCGUGUUCUUAAGGGACGCGAACUCGCGUCCACGCGAAGGAUCGCGACCGCGAGAACGCGUCCACGCAAAGAGUCGCGCCCCAUAGGCAUAAGUUCCAUCGAGGUAUAUAAAUAGACGACCUCUAUUAAAUUUUAAUUUUUAGACAAAAAACAAAGGAUUCCUAAUUCCUUUUCUUUCUCUACUCUCUUCCUACCAGUUAAAAUAUUUCUUUCAAAAUUGUUUAACGAGCUUGCUGCAUAUUGAUUCUGGGUUCAAAGCCUUCCUUGAUCUGUGCAAAUCAUCGAGGCAGAAGAAACGAGAGGCUGUUGUAUCUCAGGAGUAGAACGCCUUCCAAGCCUAGUGCACUGUAAGGCGGCGAAAUCUACUUCAAGGAAAGUGACCAACAUACCACGCCUCAGCAACUCGGAUUCCAUUUUUCUACUUUUAUUUUUUUUAAUUUUGUUUUAGCCUAUUACUUUCUAUUAUUUAUUGAAGUAGAAUAGUUUAGUUUUAUUUUUGCUUCAAAUUUAUUAUCAACAUUUAAAUAUAUAAUUAAAUAAAAAUAUAUGAGAGAUGUUAGUUGUCGUGAUGAAAAAUAAGAAUUAAUUUAAAUGAGAGUUUAAGUCAACAAAUUAGAAAAGAUAUUGAGAAUAGAGAAGAAGAAAGUUUAUAUGAUUGAAGUUCUUAGAUUGGUUCAUGUCAAGUUUGCAUCAGGUCAGACCUCUUUUUUGACCCAAUUAGACCUAUAUAGUAUAUAAAUCGGAUUAGAUUAGGUCAGAUUAAAAAAUAUAAGAUUUAGAGACGAUUCAAAAUUUAGGUUGGGUUCAAUUUUUGAAUCAAACCCAACUAACAUGUUUUUUGAAUGCUGAUCAGAUCAAGUUUUAUCAAAUUGGGAUUAUUGUUAAAAUCCUUGCGUAAUUGGUGGUUGGCUAUCGUUGAAAUUGUGGCAUACCUUGAAUGUUAGAAUUAGAUGUUGGUGAUGGGGGAAAUCUUGACAUCUUAACCCCGGCUUAAAUCGACCCUCUUGACUUCGGUCUAAAUCGAGGUGCCACUUUGCUUGAGGAAAUAAAAAUUAGAAGUUACGACAACAUUACCGUUAAUGCAUGAUCGAUGUGAUUGCCGUCGUGCGCUAUUCGCGCGGGAUGGCUGCUACAUUGUUAACGGGUAGCCGACCAUUACCAUAUAGUUAAGGCACAUUGUGUCUAAUCAGGUAAUGGAUUCGUAUUCUACUCUAUACAAAGGGCUAGCCCGGAGGAUCCCAAAGUAAGCUCAUUUUCGAGAUUCCACUCUACAAAUUUUCACCCUUCGACAUUGUUGCUCUAGUAUUCUGAGUUAAGCAUCAGAGAGUCCCCUACCAGAAACUUUUUGGCAGACAGACUGCUUACAGAUUGGAUUCUUGGCGACGAGUUUUUACUCACCUUAGUCUCGCCUGAUUUCACCUCUUUUCAAUUCUCACCGAUCUCAAAGCAUGUUAAAAAGCUUUCCGACCUCGGCUCAGAAUUUAGUGAUAAUAGAUUAGCGCUAGAGGAAGGGUAUUUACACCAACAUCUGAAGGAGGGAAAAAUCAUUAUCAUGAGGUCACGAAGGAGCCACAAAACUAUGCUCCAAUUGAGCCGAUGAGCUCAAACCAGCUUGAGUCGAGGUAGCUGCCUCAGAUGAGGAUGAACAAGGGGUCGAAGCAGCGGCUGAUGACUAACCAAGGAUUAUCCCCUCCGGACGAGUUGACCUGACAGGUGAUAGAAUUUCGACCUUAAGAUCAGGCUUCGCUCCUUCUGCCUAAGGUUCCAACACAUCAGGUGUAGAAGCCUUGAUUUUUGCAUUAAGAGGCACUGAGCUGGAUCCUCCCUUCAUCCUCUUCUUCUAAGGAGCUAUAACCCCAAACACUGCUGCAGCUCUCUUGUGCAUGACUUCUCGGAUCAACGCCAAGACUGUCUUUAUGGCUACAAUAGCUAAAUGAUCAAAGUGGAUGUUAGAAAAUUUAACCUUGUGGCGAGGUAAAAAAAUAAAAAUUUUAAAGAAUUUUAUCCUAAAGGUCGGCUAAGCUCGGACCAACAUUGAUCAUUGUCUUCUUGGACAAUAGUUUUUGCAUCGGAGGAAUUUUCAAAUUAAGAAAAGUGUCCAAGGAUCCUUAAUUGUCACCGAACAAUCGUAGAGGUCGGUUCAAAGACCUCCAAGGUGUUCUCUAUAGGGUCUCAAACUGCCAUGGCUUCUUGAAAGAAGCAAAGAAAAAUCUUCUCUUCCAUUCGUGAGUAUAACAGGGAGCAUCUCAGAUCAAUUGGAGGCCUUUCCGAGGAGAAAUAUACCACCAAUUGCUUUUCCGAGGAUGCCUUUUUAGAGUACGGCAUCCUCAAAAACUGAGGCUCAAAAUUGUGAAGAAAGCAAAGGGUAAAAAAACCUACGAGGACCUACCAGAAGUUUGGAAUAUAUUGGGUCGAGAUGAGGUUAUAAACCCUAAUCAACUGGACAAGGAAAGGAUGGAGAGGUAUUAAAGCCCGUCCCUGAAAGUUUCUUCGUACGGGCCAAGUUGAGAAGGAAAAGGUUUUGUCGCCCAAUCCUCGAGAUAGGCGAGCUCAAAAGUGACCUCGGUAUGGACAAAGUAUUGAGCUCAGAGCAUGUCCAUCUCCUCUUUGGUCAGGACCGACUAUUCGUAUUCUAGGCUGAUGUGAACUUCGGGCCCAACCUCACUUGGAGGUGAGGAGUGUCGAGCUCAAGGACAUUGGCUGGACGACCAACUCUCCGAUGAGACCUCGAUCUCAACCUCGCCCAUGGUAGAGAAAAUAGAAAAAUUGAAGGGGAAAAAGGAAAGAAAAAAUCUAACUAGCCAAAUAGGGAAACCCAUCGGUUAUCGUCGAAAGAAAGUGGGGAGGACGUCGGAAGGAGUGCCAAAGAAGAACUUUGCCGAAGAAGCGACAAGAAGAAAGCUCAAGUUGAUGGAAAGAUUUGCAAAAGAAGCAAGAAGUGCGAUAUAAAGGAAGGAGUUAUCCUCAUAAAAGGGUACGAACAACUCUGAUUAAAGCAAUAGUUCGACUUCUCGAGUUAAUUCAACCACAUGUCACCUCAGGAUGUGGUGUGAACAAUUUUUCCUACAGUGUAUUUUUCCUCACCUUCUCUUUUUAAGCUCCGCAUAUUCAUUUUUAAAACUAGAUUUCUUCAAAUAUAGCUGAUCAGUGACCGGACAAAAAUAAGAAAGAUUUUUUAAGAACAAUUUUUUUCUAAUCUUAGGCGGAGGCAAGAAUGAUCGUGCAAAUAGUAUUUGAGCAAGUAUUCAGGGGGAGCCGUCCGCAGACUGCGACAUUUUCAUUGAUUUCCCCAACUACCACGUGCCGUUCUCACGUGAUUUUGUGGGAAAGGUUCGCGCGGAAGAAACCAUUCCCACAAAAAAUCUGUUUGCUGUUUGAGUCAGAACAGGCAGGUUUCACCUCGAUUCGGUGGCUCGCCGGCUAGCGACUCUCGCCGAGAAAACCCAUCCGCGACGAGAAGUGUGAACCGGGUGACGUGCGACUGAUACGCGGACGCCGUCACGAUGACGCCGAUGAGAGACGCCACUCGACAGGUGGGCCCCGCAUUAGAACUCACCCGAAACACACCUUGGGCCACGAGGACGGUCGGUCAAGGCCUCAUUAAAAUAGCCCACCCCACCAAACGCCAAUCGUCAAAAAAAAACAGACAUACUCUGUUACAAUGACCACCGGGGCCCAACCUGAAGCGGUUGGCCUGUUGGAGUCGGUGGUGUCGGCCCCACGAAAUUGCUUGCAUCCGUUGUGGUGGGCCCUCAAGACAAAUCCACGCGUCGCAUCUCGAACGGCUCAUGCAGAUCUGAGUGCAUAUCAUCGAGUGCACGUACGGUAGAUUAUCUUCUACACUGUCGGAAAGAAUAAUGGCAUCAUACUUCUCUGUUUAUUAAUUAUAUGCUUUAUUUUCCAUUGUAAUAUUCGGCCGCUAGGCGACGUUACACGCACCCUCUUUGGGACCUUUAAUUAUUCGCCGUACUUACAAAUGCUAGUUUUUUUUAUUGUACAGCCUCCUUGGACUCUUGGAGGUACUUCCCAUUGGCCUCUCCAUUAUUUUGAAUAAUAAUUUGCAAUUAGAUAUAAAAAAUUAUUAUUCAUUUGAGCAUUGCAGUUGUGGGACGGGCAUGUUCGUUGCUUCGCUAUUAGGUAGUACGUCAUCGAUGAAUUGCCCCUCUAAUCUAUUCAAUCAACUGGGUCUCAGAUUAUGAGCUAAGAGUUAUAAGAUACUAGGAUAAUCUAUGAGGUUUACCAAAAUUUCUGUUAAAACUUGUUAGUGACGCUCCCAAUUAAUUUCCGUUAAAAUCUUUAUUUUGUAAUGGCCAAACUGUCUUCUGAUGUAUGAGAACCCUACCAAUUUGCGCUGUCCGUGUGUACGACCCCACCAGUACGCACAAAAUCCAACGUGAUGGUUGCUGCAACAACACAUCUUGACCCUUAUCUAAAUAAGCUAUAGAUAUUGGAAAUUAUAUAACUCAUAGCUCAUUUGGAUAUUUAUAUUGGUCUGCUUAGCCCCCAUCUCUUUAAGAUCUGCAUAAGCCCAACUUAAAUCCUGACUUAUGGAUCUGUUGGUCUGCAAGAAAAGCAAAAAUAAAAGAGCAUGGUGGUCUUUUUUUUUUUUCCCCUUUUACAUGAUUUUUGUGGAGAAAUUUUGAGUUGAUAUAAGCCAUAGUUAUAUAGGUGGCCCAAUCCAUGAGUUUGGUAAGAAAUUCAGUCUAAUCUUGCCAGAUUAGCAAGAUAGGCCUCUAAUACUCAUAAUUUUUGGUUCCAGCAUUGAAUAGUGUCUUCAAUUCUAAUUUUGUAAUAUUCUUUCUGAUCCAUGCUGUUAUCACCCAGAUUUUUUGCCAAUUUUUCUCUGAAGUGAUCCUAGUCAAAUAUCUCUCACCCCCACAAAACUAAAUUCUAUCUAAAUACUCUUCAAUUCAACCAGUUCAAUAACCCUUGAUCCUUUGCUCGGACUAUUUUUUAUACUUAAUAUUUAACAUAUUUUUAUUUUAUAAUUUAGUCAAAUUAUCCUAUAUUCAAAUUUUAUAACAGCCACAUGCAUUUUCAUUUGCAUUCUAACUAGUUGUCAUGAAAUAUACAUAUCCUGAUAAGCUAUUUACAUAUCAUAAUAGUUUUUCAAUAUUGAAGAAGGGAGCAAGUUUUACAUUUAUUAUUUAUGAUUAUGAGAUUUAAUCAAAAUUUUUUAAAAAUGGCAAUCAAAAAUUAUUGUUUUCUCACCAUAAUUGUAUGUUAAAUUUUAGAAAUACAUUUAUAAAACAAGGUGUCAAAAUCAACACGAUGUAUUGCAGUAGAAUCAUGAAAGACAGCACAUAAUACAUCAUAUACGAAUUAUAUGUAUUGAUAUCAUAUUGCUUGUGCCACUGGGGCUGCUUUAUCCAAAUUAAGGAUUAUUUAGCAAUAUUCAGAUUAAUGAUCCAAAGAAAAUAUUCUAAUGAUCAUCGAUGCCUUGCAAAAGCAAAGCAAAUGAAUACUUGGAGCUAUAGUUGUGAAUACUUGUAGCUAUACAUGUUGAUUCAUCUGCUUCUAACUUCAGAGAUAGCUGCAAUUUUUAUUUAUGGAUUUAUUCUCCUGAGGUGCUGAACAAAACGAGGGAAUUUAGAUAUGAGUAUUGAAACUCCCUGCGACCUUUGGGAUGGAUGAAGAAACAAAAACUGUCGCUUUUGAAGAAGCUAAAGCUCUUACCAAGAAAAGAAAGAAGCUAACAUUGACCCGUACGUAUAAUGCCACAGAGGCGUAACAUGGCUCACCACCACGCUGAAAACACCUGUAUCUCAAGUAGAACAACGGUGUGCCGGCUGAAACCGGCGAACAUAUUAUAUGCUUGAAUUAAAAGUAACUUUUUUUAGCAAUUCAAUGAAUGUAUCUAAUGUGCGCCCCAAUCACCACCUCCAGUUUCCAUGCACCUCUACUUUGUUUCCACUUGCACAGUGGUCAAAAGGUCAGAAGACUUUUUUGUCACUUUAAGUUCCAAUGAAAUAAACAUCUAUAAUGAAGACUACGAUGCAAAAUGUGGUCAAAUAAUAAUGUCAAACUGUCAUAAAAAUAUUAUAAAAUAAAAAAUGGUACGUAGGCUUGUUGUUCAUAGAAUGCAAGCCAAUUAUGCUUGUCCAACUGGUCAUAUCCCUCGAUUUAACAAUCGAGGAUUUUGGAAUUUGAAUUUUAAAGGGAGCAUUCUCAAGUAUUUAGAUCCAGAUAAUUAUAAUCGAGAACAUCUUUGCUCUUUUUUUCUCUCUGGAAAUAGGAAAUACAGGAAGAAGAAUGUAAGUGAAUCAGAAAAGGUAUAAUGGAAGCAAUUUAAGAUUGUAGAUGGUCAUAAGUAAAAUGUUUGACGGCUUAUACCUUAUUGCAUGUGAUCAGACCUCAUUUAUUAUAAAUUGAGAUAUUUUCUAAAGAGAAUAUGUAAGAGAAAUCGAGUAGUUGGAAAAAUCGGAAUCUAUAAAUCUAACAAUAUCAAGAUUUUCAACGAACUUAUUCAAACAUUUCUUAAAUUACUUAAAACAUCAGCCAUAUUCUACUUCAUUCGGCACAUAAAUGUACUCCAACUCUUUUGCUGGUUAAUUAAGUCAGAUAGAGCUCUAUGGUGAUUUUAACUCGUCCUACGUUUCGACAGUCCCAUGCCAUUAAGAUGUUGAACGUGAAGAACCUGGAAUCAAUGUAACAUACGUCACUUGAAUUAGGUUAAAUAAAACGAAAUUAAACGUUUACAACUUUAUGUAAUUCAAAACAACAGCCAUUUACCAGCAAAAAUGUUAAGAACAAAAGAUAUCAACAACGGUCUAAUUUUUUUUCUGUAAACAUGCUGCAGACUCCAAGCGCUUCCAUCUACCAUGAACACUCUUUAAAACAGAGGUGGAAAAAGAAAAAGCGAAAAAAUAAAAAACUGAUUUUUACGCAUCCGCGAUGGCGGUCAAAGUACCACCUGCCGCACACCGCAUCGAGUCCACACGUCAACGAGAUGAUAUAAGACGCGACGUGCGCGGUAGCAUCACCGGUUGGGCUCGCGAGAUCCAGCCCUUCGGGUGCCGGGUCGGCGUUCAGAUCGAGGCGCCCCGGGAUCGCGUUCUCCGCGACCCUUUCCUCGGCCGUUGCCUCCCCACCGGUUGCCAGCUCCUCCGCUCCCCUCCUCCUCCGGUCAUCCCUAAAGUUGCUCCCAACCUCGAAGUCCUCUCUCUCGAACCUUGGCCGCCACCUCGACUGCCCCUCCGCCGCUACCCUCCGCCGGAUGCCAGCGCCGCCGCUACCCUCCCUAACGGGGAAGCACCUCGCCGCCUCCCGCACCCGUCGAAGGAUGGCGUAGAACUCCUCCACCUCGUCGUCGGUCACCGACCGAUCCCUCUCGUCCUCCGCUCGCGCCCGAGUCCUCCUCUUCUCCUCUUCGCCGUCUCCGGGCCGUUUCCUCGUCGCCGUCUCCAUUCUAGUCGGUGCCGUUAGUUCACGGCGUACGCUCCUUCUCUCCUCUCCAAUUUCUGGGUCUCCUGCUGCAAGGUUGAUCUUCGGCUUCGGGUGGGUCGGGCCAGAAAUACCCAACAGCGACGGUGCGGAUAAUAACAGGCCACCGUGAUGACGUCGGCUGCUGGGGGGAGGGAUGACGUUGUCUCAUGACGUCAGGCCCUCAAUGAUGGCACCCAUUGGAUUGGGAGUUGGGACCCCAGCUUCCUUUCCCGUUGCUUCCUGCGUCUGGUGCUGGAUCUGGUUGGCGCGACAUCUCUCCACCGGCCAUAUAACAUCUGGGCCGUUGAUUGGUGUUUGUUGAAUCCAAAUGCUGUCCGUUUGAUUGGUGGAUGUUGAAUCAGUCACCGGGAAGAGAUUCGACGAUGUAUUCUAAUGACAUCAAGUGUGCCAUACUGGCGUACUGCUUUGCUAUCCGCUCCGUCUACACCUGCCACGUGGUCCACCAGCGUGGCAUCAAUUUCCUGAUUAUGACAAAGGAUUGGAAGGUGAAUAAACGAUGUUUGAAUUAUGAGUUUUGCGUGUUAUAAUGGGUGACUUUGACAAGGCGUAACAGCUGCCGUCCCUCCCUCUGGGAAAGCAUGCAGUUGCCAUCCUAAUGAAUUACAUGCGUGCUUCCGGAUUUGCAUUCAAAUGCAAGUCUGAAGGCAAAUGUGGUGAAAUUUUUGAUAGACUUUAUAACCUUUCAACACCUCUCUACCAUUGGAAUCUACCAAGUGUUAGGUUGAGAGAAAGAGAGGGAGAGCAUCUCUACCCAUUGGAAUCUUUUGAAUGUUUGAAAUCUAUCGAAUGUUUAGGUUUUUUUUUGUCUAAGACGGGUGGAUCAGACAUGACGGGUACGGAUAUACCCAAUAAAGUCAAAAAAUAAGAUACCACGGAGAGCCAAAGGCAGCUCACCAUCUCCGGUCCACAAGGUGCCUCCGAAAUGACGAGCUACAUAUGCAGCCACCCAAUCCGCGACACCAUUGGCUUCGCCGUAAGUAUGCUUGGCCUGAAAGGCCAAACCAUCCCUCACCAUAGCCCAAAUGUCACGGAGCAGUGGAUGGUCACUGCCGUCACCCCUGGGACCCCCACGGAUCCAACUGAUAACAGUAGCUGAAUCACCCUCUAGAAUGAUAGACCUAGCCUGUAACACACAUCGGACAUGCCGAAGGCCCGCCCAGGCGCUCUCAGUUCCGCACUCGGAACCGAAGUGUCAAUAAAUGACUACCCCCAGCAGCCACAACUCUAGCAGACGGGUCCCGAAUGACGAAACCCGCGCCUCCCCUCGUGCCACCAUUCAGGACUGAUCCAUCAAAGUUGACCUUGAGGAAACUCAGGGGUGGAAGCUCCCAGGUGAAAAACACCGUGCGGGAUACUGCCGAAGCAGGGUAGGAGCCCCAGAUGUUCCGAGCUGUCAAGGUCCCUCCAGCGGGGGGGGGGUGUGACACAAUUCUGCCGCCUGACUAUGGGCUCUCUCGACCACAAAUCUCGGCGACAUGCCUCGUUCAUCAAAAAUGCGAGCGUUCCUGGCCAACCAGAUCUGGUAGGCGGUACAGCUCACUCGAGCCACCUCCUGACGAAGCACCGGGAAAACCGAACCCUGGCUCAUGGCCUGUAAGAACUGGUCCCUAUAGCUCCAUACCGGCUGCGGAACCCCUGCCAGACGCCAAGUAUCCCUCGCCCGUGAGCACCGAAAUAAGGCAUGGUCGACCGUCUCGACCACACCGCAAACCCCACACUCCAAUGGGAUCCUCAAUCCUCGUCCACCAAGUAUAGCUCUGGUAGGAAGGCGGUCCCAGACCACCUUCCAAAGGAACAGCGCGACCCUCGGGAGGAGGCCCAAACGCCAGAUCCAGGCACAAUCGAGACCAAAUGUUAGGUUUGCACAGAAAAAAAGAGGCGGGAGGCGGGAGAGAAUGCGCCAAAUGUUAGGUUUGCAUAGAGAGAAAGAGAAAGAGAGAGAGUAAGAAAGAGAUACAUGGGGGGUGGGAGAGAAUACGCCAAAUGUUAGGUUUGCACACAGAGAGAAGAGGGGGUGGGAAAGAAUGUGCCAGCUUCUUGAAUUUAAAAGUAGUAAUUAGAUCUAAUCGGAUAAGAUAUGAAUACGAUCGGAUGCAUGAUAGAUAAAAAAAAUAUCAAACCAAACCUAUCAUAUUUAUUAAACGGUCAAAAAUCCAAAUUCAAAAUAUACUAUCCGAUUAAAUGAUAGUCUAACUCGAUCUACAAUAAAUUGAAAUAAGUUAAACGAUUAAAUAUUGUCACUCCUAUUUUUGGUCCCUCAAUCUUAAUUUUGAUGUGUGAACAUUAUCCAUUUUGGGGGUAAAUUACCCAUCAUCAUCAUCGUAUAAAUACACUAGGUGGAUGUGGUGGCCGGGGGAAAAAAAUGGGCUUGUCCCUCCAGUGCGGCCAUCUUCGGCGCGUCAGCUCAACCAUGGGGAGCAGUCUUUGUGUGGGAAUUUGGAGGACUUCCAUGCGAAGCCUAUGGGCUAAAGAACCUGGGAUUCCAUUGCAAGGUCCCGGAUAUUUCCCGAAGGAUGCUUCUCCCCGAAGCAUUAUCUUCUCCUGUCCCCCACUAUACCUUACCGACUAAUUCCAUCCUUGUCAUCAAUAAAUUUUUCACGUCACAGCAGGUUCCAGACUUCGCCCAUUACUUCCAAAGUUGAUACAUCAGUGCCCCCCGUUUGAUGGGUAUUGGGUGUCGACUAUCAAGUCCACUCACCGUAUUUAUUUAUUGAUUUAUUUUGUAUAUCUUGAAGGACUUCAAUAUAUUUGAAGUCAAUUCAAGAAGAGUUUUCUAGAUUGCUUUGGAUAUAAUUCAAUAGAUGAUCACUCCAAAGGCAAAUCAAGAUGACUUUGGUUAUUGUUUUGCCUAGAAAAGGAGGGAGGUGGACGAAGAGGAGGUUCACUUUGCUACGGAUCAAAGUGCGUUACAUGCAAGCUAGCCUCGAUGAUAUAUAUAAUUUAGUAGAUGACUGUAAUGAAGCCAGCUACGUACAUGCGUCGUUCGAUUUGAUGUUAUGGAAGUACUUUAGAUUGUCUCCUUUUGUGAUAAGCGGCUGACAGCAUGUGGCCGGCUGUUGGAUCGAUGUAGACACAAUAAUAUGGCCUCGACUAUUUCCCUCCUUCGAGAGAGCGUCUCAUGCAGAUUUUUCAUGAAAUUUAUAAAAGUAUAAAAUUUCUAAUAUGAUGAUGUGAUAUUUACGAACCACAAAAUGCCUUCAAUGCGCGUGACAAGUUAAACUAAUUUCUCAUUUUAUUUUUCUUAAAUAAAAGUGAAGUUUUCAUGUGGCAAUGAACUUAAACCCAAUCCAAAGAAUAUGUGCAACGUACCAUAACAUCAGAAAUCUAACUUAGAGAAUCACGCAGCCAUUGGAGCCUUCCCGUUGCUCCUUUUGGAUUGACACCAUGCAAUGUGACCAAGAAAGGAACGUUAAGAAAGUUCAAUCACAGCUGCGUGAUUUUUGGGUAAGAUUAUUAGGUUACAAAACUAUUGUCAUCUGAAAAUAUGACAAACUCAUCACAAUAUAUAGUCCAAAAUUACCAUUUUAAAUGAUGAUUCAUAGGUACCCGUAUAGUAUUUGUGGACCAGAAACUAAUCAAGUAAAUUGAUUUUUUGUCAGGGUGGAGCAUACAUUCUAACCAUCCAAGUACAUAACAAAAUGCAUUUCUUCCAUAUUCCUAUCUUCUUGGACAAGGUAUAGGUACUAGCAUACCAUACAAUGAACUAGCCACAAUCCCUUCUUUUGAUGCCUAAAUUCUGCUUGACCAUGUUCUAAUAAUUUAGAGGUAUGGAGGGCGCCAAUCAAUCCGCUGGUCCAUAAUAGUAAAACAUGGAGCUCCAAUCUGCUAUGGAGAGUUGUGGAUAUGCAUACAAAGAAAAGAGAUUGAUCCACCAGGAUGGCUCCGGUCGGGCCUUCUUCGAUGCUUAAGUCAAACAGGCCUGAGAAUUAUAAUGAAAAAUUGUAAGAGAAGAAAAGCAUUAGAGUAGAGUGAUCUCUCUAGAUUGUUAGGCUUUGAGUGCUUAGCUUGAAUUACUCGACCUAAAGUGCUCCGUAUGGGAGCUCGGCCUGGAGAGUUUGGUCUAAAAUGUUCGGCCUAAAAGCUCGACCUAGAGUGCUCACCCUAUAAGCUUAGCUUGGAGUUUUUGACCUAGGAGAUCGACAUGGAGUGCUCGGCCAGAAAGCUCGGCGUGGAAUACUCGGCCAGAAAGCUCGGCCUAGUGCUCAUUUUAAGAGCUCAACCUAAGGUGCUCGGUUUGGGGGCUCGACCUAAGGUGCUCGGCUUAAGAACUCAGCCUGGAGCGCGGCAUGGAAGCUUGGCCUGGAGUGUCUGGCCAGAGUGCUUGGCCUAAGAACUCGACUUGGGAGCUCAAUCCAGAGUGCUCAACCUAGGAGCUCGGUCUAGAGUGCUCAAUGUGGGAGUUCGAUAUUAAAGCUUGGCUUGGAAUGCUUGGCUUGAAGUGCUCGCUCUGGAGUCCUUGGCAUGAGAGCUUGGCCUGGAGUGCUCAACAUGAGAGCUCGACCUAAAGUGCUCGGCAUUGAAGCUCAGCCUGGAGUGCUCGGCAUUGAAGCUCAGCCUGGAGUGCUCGGCUUGAGAGCUUGGCUUGGUGGACGACGGUUGGUAUGGAAGGGCGGCUUCCAAGGACUCGUGUCCUGAUCUCCAAAGACGCGGAUCUUGUAUACACAGUGCUUGGAUCUCGGGUGGCACGGAAAGGCGGCCUCACAAGACAUGCAUCCUAGUCUCCAAGAAUGUGCAUUUUGUCUGAAGAGGAGAUUGCAUGGAAGGAUGACCGUGGAAGAGCAGUUGAGCUCAGAGAUAGCCAUAAGAGCUUGAGAACCUCUUCUUGGGUGCUUCUGGCCAUCUAUGAUUGGACCUUUUGGUCGUUCCUCCCUCCUUUUGGAGUUUCUUGAUGUUGUUGACAUAGAUAAGGGAGCAUGGAUCUAUUAUACUUUAGAGGUAAGAAUCAAGGGAUUGUCGUAACUAUCUUUCUUAUCUGUAUUCAAAUUUAUUAUAAUCUCCUUCCUUGUUUGAACUUCAGCAAGAAUUCAUUUUUUUUUUGAAUUCAAAUCUUUUCAAAAUACUUGCAAAGAGAUAAGCGAUUAGAUUUAGGCCACAUCACCUUUCCAUAGAGAUAAGCAACAUCCCAUAGCACUCAUGGGCCAAGCCAGAUUGUUAAGCAACAAGGUGACUCCAAAAACUUAAACUUAUAGGAAAAAUUUAGGAUGAUGGAAAAAUUAGAGAUAAUUAAAUAAAUAAUUAAACUACAAGGAUUCAAAACCUCCAACAAAUUCUUUGAUGCUGAAAAAUUUAAGCUUAUAGAAAAAUGAUCCACUACAGACUUAAUAGCUCCAUCUAGCAGAUGCUACAGUCAUGGAGUCUAAUUGGCCUUGCAAGCGAACCGGUUCCAUUGAAAAAAAAGAAGAAGAAAGAGAGCAUCCGUAGCAAUAUUGGUACUUUGAACUUAAUAUUGAGAUUGGAGUUAAGGAGGUUACCCGUGUGCUUGAAAUGGAUUGCUGCCUGUUGGACUUCUUCCAUCACCGGAGACCUGGUCAAGAUAGCUCCCUCAGCUAAUGAAACAGUCUGAACCCGGCUCAUUCCUGUGCCUGGAUAACAGCUUGUACGGGCUACAUUACAAUUCGAUGUUUAUAAGGUCAAAUAGUGGAGAAGUUUCAAGUCCAUUCAGGGCCAUUAUUUCUGCAAGAACUUGGUUUAUCCAUUAGAAGUAUAGUCCAGUCGUUUAGUGUAACAAUCUACAACCUCGUCCAAAAAUAUUAGCCAAAAAAUAUUAUUUGAAUUCUUUGACCCUAUAUAAGGUCCAAAAUCUACCUAAUGCAUAGCCAAUGUGGAAUUAACUACACGCUCAUCCUCCAUUUAAGCCUAUGCGUCCUCACCAGGUUAAGAGUCUAAAGCUCUUCAAAUGUCAACCCUCCAGUUUAAAUUCUGGUGUCCUCAUUAAACUAAGGAUCUAAAUCUAUUCAAAUCCAAUCAUAAAUAGCAGGAUCAACAUGNNNNNNNNNNNNNNNNNNNNUGGAUACGCGUGCCGAUCACGUGGGCAUGGCGGCUCAAUUCCCCAUAACAAGUAUGAUCAACAUGUAGUCAGUCCCUAAUGAACCAAUGUUGCAGUAUUCCCUAAUCUACAUGGGCUUUAGGUUGGAUGCUCUAAUUCUAUUUUAUAUAAUUUUGAAGGAUCUCAUUCAAAAAUACUAGUCGAAAAAUAUUAUUUAAAUUUUUUAAUUAUAUAUAAAUAUUUAAAAUAUAUUUCGUGCAUAGCUAGUACACCAUGACAUGCAAAAGCAACCUAUACAGAGAAAUUUUCGUACGUCAACUAACUCGAUUUUAGAAGCUAAAUUUUAGUUCGAUAGAGACUCCGUAGCAAACACGAUAAGUCACCGUUUGAGCGCAAGACGCCGACGGUUGCAAGCAUUGGAAAGCGUCAAGCCCCAAUGUUCUCAUCAGUACUACUGCUUUGUCUUCUUCUUGGAUAAUUUUCUGACUCAUUCUCAUGUAAAUAAAAUACUAGAUAUUUCAAGAAAAAUAAUGUCUUGCAAAUAUAAAUAUUUUAUGGUAUCGUUAUGAGAAAAUCCUAUUUACUGUUCCUGUAGGUGGUGUUUUAACUAUUUCUUUCGGUUUCAGCCUUUUACAUCUUUAUUUGUGUAUGAAUAAAUACCCACAUAUUAAUCACCUUUAAUUCCCAAUUUUUAUUAUUUGCAUAUGAACAAAUUUCUCUGUAUUUUAUAUACCAGAAUUCCAGAUCUUCGUACUUAGUUGAAAUUAGUUUGAUGGUUGGACUUGUGAUUAUGGUGUUAGGAAUCUUGAUGACAACAAGCUACAACCAAAUUUUAUACCUGAUUUUAGUUCUAUCUCUUGGCAUGGAUUUAACUCAUCCGGAAAAGUUUUUGGUAAUAAUUUUGAAAGCGAGAUGUUUUUACUUUUGGCAAAAAGCACGAUGCGCAUCGUGAUAAAAAAACAUUUUAUCUGCCACCACCAACCUUUGACAAGAUUUAGAAUAUAAUAAAAUACACUUGACAAAUGCCCUGAAGGCUCUAGCUAUUUGCUAAUAAAUAUCUUUAGUGGAGGAAAAAAAGAGAGAUAAAAAUGGAUUUGGACUUUUCUCUCCUUCCAUGAUUGGACUGGAUAGGAUGCCUAUUAGGCUCAAUCACAGCCAUUGUGCCAUACAUAGAUGGAUGUAAUUGAUAAAUCGGCUCUCUCCAAUCCAACCAGGUUUGGGGAGGAUCCCAACUCCCAACACAGGAAUACCCUCAGCUUACCAGUCUCAUGAACCUUCUCAUAGUGGCCUAGUGGUUGCCUUCAUAAGGCCAAAACCGCACCAUUUAGUCUCGCGGCCAACUUUCCUUGUAGAUGCAGGUGGGGAGGUAUUAAAAAAGAAUUUUCUACAGUAAUUGUGGGAAAUGAAUUAUCAAAUUGAAUUUCUUUCAAAAAGAAAAAUAGAAUUGUAUUAAUAAUGAAUGGAGAGGUAUUCCUGAAUAUAUUUAUUAUUCACAUACCAUUUUAGAAGAGCAAUAACAAGAAAGUAGAAUUAAAUUAUGUAUAGAAGGGCCUAUGCCACACCUUCGUCGCGAAGAGAAUCAUGUCUUUGAUGGGAUCCCUUAAAUUUAUGAGAUCUCUCCUUUCUCGUCAAAUAUCUGAAUUCUUUCCUCCUUUGAAAUUCAAAAACUUAAAAAUUUGUUUCAUUCAUAGUCUGAGAAGACCGAUUAUAUGGUUCUUUCUUCCUUGGGGCAUGGGUUUAUGUGCUUUUAGAGACAAUUUGUGGAUGACGACGAGUGCCAGGAGAUAAACUUUGGUAGCUGAGAACCUACGAAUGAAAUGAAGGCCCAUCAUAGAGAGAAGACUCCUAUUUACAAGCCCAUCCCUCAGAAUCUGGACUUCGAGCCCAUGACAGACAAAAGAUUCAUAGAUGUGAGAUGAGAGCAAAUUUAUCGAAGUCAUGAAUCCUGAUGAAGGUAGGACUUGAAUUCACGUCUUCGGUAUCUAUAUCAAAAGUGUUUCAUAACAUAACCAGCUAGUUAUAAUUUAAGUCCCUGAAUGGCAGAUGUCAUCAGCUGAACUUAUGUAUCCUGAAUUUGGAGCAAGCAGCGAAUGCUUUUUGCCAUUUUGGAAUGUAAUUUCUCGUGGCUGUUCACCAGACUGCUCAAAAAGAAAAAAUAAUCAACAGUCGGUUCAGAGAAAUUUUGAUGCUCGUUGGAUUGUUUCAAUCCAAGAUAUGGUACUAUCUCUUGCCCACAUUAUUUAAUUUCCCCAAUUACACGAGCAAUAGCAAUAUAAACAUGGAUUCCUUUCAGCUAGACUCAAAAAGUUGAUCAAUUCAUAAAGCUGUUUCUGCCAUUAAUACCUGCCUUGCUACAGUCAUGAUACUUACUUCGAUGGUUUUGCUUGAUUUCAUGUUAGACCAUAAAUUCUCAGAUUUUAACUCGAUUCUCUGGGCUCAUAGGGAGUGUUUGCUAUGACGGGAGAAUAUAGCUGACAUCUAAACUACUUAAAGAUAUUUCGCGAAAACUACAUCUACACUAGUUGAGUUUCUCCCGUACUCCCAUCUAUUAUGGUUGUUUUAUAAAUCUAGUUUGCCUUUUUUUUAGUUGUGACGAUAUUCACCAAGGCAGGCAUGUGAAGUCACUGAUCUUGAUACAUGGCCAAUAGUUGAUCAAAACCAGGUUAGUUUUCAACUUAUCAUGGGUAUUCUACAACCUCUCACAGUUCAUAGAGUCAGAAGAAUCGACACAUUUACUUCUGUUCUCUGCUGCCGCAUAUUAAUUGUCUGGAGAUGCAGUGAUUUCUUUAUAGCUUUGAUGAACUUCCUACAACCAUAGGCAUGCGCUGCAGGUGACCUUAAUUUCUCUUGAAAGGCUUUCACCGCUGACACUGUAAACUCAUGGCCUCUUUUUUUUUCAAUAGGUCAAACAGAUCGUACACUUUUGAAAUGAAUGUAUCUAAUAAACAAUAAAAAUAAGAGAUGGUUCAGGAAUGGUCCAUAGCUGUUCCAAAAGAAACCGAGCAUCAAAGGAUACAACCCAAUCAGUAGCUCUAUUUAUCUUCAUGUAUGCAUGAGCUGCCCGAAAUAUUGUGCAAUUCUUUAUCAACUUGAAGAUGUCCUGUAGUAACGAAUGCCUACAGUCCUUCCUGGCUUGACCCUAGAUCCAUCUAAUAACUGUAGCAGAAUUCCCUUCAAGUCGAAUACACCCCGCCCUUGAAAUGAGCCUUGCAAAGGUAACGCCUUUUUAUUUAGCCCUCAGCUUCGCACCAAGCACGAAAAUGUCGAAAAUGCAAGUACCUCCUACCGCACCAAUUCAGAAUUAGGACCUCUGAUCGCAAAGCUAACUCCGCCUCCACUACCGCCAUCCGAUACACUACCAUUGAAGUUAACUUUGAUAAAAUUCAGAUGUGGGGGCUCCCAACAGAUGAAAAUCGUCUGAAUCGUUGCAAGAGCUGAACGAAGUCUUAGAUAUCCCUUGCUAUCACGGUAUCACCAGUGGUGGGAUACUGAUUAAUCUCGGUAGCAUGAAGUAGGGCUCUCUCGGCAAUAACCCUCGAUUGUUGGCAUCUCCUUUUUCAGUGUAACAGCCCUGCAGCUUUUAAGGCAUUAGCUUGGCUACAAGUGAAUUAGAUUAACAUAAUUUUGGUCCAAAAUGAAUGUUCUAUAUUUGAUUAAGAACUAACCUUCAAGAUUUUCAAUUAUGCACUUAGACACACGCACCCAAGUUUUUUCAAAAAAAAUGGAGGAGGAGGGGGGAUUCAGUUUUUAUUGUUGAUGAUAUAUUAUUUACCAUUUUUAAUAAAUCUUCUAUGGAAUAUAUCAUGGAAAAUGCAUUUUGAUUGUUAUAUUAGAAAGAAUAGAAGAUUUUGGAGAAAGAAUAGAAAAUUUUGGAAAUAAAAAUAGAGGUUGCACAUUGCCACCAUUGUGUUGUAUUGUAUUUAUAGAUGCAUGCUUACAUACAAAUACUGAUGGAAAUAGAUACAUACUUACGUAAGAAUACAAAUGAAAAGUUUGAUCCAAUAGAUUUGGGUUUAAAUAUAAAUUUCAAAUUCAAAUUUAAAAUACAACAGAAAUGAUAAUUUUGCAUCACCCAAGAUUCAGGGAAGAUGAUUACAUGGCUGAUGUUUAAAAUUCAAAUUUAAAUUUGGAAUGCACUAGAAAUGAUAAUCAUGUUAGCAUACCUUGUAAUUGCGUGUAUCAAGUCUGCUAUCAAUGGCUAAUGUUUGAAAUUUAAAAUCAAAUUUAAAAUGUAUAUUGGUAUAUCUCAUAAUUGAGGCUGGCAUGAAUCAAAUCUGCUAUAAAUAUUCUUACAUAACAUAUUUAAAUAUAAUUAGCUUACAAUUCAUAUGUAAUUCUUAUAAUUUAUGUUUGUCCUAUUUUUGACAUAUUUCGAUCUAGGAAAUCUAAUGCAUCAAUAGAAUGAGUUAUAAAACUAAAGUAAAUCGAGAUGAAUGAAUCCAAAAUAUUAUCCUAAUAAAAAUACAAAGAGGAAGUGAAAAUGCUUAAUGAGAAUUUUGACAAUUCCAUUCUUCAAAUGGUUAUCAUUUUAUGUUUAGUUGUUACACACUUAGCAUUUAAUAUUUAGUCCAACACACACCUAUUAUAAUGCUUGCAUGUAUUUAUGCAUGUUUAGCAUAUAUUUUUUAUGUGCAUCAUUUUUUUUGUAAAAAAAUGGAUUUAUUAAACCAAUCUAGUAAAAAUACAUCCACGAAAAUCAAAAAAUAAAAUAUACAAAAAAUUUAAAAAAAAUUCUGAUGCAACAGCCCAAAAGGUAAUUCCUAUAUGAUUAGCACCUUAUAAGACAGAAGAGAAGCAGCCAUCCUCUAACAAUCGAGUAGUAAUUAAAGGGUUGAAAAUGGUCUCGAGCCAGCCCGACUUCAGGCCGGGCUUUGAGCAAAGCCCGAAAAAAAUUCGGGCCGAGUUUGGGCUUAAAUGUAGAGUCCAUUUGUUUCUUGGGCCAGGCUCAGAUAUGUCAUGGCCUGGCCCGAGUCUAAGCCCGAACAAGGCCUGAACUGAAGCCCAAAUUUAGGCGAAAUUUAAUUUUUUAUAUAUAUUAUUAUUUAGAGAGAAUAAUGAGAAAGUAAAUAACAAAUUAAAAUAGAUUUAGCUGAAAAUUAUGUAUUAUGUAUCAGUUACUUAUAUUGUACAAGAGAGCCUAAUUUUUAAUUAGCUCAUUUAGUUACGAAGCAAUAUUAUGAAUAUUAAACUUUAAUUGGGUUUUGGCCCAAAUGGCUUAUUCAGGCUAGCCCAACCAGGUUUGGGCCGGGUUUAGGUUGGGCUCGGUCUUAGAUUAUUCAAAAAAUUUUGAGUCUAAACCUAGCUCGACCAACUUCUAGCCCUAAAUGAUUAAUGGGAACUAAUUUCAAUUGACUGGAAGGCACUCUAAUCACAGUCAAUGAGUCACCUUCAAAUAAAAUCACCACAAGCUUUAAUCCUUUCCGCAACUCAGCCAUUGGUUCUGCCAUCUAAAACAAUCGGGCUUCCACAACUGCUCCACCAUAAUCAUCCUUAUUCAGAACACUGUCAUGCGAGGAAAUAGAAGGUGGUGGGCUCCAAAGAAAAAUAAUCAUGCGAGGAGAUCCGGAAUCUGCGAUACUAUGUACACUGUUCAAUGCGCAGAUCUACAUGUACGGACAUACAAGUACAAAGACUAAACAAAUAAACAUUAUAAACAACUAUCGAAAUCAAGAGGUGAGAAUUUAACUUUCGGUCAAGGAAAGAUUAAUUCUAAAACAGCUGUCAAACAAAUGAUUUUGUUAUCAAUCACCCUUUUGCUGUCCAAUCUAACCUAACCCAUUUGCAGCUGGCUAGUUGCUGCUAUUUAGUUUGAGUCGAGCAACCUGGUCUUUUUAAGAAUUAUCUAGCAAGUACAAGUGCAAGUAGAUAUUAUUUCAUUAAAAGGAAGAAGAGGAAGGUGUUGCCAGAUAUCAAAAUAUCUAUUUUAUAGUUUAUUUAUAGACUAGCUAUCAAAGUCAUAGUUCUCGCAGAACAUUCUUGCAAGCGUAUAUUCCUUAUUAAAUAUUUUAAUUAUAAUAUUUGUGAAGAAAGAAUCGUAAGUAGGCUUUCAUCCGAAUCCUUAGGAUGGUGGGUUGAGUGUUGCCGUGGCAAUUUAUUUCUCCAUGUCAAACACCGAUGUUCAGAUGGUUGCCGACAAAUGCGUCUUUAUUUCACAUUUUCGGUGUUCAAAUUUUUCAAGGAAAUUUAGCGCAAUCUCGGCACCAUGCGGCAGUCACGAAAACUUUAUUUGACCAAUAUAAUUGAAUCGCUGCCUACCCACACCACUUGCUUAAAGUGACCAAGCAGCGGCAUGUACCAUGUACUUGCGGCGAACGAUUUGUCUUGACCUAGGGUUGCAUCUUUCUGGCGAAAGAAUGGAUUCACUAUCAAUCAUUUGAUCAUCCACCACACGGAUCUGAAAGCACUCCAAACCCUAUCAGUGAUCUAUCUAUGCAGAUCUCAAAGCAAGUAGUCGAUAAUCUAGUGGUGAAUUCAUACUAAAGAAAGGGUAAAUCAUUCUUUUGCACGAAAGGCAUAAUCCAAGAUCGACCAGAAAUAGUAUGUUAGCAGGACCAACACAAUUAAAUCUUUCUUUACAAUUCCUCCACUGUAGUUUGCUGAAAAAAGAUUUUCACUGAAAUAUUUUUCCUGCGAUGCUGAUGCAUGGAUAUAUGAUGUCAAGAAAUGUAAUUUUUGCAUGUUUGCUUGAUUACAAAAAAAUGAUAUAUUUUAGAGUGGUUUGUAUUUAGUUAAGUACCUACUUUUAUUAAAAGUUGCCUAAAAUAUUUAUUAUAUCUUCAAUAAAAAAUUCAUAUUCCGUUUUAUUUAAAAACUUAAAGUAUAUUUGGAAAAAAAUAAUUUUUAGUCAAUAAAAAUUAAUUUUUUCAUAUCGCAUAUCAAUUAUUUUUUAUAAAAUAUUAAAAUUUUAUUUCUAUAAAAAAUUAUUUUUAUAUUUUUUUUAUAAAAAAAAAAGUAUAAGAUUUUUUUUCCCGCUUGCCACACCUUCCACCAUUCCCAUCCCACGAGCCGAACGGCUCCCAAGUCCUCAGUGGCCUUCAGCUUUUAACUCGGACCCAUCCACAGCAAAGCGAAGGGUCCCUUUUCCUUUGCCGUGGUCCUUCUUGUUUGUCCACUAAGUCCCUUUUAAAUUUUAAUCAGUACAACAUCCCCACCGAAAGCACGCUCUACAGUGUCGACAAACCCCUCGUUGUCCUUCCCUAAUCAUAUCAUAAUCUUUUAAUAAUCACCCUCAUAUAAGCUAAACUGUCCAAACUAAUCCACAUCGAAAUCAUCCAGAUCCUAUGAAAACUAAUUAAAAAAUAGAAAAGUACACCUCGAGUCGCGCCUUCCCAGGACCAAACGGACGGUCGGGAUAAAAAAUGUUCGCCGUCUCAGGGUGGGGACACGUACUGAGUGGAUCACGUGGCAGGGAUUAAUAAAGAUAAAGCAUAGGCUGAGGGAUUGGAGCAGGAGAUUCCACACGUGUCCCAUGAGCAAUGGAGAACAACGCCGUCGCUUCCCAAUAGAGAUGUGCACGGUUCUGAUCGGCUCAAUUGAAAAUUAUUCUUAAAGUUGAACCAACCUAAAUUAAUUUUCUAAAACCUAGAGCGAAACCAAACCGAUUUUAUACAAAAUCUAUUUCAAACCGAUUCAAAAAAUUUAAUUCAGUUUAAAUUGGUUUAUCGAAUCUCUUGCAACAUCAUGAUCUACUCAAAAAAUGGAGCUUCCCCUCUGACAAGAUGAAAAGGGCCGGGGGGAGAUAAAGAAAGGAUGUCACACUCAAACAUCUAUCAUCAAUAAAAAUCGAAUCUUUUAUUAAAUAGAUGCCAUACUCAUACAAAAUAAAAUGAGGAUCUACGAAAUAUCCAAUAGAGAACAAAGAAUAAAAAGUGGAUCCAAUGCUAUCCUAAAAAAACACUUACAUCAAAAUAAUAACUGAAUCUUCAAUCAAAGAUUCAAAAAAAAUAAUUCGAUAUUCACCUUAAAACCAAGGAAGUCAACCUCUGACGUGAGAUCACUCGAUUGUAAAGAGCAUCUACAAAAUAGUUUCUUUUCUACUUCUCGUUCCACAUCCUUUUCAGCUCUUCUGGAUCAUACUCUCCAUCACCCUCCUGAGCCAGUGCUGCUCAUUUGGUCAUGCACUAGAUCAUGGGAUUGAGAGAAAGGCAAGCGCAUGGAAAGGGGCGGUUGGGGUUUUUUCCUUUGACGAAAAAGGGGCAGCUAACGUUAAAAUGAAGUGGACAACUGGUGGUAGGAUAUAAAAGAGCUGUUGAUGUUUCUUAAGAACUUGUUUGUUCCGUAAAAAAAAUUUUUUUUAUUGAAAUGUUUUUUCUAAGAAUAUAAUUUUUGAAAAUAUGAUGUCUUGAAAAAUAAUUUUGAUAUAUGUAUUUGAUUAUGAAAAAGUGGUAUAUUCCAAAGUAGUUUAUAUUUGAUUAAGCAUCUACUUUCCAAAGAAAAUUAUAUAAAAUAUCUAUUAUGCUCAUAAUAAAGAGAAAGAUCUUACUCAUGGAUUUUGAUGGCUUGAAAAAAAAAAGAACCCCAAUUGCCAGCCAUUGAGAAAGUAGCUUUUUUUAUGUCCUCUAUGGAUUAAUUUGGUUUGAAGCCGACUUUUUGUAGGAACAUGAACUGAAACCGAGCUGAUUUUUUUUUAGAUCUAAUAGAUUCAAACCCAUAACAAAUUGAAUGUAGAAAAAUCUGAACCAAAUCAAACUAAAAUAAUCAGUUUGGAGCGGCUUUGCAGUUUGAUUGGUUUUCUCGCACACCCCUGUUUCCAAGAGAGUCGUGGCUUCUUUCUUCUUUUGGUAGUAACAGCUGGGUACGUUCAUAACAAGAUGCAUCUAAUAGAAAAGUGCAGCCUAAUACGGGCCAAACGUAAAGCUCAUAAAGGCUUUUACUAGGUUAGGACCAGUUGAAUGAUGGACCACUUAGAUCCAAUAUCUUAUCUACUAGGUUAGGACCAUGCAAGGCUUGCUCGGUUUAGUGUAUGGGACAAAUCGAUUUCUCGUGUCACGUAAAGCUUGUUUCCCAAGAAGAGUGAAACAUUUACGCAAGGGACAGAUAUUGGACUAUCACAAUACUAUGAGAAAUUGCCCCAACGCCUGCAAUUAGGAUGCUGUUCCCUUUUCUCCUGCGCAUCAUCCGGGCGUUUUUAAGUUUCUCGGCACGAUUGAUGGUAAUUCAUGCGAGAGAAAAAGUAGAUGACAAGCUCAUGUAUAUAAAAUCACAAUUUGUUGAGUCAUUAUUUUCGAUUCUAUCAUUCACAAUAUAUUGCGAAGCAAAUUACAACCAUAUGGUAAAUCUAAAAUAUUACUAGUUUCCCCAAACGAAACAGAAUUAUGUGACAAGAAAAUGUUAUUUUAGACUCUUAUCAAUAAUAUGAUUGUGUAGAUAUGCUAGCAAAACAACUUUCUUUUCCUCCUUCUUGCUUGCUAUGAAAUAAAGUUUUAAGCAAAAAAAAUGCUUAAUGUGAAGGUCCUGUUUGGGUAUCCCUCGAAAGAUACUGGGUUGAUUGAUGGAGUAACGAAUUCUUAUCUUUUAAAGAUAAUUAAUUACUUUUGAGAAAUAAUUUACCUAACUGCGGCCGUCGCAUCUCCUCCAACGGUCGACCUUCUCCGAAGAAUGUGCAGCGUCCAAACAGACUUGCACGCUUUUAGACUUGGAAAUUGGUCUACGAAGAACCAGAAACCAACCAAAAUCUAUCGAAAAUCAUGCAUCUGGAAUCACUUCACUAUCAUAAGAACUCAAAACGAGCCUUGAUUGAAGGUAUUUCUUUCAUUUUAUUAAUGAAGGUGAGUUGAGGCUAUAAAGCCAUAAUUCAAGGCAGGAAUAUAUAACGCUCCUUUCCUUCUUCCAUCUGUCAUAAAUUCUUGGCUCGAUGCAUCCCAAAGGCCCUUUAGAAAUGGUUUUUGGUUUGCUAGCCUUUUUCUGUCUGCUAAUUUGGAUGUGAUGGACCCUCGAUCCUCCAAGAUACACAAGAAGGGGUUCCUUCUCUUCAAGCGGGGCCCCAUUCACAUGCAAAGGCUUCACAUGCGACGGAUGAGGUGAAGCAGACAUCUCAGAGAGCGGCAUAUGCCCGUUUGAGCCUCUAUAUCUGCUGCACUUCCCACUGCUCCUUCCCCACCACCUAACACUUAUUACAGUGCCCAAACCCCUCUAGUACUCUCGCGCAUCCCUCACUACCUCUCUGUACUCAGGAAGGAAGGGGAGGAUGCUUCCUUCCUUCGCCGCUCUCCAUCACCUCUGGCUAUGCUAUUUCACCUUCCUCUCCCUUCAUCUCUGUGCUAGAGCCCUCCCUCAACAGGUUGGGCAUGGCUACCGUUUGGUCUCCAUAGAAGAGAACCCCAGCGGAGGAGGGCUGAUAGGAUAUCUCCAAGUGAAGCAGAGCACCACAACUUAUGGCCCUGAUAUCCCCCAUCUGAGGCUCUUUGUCAAGUAAGCAAAAAAAAAGAAGGAAAAUGAACUCUAUAUUCUUGAAAAAGUGAACAAAAGAUUGUAUUCUUGUUUGGUUCUUUAUUGUUCGGUAGAUAUGGUAUCCCAGUAAGUUUAUGUUAAGUAUAAUAUAUGAACUUUUUAUUAUUCUGCUGGCUUUUUUUGGGAUAAAAGCUUGUUGGCUUUUUUUUUUUGGGAGGAUGCUCAUUUUAUAAGAAUGCUGCUGGUAAUGGAUUUUCUUUACAUUAUCAGUUGUCUACUAUAUUUUAGAAGAAACCCUUUGUUUCCUAUGGGGGCUUUUGAUAAACUCCAGGUUUAUUUACUGGCAUAUAUUUUAAUGGCUACGGUUCUUUUCUCCAGCUAUUGAUUCUGGCAAGUUUAUAUGAGGAAGCCAUGAUUACAUUCUUUCUUAAAAUACCUAAAAUACAUUCUAUUUUAAAUGGGGUUUGAAAAACUCUGAGUCUGCUAUUUCUUCAGAAGAGCACGGAUGUGUAUUUUUUUUUCUUUUUUGUAUGAAAUUCGUAUUAGAUUGCUAUUUGGUUUCUUUCUAACAAAUGGAUUUGCUGUAGCUUCUAUUCAAUUGCAAAAGCUUUUUUUUCUUUAUCUAAUGCAUGGAUUUCGGAUACAUCUAAAGGUUAGAGCUAUUCUGCCUUUAUGGGCGUGCUAUACUUAUGACCUAAAAUUUUUAUUACUGCCUUUCCCCUUUUCGAUUGGAAGACGACCAUGAUAAAUAUUUGUGUAAUCAAGAAAAGCCCAUGGGUUUUGAAAAAUUUCAGAUAUAUUACCAAUAAAUGUCUAAUUUCUCCCCCUGGUUUUAUAGAAAAAAGGGGAAAAAAAUUAAGAAUGCAGAGGGAUCUUUGAUUUGCUAUUUGUUCCAAGUUCCAGGGUAUGUUAUGUGUUCUGUUCUAAAAAAAUUAUAUGAAUUUACACUCAUGAAGCUUCUUUGGUCCUUUGUUGAUAACUUAUAGGCAUGAAACCCAAGAUCGCUUGAGAGUUCAUAUAACUGAUGCAGAAAAGGAAAGAUGGGAAGUCCCAUACAACUUGCUCCCAAGGGAGCAACCCCCAGCUUCAGGGAGUUCCUAUGGGAAAUCUUCAAGCAGUCCCUUCACAGCUUCAGAGUAUGCGGGCGAUGAAUUAGUCUUCUGUUACACAGCUGACCCAUUUGUUUUUGCAGUAAGGAGAAAAUCCAAUGGGCAAUCCCUCUUUAAUUCAAGCUAUGGGACUAUGGUAUUCAAGGACCAAUACCUUGAGAUCUCCACUCAAUUGCCGAAGACUGCUGCUCUCUAUGGUCUUGGUGAAAACACUCAGCCUGGUGGGAUCCGGCUGCGGCCGAAAGACCCCUACACCCUAUACACGACUGAUAUAUCGGCCAUUAAUCUUAAUACUGACCUCUAUGGAUCUCACCCUGUCUAUAUGGACUUGAGGAACGAAGGAGAAGCCUCUGCUCAUGCCGUGUUGUUGCUCAACAGCAAUGGAAUGGAUGUUUUCUAUCGAGGGGCCUCUCUCACAUACAAGGUCAUUGGAGGAGUAUUUGAUUUCUACUUCUUCGCAGGACCGACGCCUUUGGCAGUUGUGGAGCAAUACACUUCAUUGAUUGGUCGCCCUGCUCCCAUGCCCUAUUGGGCACUAGGUAAAUUUCUUUCUUCACCCAUUUUUCUUCCAUCCUUUGAACCAAGCUUUUCAUUGUGUUGCUGCAUUAUUCUUAUUGCUCAAGUAGAUACAUCUAAUGAGAUAUUAGAAAACUUGUCGGUAAUGGUAAUUGGUCGAUCCAUUCACUAUUUCAUUUUUUUCAGCUUUACAAGCACAAGGGAUAUUAUGAUUAGUGAGUUGUUGGCACUCACUAAGGUAGCUGUUGGCAUUUUUUUUUAACAACAUAUAGGUCACUUGACUACCAAUAUAAGUUAGGGGAUUGGCAUGCUUCCUGUGAAACUAGUGUUUUUUUUUUUUGAAUUGAAAUGGAGGAAGGGAAAUGCUUCUCCCAACUUUUGUGUGAAAUUAGUGGUGAUGAUUUUUCUGGUGUUUGAGCUAGUGAUGGUUAAGUUCAUAGCAAUGCUUCUUGUAAAAUGUUAAUGAAGGAAUUAAUCUUGGGACUGCAGGUUUUUUAGUAAUAAUUUUGUUGUUUUUCUUUAAAAAAUGUUGAGAUACCUUUCUGCUAAACCCUAUUCCAUUUAACCCAUCCUGGAAGUUCCCACUUCUUUAUUCCUAUUAAUUGCAGUUGGUUACUAUGGGUAAGAUGGAAAUAGAAGUAUUUUAUCCCUAGAUCCAUAGCCACUGUCUUUUUACCUUGGAACCAAGUUCCUUUCCAUUGGCCUUUAAAUAGCCACCAUUAUUUAAAAGAAAAGAAGAAAAAGAGUCCUACCUUAUAUGCAAAUAAGAUAGAUCCCCUCAAUUAUACACUCCCAUUGGUCUUGUUUUUAGUCUUGUUUUUUUGUCCUGGACUCCUAUAUAUAAACAAAAUUAAGGGACCAGGUUACUCAUUAUAUACUUGAUGUUUCAUUUUAUCAUUAAUCCGUUAAACAAUCAGUUUUGUAAUUAAGAAGCUAUCAUUUAGUUUCUUUAAUGGCUUCUUAGGCUCAGAACAAGCAUCAUUGGUUGAUGCUUGAAAAAGUAUACCAAAAGGGAUCAUGAUGUUUAGGGAUUACCAAGCAAAGACUGAGCUAUUUAACUAAGUUCGCUCACAACUGAGUGUUGCCCAACUAGCUUUAGUGGAGGUUCAUAAAUUAGAAAAGGAGCUAUAGUGCAGCUAAUGAUGAGGGUCGGUAAUGGUUGGUAAUGUUGCUUCCUCUACUUUGCAGGAUUCCACCAAUGCAGGUGGGGCUAUCGCAACCUCUCUGUCGUGGAAGCGGUCGUGGAGGGCUACAAAAAUGCCCACAUACCGCUUGAUGUGAUCUGGAAUGAUGAUGAUCAUAUGGAUGCAGCUAAGGAUUUCACACUGGACCCUGUCAACUACCCUCGUCCUAAGCUCCUGGCCUUCCUCGACAAAAUCCACUCUCAAGGCAUGAAGUACAUAGUCCUGAUCGACCCUGGAAUUGCUGUAAACUCCACUUAUGGUGUCUUUCAGAGGGGAAUGGCCAAGGAUAUCUUCAUCAAGUAUGAAGCCGAGCCCUACCUAGCACAAGUUUGGCCUGGGCCUGUCUACUUCCCUGAUUUCCUGUACUCAGGAACAGUCUCCUGGUGGGUUGAUGAGAUUGCACGGUUCCACAAGCUUGUGCCUGUCGAUGGCCUCUGGAUCGAUAUGAAUGAAGCUUCAAACUUCUGCACUGGAAAAUGUGAGAUCCCAAAAGAUCAUUUGUGCCCUGUUCCAGACUCCACGACACCUUGGGAAUGUUGCUUAGACUGUAAGAACAUAACAAAUACCAGAUGGGAUGACCCACCUUACAAGAUCAAUGCAUCAGGGAUGCAAGCCCCAUUGGGCUACAAGACUAUAGCAGCAAGUGCAAUGCAUCAUGAUGGCAUACUGGAGUAUAAUGCACACAGCAUCUAUGGUUUCUCCCAAGCCGUUGCUACUCACGAGGCGCUUCAAGGCCUCGAGGGGAAGCGCCCCUUCAUACUCUCACGCUCUUCCUUUGUGGGAUCGGGAGCCUAUGCUGCGCAUUGGACAGGUGAUAACAAAGGCACAUGGGAUGAUCUCCGAUAUUCAAUAUCAACCAUGUUAAAUUUUGGUAUCUUCGGUAUGCCGAUGGUUGGCUCAGACAUUUGCGGGUUCUACCCGCAGCCUACGGAGGAACUCUGCAAUCGAUGGAUCGAGCUGGGUGCAUUUUAUCCCUUCUCAAGGGACCAUGCCAACUUUGCCUCACCCCGGCAAGAGCUCUACCAGUGGGACUCAGUCGCCAAGUCUGCUAGAAAUGCCUUGGGACUAAGGUACAAGCUGCUUCCAUAUCUCUACACAUUGAACUACGAAGCUCACGUCAGUGGCGCCCCGAUUGCAAGGCCGGUCUUUUUCUCAUUCCUUAAUUUCACUGCGAGCUAUGGCCUGAGCACUCAGUUCUUGCUAGGGAGCAGUGUCAUGGUGUCCCCCGUCCUGAAGCAGGGAGCAUCGUCAGUUGAAGCGUUGUUCCCCCCUGGUACUUGGUAUAGUUUGUUCGACUUCACCAAGGCCGUGGUGUCGCAGGAUGAGCGUUACGUAACGCUCGAUGCGCCGCUGAACGAGGUUAACGUGCAUGUCUACCAGAACACCAUACUUCCCAUGCAGCGUGGAGGAAUGAUCUCCAAGGAGGCGAGGACCACCCCAUUUACUCUAGUGGUUACCUUCCCUCUUGGAGCCACCCAAGGUGAUUCAAAGGGAAAUGUCUACGUGGAUGACGAUGAGCGCCCGGAGAUGAAACUUGUGGAGGGCGAGGCAACAUAUGUCGAUUUCUAUGCCAGCGUCCGUGAGAAGAGAGUGACAGUGUGGUCUGAGGUGAAGAUGGGGAAAUUUAGUUUGGAGAAGGGGUUGAUGAUUGAAAAGGUGAGCGUAUUGGGACUACAGGGAGGCACCGGAAAGGGGCUGGCGAUUGAGGUGGAUGGGCAACCUCUCAAUGAUAUCUCUAAUGUUUAUUUCAGGGAGUCUCCUGCAGUGCAUGUGGAGAAGCUGGAGGUUGGGAAUAAGAGGAACAGUAUGAUGGUUGAGAUUGGGGGGCUGGCAUUGCCGCUGGGGAAAAAGUUCUCCAUGUCCUGGGUAAUGGGGAUCGAGGGAUGAGUUUAGGAUUUCACGAGACUUGUUUCAUGGUAAUUUUUAUGCUGCUCUCUUUCCUUUCAAUUCUCUUAUUUCCUUUUGUUUUCUGAGAUUAAGUGAAGGAUAAUCCACUAAAGAGCCGAGAAAAAUCUCUCGUUGCUGCUUUAUUCUAAAUUUGCUGAAAACAAUCCUCCAACUUUCUGAUGUUAAACUUUGGGUUUAGUUGCUGCCUUUUCAUGUCUACGAAGAGAUAGCUUUAAUUUUAUCAAUCCCGACAAAUUGCAUCUUUUUGAGCCUGAUCCGCUGCAUGUGUCGGUAAUGCAGUUGUUCAUUCCACUUUGAUGAGGCAGAUCCAGUCCUCGUCUAACAAAAUAAUUUACUUUGUCCUUUUACUAAGAUUCUCCUUCAGAGAAGCAAUUGUAGACACAAACUCUUAUGCAGGACAAUGAGCAGCCGGGGCGGAUGGCAUCUAUAUAAUUGUGCACCACUACAGCAAGCUUCCUGUAAAUCUGACUUCUUGCUGCGCCCACCCUUACCCUUGCAUGGCACUCAGUUAACCAUGGGAAUGGGUGUUGAAAAUUAUUGAAAAUUGAUGACAUAGAAUCCAACAAUAUCCGUCCCGAGCUCUACAAGGAUCUUUAUCCAUGAUAAAGAGUCCUUCGGACAUCUGUUUAGAGUGUAUCAGCUUGCACCUUGCGCAGAAGCUUUUAUUUAGAAACUGGAUCACUUCUGAAGAAAAUGCUCCACUUUGCAAAGUAAAGGAAAAAUAAAAUAGUUUUUUCUGCGCGAAAUCAUCAUAGGUUUUUAAUGUUUUAAGCAUCCUUCUUGAAAUUUCUAUCUAGACUUUACUAGAAUGUUUAAAUGUUCUCUUGAUGGUCAGAUGAUGCAUGAUGCGUCUAGAUGUACGGUUUGUGUUGCUAUUCUUAUAAUUUGGAGAAAUACAACUAAGUUUUCAGAAAUGGAUGGUAACAAAUUGAUGACAGCAACUUUUUUUUUUCUUUUUAGAGGAAUGAUCGCAGCAAUCUAAUUUUUGUACUUGAAUGAACAAGAUGUGGAUAUGAAGGUAUGUCCUCAUUUCAGAUAUUCCAUUAUGAACCUUGACACGAAUAUAAACAGACAACAAAAAAGCCAUCUGGAUAUGCACCUACAAAGAAGAGCAAACGCCCAACAAAGAACCCUCCCAGGUAUAUCCAAGCUUCUACGAAUCCUCCUUUGCCACAGAGCUUGGGCUAAGAGCUCCGUCCUGUAGUAAACAAAGCCUAACUUCUUAUGUAUAGACCUCCUAGUUCUGUUUAUUGCACCACUUGGCCAUCAAUCAUAACACCAAGCACAUACUCUUCUUCUUUUUUUACUUGGAGAUAAAAUUCGCAUGCCACCAAACCCAGUCAACUGAACUAAGCCCGGUUUAUUAAGACUUCUAAAAUACUCACGGGCAAAAUCUGGUUAUGUAACCAUCUAUGCCUUCUAAUGUAGGCUCUAUUUGGAGGAGCUGUCGGCAGUAGAGCUUUUGGAAGUAGAACUAUUGUAAGUAGAGCUUUUAUAAAAAGCUGUUUAUUGUUUGGUAAUUAUAUUUCUAAAGUGUUGUGGUACUUUAACAUGUAUUUGGUAGACAAACUGAGAAAGUACUUUUGUACGACAAAAUUACAAUAAAGGACAUUAUAUAGAAUUAUACAAUAGAGCAUAAUAAAAUAUAACAUAUAUUAUUAUAUAAAUAUAUGAUAUAAUAUAAUAUUACUGUAAUAUAAUAUAAUAUUAUUAUAAUAUAGUAAUAUAACAUUGUAUACUAUAGCAUAAUAGUUUAAUAUAAUAUUAAAUUAUUUAGUAUAACAUAUCAAUGUAUUAUGAUAUAAUAUAAUAUUAUAUUAUAUUUAUAGUAUAAUAUAAUGUUAAAAACCUUCUUAUUGUAUUAAAAACAUGGGUUUGUAAAACCAAAAAAAAUGCAAUUUAGUGUAGCAAACCUUUGAGAGAUGAUGACAAAUUUUAUCGGCAAAAGAAGAGGGUUUGUCAUCAUCUCUCAAAGGUUUGCUACACUAAAUUGCAUUUUCUUGGUUUUUCAAAUCCAUGUUUCAGUUUCUUGUAAAACAUUUCUUGUAAGUCCCCACAUACCAUGUCUGGAAAAGAAAAAUAUCUCAAAUGACUGUUUCGAACCUUCCUCUUUACAAAUCAAAUUAACCAAAAAGUUCUUUGAAAAAAUAUCUUCAACCAACUGAGAUUAAGAAAAAAUGAAUCUUUAACAUGACAACAAUCUGGAUGCACAAAAUACUAUUUAUGAAUUUUACGAUAUUCCUGUUAAUGCAAUUCAAGCCGAGUACUUCAUGAGCUAGCUUUCUGCAGUAAAUUCCCUGAUAGUGAUGACCAUGAAACGACAAGCAGUAAAUAUCCCAUUCCAGCACUAUGUUGUAGUAAUUCUCCCCCCUGACCCUCAACUGCAGCAUUAAGUCCUCUGCGAAUUUAUUCCAGCUCUGACAAGUACGCGUGGGUCUUCGGUUGAAGCUCUGGAAUUGAGUAAAUGCGAAGGGCACGACUCCUUGGUGCCGUGAAUCUCGCAUCAAAAGUUAGCAGGCUGGUACAUUUAUGCAAACAGCUACCUUGUGGUACAAAGCUCGUAAUUAUCUCUUGCAUGGUUGGAUCACCGGAAACCUGGCAUGCAAGAUCGUCCUUAAAUUGGAGCAGGCCAAAUUCGGUGGUUUGGACUUUGGACUGUCUCGUUUUGCAGCUUUAUUUUCUAUCUUUCCUUGAAUAAGGAAUAUCAAACCACAAUGUCUUUGUAAAUGCUUCUCUCCAAUUUGGAGUUGAAUUGGAGAAUCCAACCUUCCAUCACCAUGAUCUAUGUAUGAUGUGACAAUCACGACUAUUUGAGUCAUGGAGUCUUAUACAGCAUGUCCACUCAAUUAUAACAGCCACACAAUAAAUGAAUAGUCAUGGUUAAGGGACUUAAUCUUGUCCAAUUCAAUUCCAAAUUGAAAAAGGAGCUUGACUCAUUUAUAAAACAUUUAAGUUUUUGUAAUGCAUGCCUAAUGUUUUCUGAAUGUUAUGGAUAAAGUUUUUCCUUGUGCUAUUCACAAACCAAGCCAAAUAAAGCUACUUUUAUUUGCAAAAACCCUGCAUGUUUUUGGUUGCUAUGUCUGUUGAACAAAAUAACUCUAUACACAAAUAAUCUUCAUGGGUUUAUAAUGUAGGGGCUAGAGUUGGGUUAGGUUGGAUCAGGGUAUGCUUGUCCCGGACCCAACACGGUUUAAUGCUUUAGUCUUGAUUUUAGUAGACUUGGACCUAAUCUAUUGGUUGACUAGUUUUGGACCAUGGAACAAAUUUUAAACCCCAUGGGUCUAUAUUCAAAUUCUGGUCGCGACCUAGUUGGGUCCAUAUUUGAAGUCUAACAUUAACCAUUAUCGUAUAGCUAAAGUAUAUCAAUUAAUAAUAAAAUCAUUGAAAUUUUUAGGUAAAACUAAAAAGCCAACUUAAACAUAAAUUUUGAUUAAAAACUAUUUUAAUUUGAUCCAAACAAACAAACAUACCUAUGGAACAAGUCUACAAACUAUGAUGUAAUAUAUAGACACACACCCUUAUACUUGAGAAGAACAUUGUAAAUAAGAAUCUUCUAAAACAAAUAAUAAAUAUUUAAGUAUGAUUAUGUGAAAGUAGGUGAGAGGAGAUGGGGUUGUAGACAUAAAUAAUGAAGGAUUGAUUUAGAUAAGGUUCAUUGCAUGAAUUGAAAUAUAAUUAGGGUGAGAAAUAAGGGGUCAUAUAUAUUUUGAAUUUUAGGGUUUGGUUAUAUCGGGUUUGAAUCUAGUCGGGCUUGGUUUUGUUGACCCAAAUUAGACUCAGGUAUUCUAUGAGGCAAAUCAAAUUACAUCAGAAAAAUAAAACUCAAACCUAGUCCAAUUUCCAAAUUAGAUCCAACUAGUAAUCAUGACUCACCCACAAGUCUUCAAAAAUGAAUGGAGUCUGAUCUAAUUGCAUUAGAACUAGGUCGAGUCAUAGGCUGACCUGAUCUAUUUGCAAACUUGUAUUUUUGUGAACUAGAAUACCUAACAGAUUUUUAUGACUCAUCCAUCAGCAUAUCUUACUUAGUUGUAAGUAAUACAAACUUCGAGAACGUUUUUCACCCAGAGCUCCGCUCCAUGUCGGAAACAAUGAGUGCUCUCCAUUCUUGGGCAUAGCAAUUUUGAGAAAUUAUAUCGAGUAAUGCAUGCACCAUAUGGCCAUGCAUUAUACCAAUUAGAUCUCUCAUUCUUAUAGGCUUCAUUCAUGGUAGUUGUUGGCCCAUAGUGCGACGCCACAUUGGUGCAUCCGGUGCAGGGUAGGAUAUAAUUUGCCAGCAACUUCACGUUCUAUUUUGCGCUUCUCAAGCUCGGGUGGUACGAAGUCCAGCUUUUUAUGGUCACAUGUUUUAUCUUCUAGCGGUAGGCAACGGCCAAGCCCAUGUACGCAGCAGCACAUUACGUCCAAGCCCAGAAAGAAUACGUAGAAUAGUUACCAGGCCACAGGGUCCAGUUGAGCUCAACUUGGAGACCCAACUCCAAUCUAGUCCGUUCGAUGACCCAAACCGGACGAGCUGGAUCAUAGAAUCCACCAAUCAAACACA
rnacentral:lncRNA from 1 species